GCGAGCAGGUCCUUGUAUCUAGACUUUACAUUGCCUUACACCGAUUCUGGCGUAUCAAUGAUCGUGCCGAUCAUCGAUAACAGAAGUAAAAGAGCAUGGGUCUUUUUGAAGCCAUUAACUUGGGACCUUUGGGUGACAAGCGCUUGUUUCUUUGUCUUCAUUGGCUUUGUGAUUUGGACUCUUGAACAUCGAACAAAUGAAGAUUUCAGAGGGCCUCGUUCACAUCAAGUUGGCACAAUGUUCUGGUUCUCCUUCUCAACAUUGGUGUUUGCUCAGAGUAAUUACUCUUCCACCUCCUUCAAUUUUAUCUAGCAAUUUAUCUACUCUUGUAAUAUUCAAAUACAAAGCAUAUUCAGUACAUCUCAAACAAAUCGAAACUAACUUCUAGUAUAGCCUGCUUGCUUGUUUCCAUACAAUAUGCAAGUAAAUUUUAGGAUAAUUGUUAUGUUUCAGAAACUAUAUAUUUGCCUUUAUAUUGCUUUUCUGGAUUGGAUUUUCUUUUUCAUUCUUAAAUUACGUUAACAGAGGAGAGAAUUGUCAGUGACUUGGCUCGGAUCGCGGUGAUCAUAUGGUUAUUUGUGGUGCUGAUUCUUACUCAAAGUUACACAGCCAGCUUGACUUCAAUGUUAACAGUUCAACAGUUCAACAGCUUAACCCAACUAUCACUGAUAUAAAUGAGCUCAUAAAGAAGGGGGAGCGUGUAGGUUACCAAUAUGGCUCUUUCGUUUAUGAAUUCUUGAUCAAGUCGAUGAAAUUUGAUGAGUCCAAGCUUGUAAAGUAUGAGUCACCAGAAGAACUGGAUGAAUUAUUUUCAAAAGGUGGAAUUGCUGCUGCAUUUGAUGAAAUCCCUUACAUGAAGGUUUUCCUUGCAAAAUAUUGCUCCAAAUACACUGCAGUUGGACCAACAUACAAGUUUGAUGGGUUUGGAUUUGUAAGUGUUCUCUCUUAAAGUGUACAAAUUUUCAUGCAGCGGUUUCUGAUUUUUUAUCAUUUCAGGUCUUUCCAAAGGGUUCACCCCUUGUAGCGGAUGUUUCAAGGAAAGUUUUAAGCGUGACCGAGGGAGCUAAAUUGUUAGAAUUUGAGAAGGCAUGGUUUGGGCAAACAACCAGUUGUCCAGAGCUCACCAGCUCAGUUUCUUCAAACAGUAUCGGCCUUAAUAGCUUUUGGGGCCUAUUCCUCAUUGCUGGAGUCGCUUCAUUUGUAGCUCUCGUCGCAUGCAUCACCACAUUCCUUUAUGAAAAUAGAGACGCCAUAAUAAACUUGAAUCCCCCAUCUUCCAUAUGGAGAAAAAUUAAAGCCAUGGCUACACGCUUUGAUGACAAAGAUCUCAGGUCCCAUACCUUUAGAAAAAGUGAUCAACUUCCAGACAAGGGGCAUCAAAGCCAUGGAUGCAGUUACAGCCUCGCCAGCUACACCAACUUCCCUCCAAGUCCAUCAAGCCUUCUGAUCCCAACACACAGCGAUUUUGCCUUCUUUGGAGAACAAGGAACACCUUCUUCUGGACAUGGUGAUCCAGUCAGUCCAAAUCGGCCGAUGUCUCCUCACAUAUUGUUUGAAUAUGAGCUUGCUAAUUUAAAUCACGAGCAAACAAGACCGCCUGUAAUUGAAUAACUGAUCGAUUACUUCGUUUUUCUUUCCUGUGUAUUUUAUGCCGGUGGCACCAUUACCCACAACCAUGAAUUUCAAAAGAAAAAAAAUGUAGUUGUACCCCAUAGGCAUUUUAGUUAACACGGUGAUGUACAUUUAAUUUGCGGCUAAAAUUAAAAAUAAUAAAUAAAUAAAUAAUUAUUUACUACAAAUUUAUGUGAUUGUUAAAUGCCAUCUAUUUGCUAUGAACAAUAAUUCAUCACUGAGAAAUUGAUUUGUUAUGAAAUAAAAUGUUAUUGCAAAAAGCCAUUUCUUACCAUAAAAAUACCUUCUUUAGCGUUACGGAAAAUUGAGAAAUUUGUUGUAAAGAAUUUUCCGAAAAUUGAGAAAUAAUCGAAGUGGGACUGAAUGUCCAGGACUAGGACAGGGAGGUCCAGUUUUCAAACCAUCGCAGAUAUGACGCAAAACAUUAUUUUAAAAUCUAUAUUAGUCAACGGUUCCUACAAUUUUGACAGGACACGGAAGACCCAUUACUCAAGCCAUUACUUGCGCAUGCUUUUCUUUUUUUUUCUUUUUUUUUUGGCUUUUUAAAUGAAAAUCAAACUCAACCUUCCCACAUUGAUUAUUGCCUUAGAUUCCGUCAAAAUCACGAAUUUAUUGCUGCCCAACGCAACAGGUCAACUUCCUGCAUCCAAAAAAAAUCAAUAUUUUUAAAGAUUGUCCUUACACUAGCUACGUGGUUGACAUUGCUACGGAGGGAAUGUAAGGAUAGAUAUUCAUUUUCAUGGUUAUUCUUUUGUGCAGAUAAUCCAUUAAUUCUAAAUGAUGUAAUCUCUGGUGAAAAUAAAUAUUUUUUAUUUUAAAAAUUAUAAUUUUCAACUGAGUGGUAGUCACGUAUCAUCAUUAAACCUAUUAAACUCCAUUUCCACGCACCCGAGUGCAGAAGAUGAUAAGUUGACCAUGUGCCACCUAACACACAGCUGGGGAUUAUUGGAAUUCUGCUACAGGCGAUGAGUAGCUCCGUGGAGUUCAUCGUGAAAACCUCUCUCUUAUGAAUUUUAUGAGUCAAAUGCUAACGCAAGAAGGAAGCUAAAAUGUGUGUUUCCAUGGAAGAAUAUUUAUAAGGAUAUAUUCUGAUCAUGAUUUUAUCAUUAUAAGUUACACUUUCUAAUUUAAUUAAUAUUGUAAGAGAUUCUAUCUUUGACCGCCUCAACUCGCCCAAGAAGUGUUGGUUGGGUUUUGUAUUCACAACUAUCCAUCUGGGUCCUCUUGUUACAGUGCCUUCUCUUCUAGGCUUCUAAUUCUUACUUUUUCAAAUUCUAGACCCUAUAAAUGAGCUGUAUUCUGCAUUAUUGUGAAUCACCAAGCUUCCCAAAAGUAGUUCAAAGAUGAGAAACGACCUUGCCCAACAGGGGUUCGCCCUCUUCUUUCUCUCCCUAUGGGUUCUCUUCAUAGAAAUGGGCAUGGCGCAGAACACAACAAUCCCAGUUAACGUGGGAGUGGUCCUUGACUUUGAUACAUCGUUUGGAAAGAUGGGUCUGAGCUGCAUCCCCAUGGCCCUCUCAGAUUUCUAUGCCUCUCAUGGUAACUACAAGACUAGGCUCGUUCUGAAGACUAGAGACUCCAGAAGAGAUGUUGUUGGUGCAGCUGCAGCAGGUACUCCAUCCCUGUCUCUCUCGCUCUCUCACUUUCUCCUUCAUCAAUGUUUAUGAUUAAUCAUCUCGUUUGGAGCAUUGUUGAUGGAAUGAGAUUAGAAUUGCAUUAGUAUUACUGAGAAAAAUGAAAGCAAGUGAUCUUUAUCAGUCACCCCCAUUUGGUUUUCAGGAAAAAUCCCCUUACUCUUUGAGAAUUAGAAAGCAUAAUUCGAAGUAGUUCAUCAUUUGGGAAGUAAUUUUUUGAGAUACCUGCUCUGAUAAAGUGAGAAAAUUAUGAAAUUGACAUUGAAUCUUCAGCCCGUAAUUUUUUUGACAUUGAACAUUUUCUAUCUCAGCUUAGAGACCCAAAUGAAAGUUUUGAAAUAUAAAAUAUACUAGUAUACCCAAUUAAUUCUCAGCACAGCUCUUCACCAGAUGAAGAAGAUGGUUGGUCGUUUAACAAACCACAUUGUCAACUGCCGAUGGCAAAAGGUCUCCAUAAAUUGUGCCAUGGUCUUUUAACAAGGCAACUUUUCGUGACCAUAUGGCUGAUGAAGAGGUCAGCUGACAGUUCAAUGGCGGCUAAAAGUCUGUCGAAAAUUGCGGAUGGGAUUUAAAAAAAAUCAGGCAAGAAUUGGGUUUUGAGCCCAACUAGCCCAAAAAUUGACCAAAUAUCCAUAUAUCAUUCACAUUUAAACCCAAUACUCAAUUAAAGCGUAAAAAUUAAGUUAAGGAUAUUAUUCUUCAUUAAUCAGUAAAAUACCCUUAACUCGUACAUAUAGUUAGUGUAAUUUUUUUUUUUUCCCUUUUCUAUUCCCAAUUAAGUAUUACUUAUUUUUAAUUUUUUUUUUUCCUUUUAAAGAUAUUGAAUCUUUUUACUCUUAUUAUAAGUAAGGAUAAAAAAAUUUCAUAUAAAAUUUAAUGGAUAAUCAAUUAAUGAAAUUUAAUUCUUUUUAUUAUUUUCAUAUAAAAAAUAGUACUAAACAAAGUUUUCAAUUUUUCUUUUUAAAAAUAGUUUUCAUUUUUUAAUUAAAUGUUUUUUCUAAAAGAAAAUAUAAAAAAUAUAAAUCAUAUUACCAUUUUUUUAGAAAGUAUUUUUUAAAAUAGUUUUUGAACGUAAUUUUUCUUUAUUUAUAAUUUAAAAUAAAAAAUAAUGCUGAUUUUUAAUUAUUAAUAAAAAAAGUCCUAAAAAAUAAUGAAAAAUUCAAAUGGUUGAAAUAAAAUUAUUAUGAUUAUAUGAAUAAUGGUACAAUAAAUAUUGAAAAAGCUUAUGUGAAAGGUCAAUGGGUAUUUUGGUCUUUUAAUAUCUUAUAUCAUUUUUAUCAAUUAUGUAAGUUAUAUGGACCAAACCUUAAUUUUUGGGUCCAGCUGAUCCAAAACACAGUUGUCUCAAAAAUCACCCCCAUACUGUGGCUGCAGUAGGUCGUAGAGAAUAUAUAUUUGACUUUGCACUGAUAUAUAUAAAUAUUACCGUGUCUUCACGAGUUAAGGCAAAGUAGGAAGUUACCAAAGGUCAAACACGUUGCCUCUGAUCCAUGAUGAUAAGAUGUCAGUUUUUUCAUCUGAUGAACAUGAUCUGUUGUUUGAUCUACUGGAAAAGAUCCCUUUGUUAAUGUCUCAUAACAGAGUAGGAAGAUUAUUGGUAAUCUGUUGGUGAAAUUUUAUAUCUAUUUUGUUAUGUUUGCAUGUCUGAUUGCUGAGAAGGAUGUUAGAAAUUAAGAAUAUAUUAGAGUUUGCUUCUGUGUUUUUUAUUAUUUUGAACAUUUUGUGGUACUCAGCUCUAGAUCUAAUACAAAAUGAGGAAGUGCAAGCCAUCAUAGGGCCAGGGUCAUCCAUGCAGGCCAACUUCCUGAUUGUCCUGGGACAAAAAGCCCAGGUUCCCAUUAUUUCAUUUUCUGCAUCAAGCCCUUCUCUUUCUUCCCUCAGGAGUCAAUACUUUAUCCGAGCCACUCUAAAUGACUCAGCUCAAGUACCAGCAAUAAUAGCAAUUUUCCAAGCCUUUGAGUGGAGAGAAGCUGUGCUUAUUUACGUAGACAAUGAGUAUGGGGAUGGAAUUAUACCUUAUAUGACCGAUGCCUUGCAAGGGAUUGAUGUCCGUGUCACCUACCGUAGUGUAAUUUCUCCAUCAGCCACUGAUGAUCAAAUUGGUGAAGAGCUUUACAAGCUGAUGACAAUGCAAACUAGAGUUUUCAUUGUACACAUGGUUACGCCUCUCGGCUCUCGCUUUUUUACCAAAGCAGAUGAGAUUGGAAUGAUGGAAGAAGGCUAUGUUUGGAUACUAACUGAUGGGCUAACUGACCUCUUGAGUACUUUGGAUCCCUUAGUCAUUGACUCAAUGCAGGGGGUGCUGGGCAUAAAGCCUCAUGUUCCAAGAACAAAAGAGCUCGAAAAUUUCAGAGUCCGAUGGAAAAGGAAGUUCCAGCAAGAUCAUCCAAAAGAUGAGACCUCUGAGCUGAACAUUUUUGGAUUAUGGGCGUAUGACGCUGCUUCUGCACUAGCCAUGGCAGUUGAGAAAGUUGGGGCAACAAAUUUAAGCUUCCAAAAGACUAAUAUUUCCAGCAAUUCAACGGAUCUUGACACCAUUGGAGUCUCACAAAUUGGUCCAAAGCUUCUCCAGUCACUGUUAAGUACGAAAUUUAAAGGCCUCAGUGGAGAUUUUCAAAUUUUUGAUGGUCAACUACACCCCACAGCCUUUCAGAUAGUUAAUGUGAUUGGUAAAGGGGAAAGAGGGAUAGGAUUUUGGACUCCGAAAAAUGGAAUUAUAAGAAGACUGAAAUUCACAAACGCAAAUUCAAACACAUAUUCCACUUCUAAGGACAAUCUAGGAGCAAUUGUAUGGCCUGGAGAACCUACUUAUUUCCCUAAAGGUUGGGUGCUUCCAGUAAACGAGAAGAAGUUGAAAAUAGGGGUUCCAGUGAAGGAUGGUUUUAGUGAAUUUGUAAAAGUGACAUGGGAUCCUAACACUAAUGCAACAAAGGUCACUGGGUACUGCAUAGAUGUCUUUGAUGCGGUGAUGGGUUCACUACCAUAUGCUGUUCCUUACGAGUACAUUCCCUUUGGAACCCCAGACGGCAAGCCUGCCGGCAACUACAACGAUUUGAUAUAUCAAGUGUUUCUAAAGGUCAGUCAUACUCUUUACCCUUCCUAGUAUCUUCAUUUUGUUUUUAUUGGAUACACAAAAGAGCACCACCAUUAUCAACCUAUUCAAUGAAAUAUACAAGAAGAUUUCUAAUUUCCUCUGUUUUUAUUACCAACAGAAGUAUGAUGCCGUGGUGGGAGAUACUACAAUUGUAGCGAACAGGUCCAACUAUGUAGAUUUUACACUACCUUACACUGAAUCUGGCGUAUCAAUGAUCGUGCCCAUCAAAGACAACAAAAGCAAAAGCGCAUGGAUUUUCUUGAAGCCAUUGACUUGGGACCUCUGGGUGACUAGUGCGUGUUUCUUUGUUUUCAUCGGCUUUGUAAUUUGGGUUCUUGAACAUCGAAUAAAUGAAGAUUUCAGGGGCCCUCCUUCACAUCAAGUAGGCACCAUCUUCUGGUUCUCCUUCUCAACUAUGGUGUUUGCACAGAGUAAGUUCUCUUCCCUCAAAUUAACUUCAUUUGCUGAAAUGAUGUUGAUUUUCUGGUUCUUUUUUUUUUAUAGAGGAGAGAAUUGUGAGCAACUUGGCUCGGUUUGUGAUGAUCAUAUGGUUCUUUGUGGUGCUCAUCCUCACUCAAAGUUACACCGCCAGCUUGACCUCAAUGUUAACCGUCCAACAGCUCCAGCCAACCGUUACAGACAUAAAAGAGCUAAGAGCGAAAGAUGAGUAUGUAGGUUACCAACAAGGCUCUUUCGUUCUCGGAUUCUUGAAAAGGAUGAACUUUGACGAAUCCAAGUUUAGGAUCUAUAAUUCUCCAGAAGAAUUAGCUGAACUAAUCUCGAAAGGGAGUGCAAAUGGAGGUAUUGCUGCUGCCUUUGACGAGAUACCUUACAUGAAGCUGUUCAUUGCACAGCAUUGCUCGAAAUAUACCAUGGUUCAACCAACAUACAAAUUUGAUGGGUUCGGAUUUGUAAGUGAACUCUCCUCUCACAAACAAACACUCAUUCCCAAUAUAUAUGUAUCAUGUGUGAGUUUUUCUUUUUUCUUUUUCUUUUUUUCUUGAAUUUCAGGCCUUCCCAAGAGGUUCUCCUCUCGUACAGGAUGUUUCAAGGGCAGUCUUAAAGGUGACUGAGGGAGAUGAAAUGGUAAAGAUUGAAAAAGAGUGGUUUGGGAAAAAAACUAGUUGUUCAGAUGAUAAUGGAAGCUCACUUUCUUCUAACAAUAUCAGCCUUGAUAGCUUUUGGGGCCUUUUCCUCAUUGCUGGAGCCACUUCAUCUUUAGCUCUGAUCAUAGGUAUUGCCAUGUUCCUGCAUAAACAUAGAGUUGUGGUAAUGGGCGAAGAUUCAGUAUCAGAAAAGAUUAAAACCUUGGCUACACGUUUUGAUCAAAAAGACCUCAGCUCUCAUACUUUCAGAAUACCUGACCAGCCAUACAGCGGUAGCACUGAGCCUAUGGCUGCAGUUGGAGCCUCUCCAUCAGUGAUUAACUGCUUGCCAAGGCCAUCAACCCUUUCCAACCAAACCAUUAAUGAGAUUUCCCUCUCCGGAGAACAAGGGACCUUUUCUUCAGAGCACGGUGGUGGUGGGAGCUCAACCACACCUAGUAGGCAAUCAUCGCCAGUGAUAGUACCUGCUGUUGAGCUUGUUAAUUUAAAUCAAGAGAGAACAAAUAUACCUCCAACAUCACAUUAGAAAAACUGACCAUACAUAUUUUGUGUCAUACUUCAUUGUAGUAACAUUAUCAUUAUAGUUCAUAGCAUGAUAGGAUUGUAAAUCUUGCUGAUUGUUGACAGGCUGAAUUUAACUCCUGUACUUCACAUUUUCUAAUUGUCAAAUUGGUUGUUAUCUGCUUGUGUAAAUAGUUUGUUAUCAAGGAGGAAACAUCACAUAACUUAAUAUACUUACUUUUGGAAGUUCAUUUAGUUAGACUGUCAAUAGUGUUAAACAGAUCACUAUUUUUUUAUUUUUUAUUUUGCUUAUAAUUUCCUUUUCAACGAAGAUGAAAAUCUGUACAUAGAAUAGUUCUUUUGGGCAUCAACGAAUUUCAAAAACAGUUAUUUAUUGAAAUAUAUGUUUGGUAAAGUUUAGACUCAAAACAGUUUUUUUAUUUUAAAAACAAGUCAUUUUUUUCAUAAUAAAUUUAAUAUUUUUUAGACUUUUUUUAUAGAACAUUCUAAGAAACUGAAGUCCAAAUUAUUAAAAAAUAUAUUGAGUAAUAAGUUAGUAAAAUAAAAAUAAUAAUAAUGAAAAUAUAAAUUAAAACUUACAAAUAAGAUUAAUCGAAACUAGAGUUUGCCUUUGCUCAAGUACUUACAAUUAGUGACAAUCAUCCCCUAAGAUGCAACAACCACUUUCUUAUGAUAGUAAUACUUCAAAUUAUAAGAAAUGAUAAACAAUAAUUCGUACUUUCUAUAAACGCUUAGAUGCUUUCAAAAUAUUCACUUAUAACUCAUACUUAACUUGGAAUGAAUUACCACACUUAGGAAUGACUUGGAAUGGAACACCACACUUGGAAAUGACUUGAAAAAGAAUGAAAAUGUGAUGUUGUUGGAAUAAAUGAAAUGUUAUGGGGGGUCCCUUUUUGUAGGUGCAGAUAUGUCCCCUAGAAGAGAUGUUUCCGCUUAAGGGUCUCACCUAUCUAAUCACCUAUCUAAAAAAUACGUCUUAUAUCUUUUUAGACGAUGUGUGUCUUAAAUGGAAAAAGUUUUUGGAAAAAAAAUUAAAAAUUAAAAAAACCACUUUAUGUAAUUGGGCUUUUCUAGUUACAUCCAAAAGCGUGUGAGCUAGGUGAGGCCCAAGUCCACUCCCAUCUAGUUAAACCCAAGCAUGUAUGAGCCUAGGUUCAAGCCUAUAUUUUGUUUAAAGAUUUCAAAAUGGUUAUAAAGUCCUCUCCCAACUAGUAAUCUUUAAAUGUAGAGUUACUUUCUUCCAUCACAUUUUCCAUUGACACAUAGGUCACUUUUGAGUGCAAUUUUUCAUAUACUCAUAAAUGGUUUUCGACAUAUAAACAUAUUGCAUUCAUCUAAUCACAAUGAUGAAUGCAUUCCAUCAUGGCCCCACCUUAAAAUAUUUAUCAAGCGCACUCAAAGAUCAACUCAAAGUAGUCUUUAUAUCAGAGUUUAAAAACCCAUUUUCCCAACAAUUCUCCUCAUGAAUGGAAAUUGACUUGUUAUAUGCAAAUGAUAGGUAGACAUUUGAGACAAUACUAUUUGGAAAGAAGUUACAUUAGGAUAGAUAACUUGUGGCUUUGAACCUUCCUUAGUGAAAUAAUAGCGAAUUUACUAGCUAGUUAAUGAUGGCGAUGUCUUAAAUUGUUCAAAUUUUUAUACAAAUCAAGUCAAUAGUAUUCACAGAACUCCUUCAUGGAAUUCAUUUAUAUUAAUGAUUGUGUUCAUUUGGACCUAAACAACUCCUAGUUUUUCAUGAUACUCUAGAAAAUUUAAGCCUUAAAAAUUCUCGUAGAAACAAUCUUAUUUCACACUCACAUAGGUGAUUCCUAUUAAAAGUAUCCUAGCAUACUUCAUUUGGUUUUUCAAGCUAUAAGAUUCAUUAAAAGCAAAGCUUAACCUAGUUCACAUUGUAGAUAGCACUAUUUCAUGAUAGGAAUAGAUAAGAGAGAUUAUCUCUUUAGUGCUUGUCUUAGUCAUUCAUGACUUAGUUGUCCCUUUGAACUUAGAUCUUGGGAUUUCUAGUUAACUAGUUUAAGACCAUUAUAAUGACUCUUGGUCAUAGGCUUUAAUCACAUUCCCUUCGAUGAGCAUUUAUUUUGAUCUCUUGACAAAACCUUAGUAAGUUGAUCCAAAAGGUUGUCCUUUAAUUUGAUAUAAUAAAUGAAAAUUACUCCAUUUGAAAGUAAUUGUCCUACUAUAUCAUAUCUUCAAUGUAUAUGAUGAAACUUACCAUCAUAUAUGAUAUUUGUGUCAUUCUAAUAAUUGAUUGAUUAUCAUAAUGAAUUUUAUAAUAGGGACAAGUUUUGGCUAACAUGGUAUAUUCUCCUACUUCAUCAAAUUCCAUUCUGGUCUAGCAAUACAUGUUUGCUUUGAGGACUUUCAUGAUACAUAUCCUCCUCCUAUUGUGAAUACAUAUCCAUUGGUCGAUUUGGUGUCUUUUUUAUUAAAUAUCCACUUUGCAUCACUAAAUCCUUCAAGUACAAUCAAAUAUCUUAAUGUAAUGAAAUCCAUAAUUUAGAGUGUAUCUUAGGUAAUAAGAACCAUAAUUAUUUCCUUCCAUUGAUCUUUUCCUAGAUUGUUUGUAUAUCUAUUGAACUUAUUGAAUGCAUACAUAUGUUUUGUUUAGUCAUGUAUAGUUCAUGAGAUACAUUAGACUACCUAUUAUGCUGUAAAUAUUCUUAUUAAAAUAUAGUUUGACUAGUUUUUUUAGCUAAUUGUAGAUUUAUGUCUAUUGGUGUCUUUAGUGGACUAUAUUCAUAUUUAUUUUUAAGUAUUUUCUCAAUAUAAUACAAUUGAGAUGGUACUAGUCCACUAGAUAUCUUAAAGAUUUUAAUUUUUACUUCCAAAAAUUAGUAUAUUAUCCAUGUACAGACAUACUAUUACAUAACCAUUGGGUGUUCUCUCAGCAUAGACACAUUUAUCAUAUUCAUUAAUCUUGAAGUCGUGUGACAUUGAAACGUUGUCAAACUUCUCAUGUUAUUGUUUUGGUACUUAUUUUAAUCCAUUUAAAGAUUUAAAAAGCUUGCACACUUUUUUCUCUUAUAUAGGAGCAACAAACCUUUCAAGUUGUUUCAUUUAUAUCUCUUCUUAUAAUUCACUAUUUAAAAAUGUUGUCUUGACAUCCAUUCGAUGAAUUUGAAGAUUAUGUAAUGCAGUGAUCAUUGUUAAUAUUCUAAUGAAAGUUAUUUUUAUGAUUGGUGAAUAUGUAUCCACAAAUUCAAGACCUUCUCUUUAUUUAAAAUCUUUACCUAUCAAUCUAGCCUUGUAUUUUUUUAAUUGAUAUCAGCCUUUAAUGUUCUCUAAAAGAUCCAUUUACAACUUAAAGGCUUACUUCCUAGUGGAAGAUUCAACAACUCUUGUGUAUGACUUAGUAUGAUGGAUUCAAUUUCACUAUUGAUAGGUUCUUUCUAGAACAAAGCUUCUUGAGUUGAUAUUGCUUCUUUGAAUGUCUAGAUUCAUUCUCUAAAAUAUAAGUCAGAUCAAAAGACUUAAAUACUCUUAUCCUUUUAUUACCUCUAGGUUCUUCAACAUUUUGAUGACUACUAGUAGUAUGAUAUGUUCUUUUCUAAGAACUUUUUUCUAGAAUACUUUCAAAGCAAAGGUGUUCUAAAAAAAUAAGGCAUUUAUUCAUUCAAUGAUUACAUUUUCAUGAAUAUCAAGAAUGUCUAAUUUAUAUAAAAGGAACCAAUAUGCAUUACUAUUAUUGGCAUAACCAAUAAAAAUACACUCCAUUGUUUUAGGCCCUAUCUUAAUUUUUAUGGUUAUGAAUAGCUACUUUAGUUAAAGACCCACAAACUUUCAAAUAUUUAUAGGAAGGUUUUCAUAUUUUCCAUAGUUCAUAUGUAGUUACAUCGUUUUUCUUGUGUGGAAUUUUGUUAAGAAUGUAGUUUGUUGAAAAAAAUUAUUACCCCUACAAAUUCUAGGGUAAACCAUGACUUAUCACCAUAGCAUUCAUCUCCUUUAAUGUUUGAUUCUUGUGUUUAACAACACCACUUGAUUGGGGUGAAUAAGAUGCACUAAUUUGAUGAAUAAAUCCAUGUUUAGAUUAGAACUCACGAAAAGUUGCUUCAUAUUUUCCGCCUCUAUCCCUUCUUAUUAUCUUUAUUUUAUUUCUAAAUUAGCAUUUAUGAUUGGGAUUAAUGUGAAAGUUCCACAAUAAAUUUAAAUUUUUUAACUUGCCCAAAGAAUUAAAAUUCACAUAUUCUAAUUUAUCAUGCCAUAAAUUAGAAGACUCAAGCAAAUAACCAAAAGAGUUAAGUGGUGUUUGUUUUUUGGCUGAAUAGAAAAAGCUAAAAUAUUUGUCUUUUUCUAUUCAGUUAAAAGUAACUCAUUGACAUCAACCAACAUAAUUAAACUAAACUUACUAAUAACAAGUUUACUUUAAUUAUGUUGGUUAAUAUCAACAAGGAACUUUUUCCAUUCAGCCAAAAAACAAACACCACCUUAGCUUAAUUAUUAUUACUAAAAUCUUGCAAUAUAGUCAUUACAUUCAUCUUUAAAAGCCCAUUUAUGGGACACCCUUUGCCCAUAUAUAACCUAUUCUUGUUGAAUAGAAACUUAUUAUAUUUAAAAACCAUCUUGAACUCAUUUUUACUUAAUAAUGAGCUAGACACUAAAUUCUUGCAGAUAUUCAACAAAUGCAGCACAUAUUUGAGAGUGAAUUAUUUCCCAAAAUCAUUUUUACUAACCUUUCUUAUGCCUCCGACUUUAGAAGUUGAAUUACCCAUGUAUAGCUCACUUUUAUUUAUUUGCUCAUAAGAAGAAACAUCUUUGUAUUUGAGCAUACAAAUCGAAUAGCUCCUGCAUCUAUCCAUCACUCUUUAGGGUUAUGUUAGGAUAGAGCUCUUAAAAGCAUGACAUGAUGUAACAAUAAAGGAUUUAAUUCUUCAAUUUUUUUUAAUCUAUUUUAUUCAUGCAUUAUAGUAUCAGAGCAUUUAAGCCUAUCAUCUUUCACAUUGUACAUGACUUGAGUGCAUUAGGAGUCACACGAAAGGUCCAAGUCAUGGGUUCAUUACAAGUAGAUAAGUUAUUCAUAACUGGUUUAUAGACUAGCAACCUAUUUGAAAUUGUAGUGUACUACCUUUUAAUUGAUGGAAUGACUUAUCUUUAUCAUCGAGAUAAGGUUCCCAUAGUGAGGACACGAGUGUGUAUGGUGAGUCAUGACCUAUAGCGAGUGAUGACAUUAGCUAUUGGGUAUUCAUAACUUCACCAAGCUACUAUGUUGUAUGGGUUCUUACCUUAAAAGGAUACAAAGCUAGUGUUGAAUUCUUUAGUCUUCAAUGACUUUAACCUACAUAUGAGACCCUAAGUUCCCUAUGAAUUGGAUCACUAUUGAUAAAAGUUAGUAGCAAUAGGUAUACUCAAAAUAGGAACCAUAAUACCUCAUGGGUUUGAGAUAGUUACUUCAUACACUCUUGUUAUUUAAUCUUCUAAAAGGAGAAACCCUAGCCUCUAUCCCCAUCAGAUAGGAUUCCACCUCCUCACGUAACAAGAUCCAAGAAAAAAAGUCAUCACAUAGAAGAUCUAUUAGUCUUCAAGAUCCAUGUCAACUUUUCAUUGAUUGGAAUCAAUUUGUGAACAUCUAGAUCUCAAGCAUAACAUUUAUUCUCUAGGUAUAUUUUUUUAAUAUGUAUCAUGUUUUCACUACGUAGAUCUAGAGCCCCUAGGAUAAUUUUGCAUUCACCCUACAAAUCUAAGGAUAAGAAUGUAGUAAUCUAGGUUUUCCUAUAUGUUAUCCACCAUAUUAACUUCAAAUACCAUAGCAUAAAAAAGAACAAAUUUGUCACAAGAGUUCCUUGUUUCUCUUCUUUAGUCAUGUGUACUAGAUUUUUAUUAUCAUGUCCUUUGAAACAACAAUCUUUCACUUGAUGGCCUUAUUUAUUACACACAUCACUUCUGAUUAAAAAUUUUAAGACUUACCUUUCCUUCAAGUACGACAUUUACCAAAGUAUUUCCUUUUUUUUUUUCUAACACUAGGUUUCUUCUCCACCAAGUUUGCCUUGGAAUCUAUAGAAAACCUUCCCAAUUUCUUGUUAAAAGCUCAAUGUUCUUCUUCAAUCCUCAAUUUCAUAAUCAAGUCCUCAAAUCUCAUCUCCUUAUGCUCAUGCUUCAAGUAAUUUUUGAAAUCUUUCCAAAAGGGUGAUAAUUUUUUAGUUAUAACUACAACUUGGAAAGACUCACUUAUCACCAUCUUUUUUGCAUGUAUCUCAUGCAAGAUAAUUCAUAAUUCUUAGACAUAACUAUCUUGGAGUUUAUCAUUUUGAAUUCCAAAAAUCUAUCGACUAGAUAUUUCUUCAAGUGCACAUCCGUGAUUACUACUCAAAAAGUGUUAUUUGAUAGCUUAUACUUAACUCUUUUAAAUACUUUUGAGUAGUAGUUAUCACCUUUUAACCCAAUUAACAUAUUAAGGACCCUUGUAAUCAAUUCUAAUGAAAUUGUGUUAAGUUUUGGUGUUUUGAUAGCUUUUUUAUCACCAAACCAAUCCGAGAUUGAGGAGAGUUCUUUAGGAAUCCAUGGAAAAAGAGUCUGGACACACCAUUGGAGAGCGGCGGAACGUGGGCUGUAGCAAGGCUUGCUAGCUUUAGUCAAUGUUUUCCAUUCGGACAAACAUAUUCGGAUAGGAUAUGCUAUCAUCCGGAUGAAGUUGAGCUGGAUGGGUCCCUACACCUUACAUACGCAAACGGUCCCCCUUGCGCAGCAUAGCUCGGUCCACCCGGGGAAGAAUUCCGUGCGCCGACAUUUUACAUCCGGAUAUCUCACAGCUGGAUGGGAGAGGAGGACGCUUCAACUUCUCCGGAUAUACAUAUCCGGACCUUCUAAUAACGCUCACCCGGAGAGUUUUUCUCUCAGUAUACAAUGUCGCGGUGUUAUCCUGAAGCUUCCUGAUAUUUUCGACCGACAUCUUGAGAUAUUUCCGACCGACAUCUUGAGAUAUUUUCGACCGACAUUUUGGGAUAUUUUGCUUUAGAUAUUUGAUGUCUAAAUCCCUAAACUCUCCUUAUAAUCCACCUAUCAUAGGACUCCUUAGUCUUUAAGUAAGAACAAGGGGUGAAUAACCUCUUAUAUAUAGUUUGUAAUUUCCUUUACACAGAACAUCGAUCAUAUAUCAUCGAUCAUAUAUCAUAUAUAUCAUAUAUAUGAAACCGACAAACAGAGCACUUGCUCUGUUUUUCCUAUUUUUGUUUUCUCGUUAGUUUUCUUUCUAGCCAAUCAAAUUUUGAGGAUUUUUCCUCAGAGGAUGAGAGGCUAGGCUCUUUGUCUCUUGGAGUAAAGAAAGCUGGGUAAGUUUCCUCAUGCAUAAAUUGGAAGUUUUGUUGUUUUAGUUUUUAAUGAAGAGAAAGUGUGAUCCUUUAAUGAUUUCUAUGUUUUUAGUUAACUUAAAACACCUUCAAGUCACUUGAGCCAACACUUGGUAAGGCACGUGAUCUCCAUCCAUGGAGAUGCACUUGUUUAUCUCUUGCGAGCUUUUGGGAAGUGACUUGGAGGUAGGAUUUUCUAGAAUUGCCAACACUUGGUAAGCUUUUGGACUCCAAGGAGACAUCCAUUAGUUAUCUCUUGCGAGCUUGAGAAGGGAAGUCUAAAGUUAAAGAUCACCUUGAAUAGCAAAUGCUAGGUGAGAGGCACGAGCCAUUGCAAGUUGUAUCAGUGAGAGGGAAUUAGAGCUGAAAUCCAUUUAAAGGUUACAUUUGUACAACACCGGUUAGAGAAUUGAUUAUAUGUUAAUUCUCUAAUGCGAGGAAAUGAACCAAAUGACCAGAGCUCUCUUUUUGCAUAAGGAACCUCCCCUAUGAACCCAAACCUCCAAGGAAUGUUUUUCUUCAUAAGUAAUUUCCAUUACUUUCUUUUUGGUUAGUUUAAGACCAAACCCUUUUCACUCAAACAUCUUUAUGUUUUUUUUUAAAGCUAACCUUGAAAUGAAAAAGCACCAACUCAGCUUUGAAUUGGUAUCAGUUGUGAGUUGAAAACCCUUCCUAGUGAACGAUCCUAGAGCCACUAUGCUAUAGUAGCUUUGUCUUUGCUACCCUAGUUCAUGGUGUAAUAGGUUAUAAAUUUUGUUGAUUACUACCUCAAUCAAGGAGCGCCAGCUGGACAUGAAUCAGUUGAGACACCAAUUGGGAACGAAUCAAUCCUCUAUCCUAUACUUUUUCUCUAAGGACUUUCACAAUUCCUUAGUAGUAUAUAUUGUAUAUAUUGGACUAUACAUACUUUAUAGUGUGUUGUCCAAACCAAGGAUGAAAAUUUUUGUUUUUUUCAUCGAAAUUUCGGCGAUAUUUCGUGUUUCAGCCGAUGGCGAAACGAAAUAGGAGGGCGAAAUGUCGACGGCAGAAAUAUCCAAAAAUUUCGCCAAAAAUCGGAUAAAUUUCUUUGAAAUUUUGGUAAAAAAAGAAAUUUCGGCGAUUUUUUCAAAAAAUCGCCUCUAGUUGGAAAAUUUCUGAGAAAUAUCAUUUUGUUUCGGUUUAUUUUGGCAAUUUUUCUCCGAUUUUGUGAAAAAAAAAAAAUUGUACCUGUAACACUAGCAUCGAUGCUGAACGGAGGCGAUAAUGGCGGAACCAUCGGUGGUGAGGUCAAGUUACACAACCACGGAUCAAACGGUGGUGUUAGGGCUUGAAGAGUGGUUGAUUUCUUGGCAGAGAGAGAGAGAGUUGAGGUGCUGGGUUCGACGAGCAGGGUGAUGGGUCUAGCGAGCAGCGGCGAUGGGUCCGACGAGCAGCAGUGAUGAUGUUGGAGGCUUGGAGCCACUUUGGCGAGGUCGAGACAGAAGUGGCAUCACAUGUAAUUUUGUGAGGGACGCCUUGCACCUACUGCUCAUCCAACGGCUCCUAGUUUCCCCGCAUUGAUCUGACGGUUCAGAUUUGGUCUGACCUCCAACGGUCAAUUUUUUGUACAUCUGAUGGUCCAAAUUGAAGCUGGAUGUGAUCCAACGGUUAGAAUUGAACCCUAACGUCUAUGUGAUGAUCCAAUGGUUAGAUUUUGCCCAGAUUUCGAUCCAACGGCCAAUUUUGUUUUCCAACGGUAAAAUAAGAUUCCAACAGCUUUUUGGCCCAAUUUUUUUUUCUAUAAAUAGCUUAUUUUUCACCAAUUUCAUCCACAUUUCAUAUUUGAUCUCUCAUUGCUCCCAAGGUUACUCAUUUUGUUUUUAAGGUAUGUUUGUUUUAAAUUUUUAUUAUUUUGUAUUGAAGUGUUAUUAAUUAGUAUAUUAUUUAAAUCUUCAAUUUUAUUUAUUUUCUUUUCAAUUGUCAUGAAUUAGUACAUAAAUGUUUUUUUCUUUUCAUUUGUAAUUAUUGAAUUAAUUAGUACAUUUUUAAAAUCUUGAAUGAAUUAGUAGAUUUUCAUAUAAUUAAUUUAGUUUAGUUAAUUUAUUAACUUAAUUAACAAUAUUAGUAGCUUCCCAAUUUUUUCAAUUUUUUUAUAUUUUCAUUCGUAAUUAAUUAGUACAUUUGAAUUAAUUAGUACAUUUUUUAAAUCUUGAAUGAAUUAAUAGAUUUUCAUAGAAUUAAUUUAGUUUAGUUAAUUUAUUAACUUAAUUAACAAUAUUAGGAGCUUCCCAAUUUUUUCAAUUUUUUUUAUAUUUUCAUUCGUAAUUAAUUAGUACAUUUGAAUUAUUUAGUACAUUUUUUAAAUCUUGAAUGAAUUAGUAGAUUUUCAUAGAUUUUCCUAUGUACUUUAUGUUGAUGGCAUCAUUACCGACAACCAUGAAUUUCAAAAAAUUAAAAGAAAAAAAUAUGUAGUUGUACUAUAGCCAUAUGCAUUUCAGUUAACAUAAUAAUGUACAUUCAAUUUGUGUGUGUAUAAAUAGGGAAAAUUGUGAUUUCUGGUGAGAUGGACCUAAAAAUUGACCCAAUAUCCUCAUAUUGCUCAUAAUUAAUGAUAAGGAUAAGAAAUGGUGAUAGACAAAAAUACUCAAUUGACUUAUCACAUGCUCAUGCUAGUGUUUGUAGGAUCCAUCAUUUAUAGGGAUGGCAAUGAGGUGGGUUUUUUUGGAUACCCACCCUGCCCCGCCCCUAAUAGAAUGGGUUUCAAUUUUAAUUAAACAAGUUUGGGAAUUUUUUUAAAACUUAGGGCGGGUUUGGGUAUUGCCUUGUCCCAUCUCGUCCCAUCCCACCCCACCUUGCCCCAAUUACAUAUAAAUUAAUUUUGGGUUAUUUGGUUAAAGAGGUCAAAAUAACCCCCAUAUUUGCAAAUAUAAUCCACCGGUUAAAAAGCAAAACAAAAUUGUUGAUUUAGACAAAAAUGGCCUUCUUCUUUUUUUUUUCUCCAACACUUACAACUUCUCAUCUUUUGCUUCAUUUACAGAACAACUCCUCAUAUUUUCCAAAAAAAAUUCUCUCAUCAUCUUCUUCUACUUCAUUAUCUUCUUUUGAUGCACAACACGGAAAGCUCAUCUCCUCUUCCGCUUCAUUUAUAGAAUGAGUCCUCAUCUUUCAUCAUCUUCUUAUAUUUCAUUAUCUUCCUUUGAUGCACAAAACAAAAAACUCAUAUUUCCUUAAAAAUUCCUAGAAAAUUUCUCGUCUAUCCUCUCAUCCUCUAUUUCAUUCCGAAUCCUUGGAAAAAAAUUGUUAUUCUACUUUUUUCAAGUUAUCUCAUAUUGUAUCUUCAAGCAAGAAGGAAACAAUGAGUUCAUUGAAGAGUGAUAAGAGAAAAAGAUUUAAAAAAAAGUGGCGAAAAAGCAAAAAUGCCAAUUGCAAAUAGAAGAAAAAAGUAAAGCAAAGGAAAGCGAAGCUACUAAGCAAAAAUCUCAAUUACCAAUAGAAUAGGCAAGUGAUUUUGCUAAACCGGUGAAUGUAGUCUUCACAUAUGAUAAAUUAUUGAAAUUUUUAGAGAUGUUAUACAAUUAUAUUUGAGUAUGGUUAAUUUUAUUAGUUAAAUGUUUUUAAAAAUUUAGGAUUUAUUGAAUUGUAUUCAAAGUAUAAAAUUGUUAUAUUUAUUUAUUUAGUUGUCCAUUGUUAUUAGUUAUGUAUUUGAGUGAAUAAAUUUAGGUUUUUUAGCUGAUGUUUUAAAAUAUCUGGGAACUAUUAUAGUGUGUUGAAAAAUAAUAAAUUGCAUAUUAAUAUUGUUUUAGUUUUCUGUAUUAUUAUCAAUCAUGUCUUUAGAGUGAAUUAGAUAUAUUCAAUGUAAUAGCAUCUAAUUAGGGAUAAGUUUGCAAAGAAUUUAUAAAAUUUUAGGGAUUUUUGGAAAUUUUAGGGGUAUUAUACAAUGGUGUUUGAGUAGGUCUAUGUUCUUUACUUGAUACUUUUAAAAUUUUGGGAACUAUUGAAUUGAUUUCAAAAUAACAUAUGGUAUAUUUAUAAUUUUUGUAGUUAUAUAUUGUUGUCAAUUAUGUAUGUAGAGUGAAUAAAAAAUAUAUAAUGAAUUCAUGCAAUGAAAUGUGAUUAAGGAUAAGUUUUUAAAGAAUUUAUGAAAUUUUAGGAUUUUUGAACUUUUUAGGGAUGUUAUGUAAUGACAUUUGAGUAGUGUUAAAUUUGUUAGUUAAUAAUGUUUUUAAAAUUUUGGGAACUAUUGGAGUGUGUUAAUCAGUAUUGUAUAAUAUUUAUAAUUUUGUAUUAAAUCUUUACUAGCUUAAUUUUAUUUAAUUUAUAGACUACUACUCCUUCGACAUGUUUUAAAGUUAAAAUACCUGUAAAAGAGCACUUCCCAUCAAAGGCUUCAUGUCUAUCACACUUGAGUGUAAUAGAAAAUAUUAAAAAGAAGCUCAAUAAGGAACAAUUGGAGAGGUUCAAGGAUUCUUGCUUUGGACAUUUUUUGCUUAUGCCAGAACUUAAAUUUUCAGCUCAAAUUGUGCACCACAUGUUAUUAUGUCAAUGUCUUAUAAAGAAUGAUGAUGAAAUGUGGUUUUUAGUAAAUUCAAAGGGAUUAAGAUUUGGUGAAGAUGAGUUUGGAUUAAUCACUGGUUUAAGUUUUGGUCCCAUUCCUCAGCAUAAUGAAACAUCAAUGAGAAUAAGGGAUGUUUACUUUAAUAGUGAAAACAAAGUGUGUAAUGAUCAUUUGGAGAAAGUUUUUCUUUCUUUUGGUGAAGUGAAAAAAAAAAGCAAAAGAAAAAUGUUGAUAAUCUUAAAGAUGAAGACAUGGUGAAAUUAGCCUUAUUGUACUUUCUUGAGCAUGUUCUACUUGGGAAAGAAGGGAAAAAUUUAAUAGACAUGCAAUGGGUUGGUCUUGUUGAUUGUUUGGAAGUUUUUAAUAAGUAUCUAUGGGGUAGGAUUUGUUAUGAAAGAACAAUUUAUGGGCUGCAACAAGCCUUGGAGAACCGGGUGUCAAAAUACCAAGGUAAAAAGCAACAAAAGGGUAAUAUAGCAUAUGAGGCAUAUAGUUUAGUUGGAUUUCCAUAUGUCUUCCAAGUUUGGGUGUAUGAGACUAUUUUGAUUAUCAAAAUGAAAUAUGCUAAUCAUGUUGCUAAGAUUUGCCCACAGAUUUUAAAUUGGAGUGCUACUUCCACAUUGAGGUUCACUAAGCUCCAACAAAUCUUUUUGGACUCCAAUGUGAGUAAUUUUUUUACCAUAUAUUUUAAUAGUGUUGUCACUUACAUAUUUGUAUAUGUUUAUGUUUGUUAAUUAAAUUACUUAACUUGAAUUCAAUUGUUAUCUUUGUGUUCGUUGCUUAAACCUACUUUGGAGGAAUGUCAACAAAAUUAUUACAAGUAUUUGAAUAAGUUAGGGUCAGUGAAGGGUGUUUCUCCAAAAAUUUUAAGCCAACCAACAACCCCGGAACAUGAUACUAUGGGUGACCUAGAAGAUGAAGAUCACCCGGUUGAAGUUAAUGCGUAUGCUGCUGCUGGUGCUACAAUGGAAAACAAGAAGAAAAAAGAUUAUUCUAUCCUACUUUCAAUUGAGGUAACUCUACUAUCAUACAUUCAUCUAUAAAUGUCAUUUUUAAUGUUUCAAUUGUAAUAUAAAGUUCAAAAAAAAAUUCAAAUUGAAAACUUAACCUCGGUUAAGUUAAUCAUCAAUGAAACUUACCCAUAGUCAAGUGAAGGUUACUUUGACAAACAUAACAUAACUAUCAUAAGUACACAUCAAUUUUUUUUAAAUUAUGACUAUAAUUUUGGUGUACAAUGAUGUAUGAUGAAUUAAAGUUUCAUUUUUUUUAUAACAUGUGUAGAAUCUAUGGAUAGAGUUCAUGAAGCAUAUAGAAAAGUCUAAAUCAAAUUUCAAUUAUUUGAAGAAAGAACUGAAGGAAGUGAACAGAAAGAUUGACAACUUAAGACAAAUUUUAUUGGAUGUUAGUGAUAUAUUUAUUGAAUUUUAUAUUUUAUUCAAUCAAAUUAUGUAUUUUAUUUCUAUAUUUCUACUAUCUUAUUGUAUGGUGCAUAUCUUAUUUUAGGUGAAGGGGCAAAAUGAGUCAUGUGUUAUAGAUAAUACAAAAUUUCAAAAUCUGGUACAAAAGGAAAAGAUAUUGGGAUGGAUUUUAAUUCACUGGAUGACAAGUUUGAGAGUGUGAUGGAAGAUAACGAGGAUAAGAACCAUGGUCAUAUAGAUGUGAAGACCAAUACAAAAGAAAUAACGGAUAUUGUAGCUACAGAAAAACACAUAAUAGGGAUGGAGAAAGAUGAUGAUGUGAUUUUUAAUCCAAUUGUUGAUAUUCCCAUAUUAUUUGAUACCCCUACCGUACUAGGCAACUUUUUGAUUUAUGUAUUUCCAAAGCAACUAUCCCCCACUGUAUUUAAGCGAAGAUGUGAGUUGAAAAAAUCCUAUUUUUUGCAACCUCCUUUCACAGACCCUACAUAGAGAAGGAAAAUUAGAAAGGAAGGGGAAACAACAUUUGACUUUAAUCAUUUGCAAUCUAUUUAUGAGAAAGCAAGAGAAGCCUUUCAUAAGUGGUUGAGUCUUCAACAAGGGUAAUUAUCUUUACUUUAAACUUGUAAUAGUUUCUUUUUGGCAACUUCUUUGCUUAACCAUGGUUUUUUGAUAUAUUAUUACAAUAAGGUUUAAGGUUGAUAUUGGUUACUUGCAUGCGGACAAAGAAUGGUUUGAGUCACUAGUUCAGCAUGGUUCAUGGCUCAAAGACAUGGUUUGUAAAUGUUCUUAUUGUGUUUGGUUUUACUUAUUAGUAUAUUGUUAUUAUAAUGAAAUAGUAUAACUAAUGUUUUUUUUUUGUAUAUGUUGUCUAGCAUAUUGAUGUUGCUUUCUACUUUUUCCAUAAGUGGAUAAUAGAAAAGCCCCCUGCAUUUUCUCAAAAUUUUACCACCACAGAUACAAUGGUUUGGGUAUGUAUAAUUUCGUUUUACUAUUGACCCUCAUAAUACUAGUUAAAUUAUUGUAGUUUAACUAUUCUUGUUUACCUUUUCUUAUAUAGAAAAAUAUGAAAGCAAGGUGGGAGAAACAUGCUAAAAAGUGGAAUAAAUUCCAAAUGCAAGCAGAUGAUAUUCUUGUUGACUAUGUUAAUGGGCUUCACCCAAUUCCUUCCAUGAAAUGGUCUGAAGUGGACAUUGUUUAUGUCUCUAUUAAUAUUUGAAGUAUGCAUUGGGUACUGGGAGUAGUUCACCUUGCUCAGAGGAGAAUAUUUGUGUAUGACUCAUUGAUAGGCAUUAAUAGUGAUAAUUGACUAAAAGGUGCCAAAAUACCUUUAGCUAAAUUGUUACCGCAUGUUUUGUAUGUUACAUCAUAUUAUGGGAAGAGCGGUGAUCCUAAAAGUGAAGAACAGUGGGACAUUGAACGGUUGCAUGAUGUUCCUCAACAAGAGUAUGAGUAAGUUAACAAAUAUUCAAACUUCAUCUUAUCAUUUCACCUUUAUACCUUAUACAGUAAAUUUUUUUUAGUCAUCUUAAUUUUGAUUACUUGUGUUUCAUGUAGUGGUGAUUGUGGGAUGUUCCUGAUUAAAUAUGCAGAAUACUUAAUGCAUGAUCAUCCAUUAAGUUCACUGACCGGUUCCCGCAUUGAUUGGUUUAGAGAGAAAAUGGCAACUGAAUUGUCCUACUUCAAAAUUUUACCCAUGUAGUGGGUUUCAUUUUGAUUAUGUAAUAGGUUUAUAUGUUGUUGAGUGUUGACUAUUAUUUUAGAUGAAUUUGACUUGAUGCUCAAAGUUACAAUUUUUGUAAUGUAACUAUAACUUUCAACUUAACUAUAGUUAAGUUAUUUGGUAAUGCAAAUCAACAAUUGUUAAGUUCAGGUGAAUAUUCUGAGUGUGAAUUUAACCACAAUUAAGUUCUUUAUUAAUGCAACUCAACCAUUGUUAAGUUCAGGUGAAAAUUCUAAUUGUGAACUUAACUAUGGUUAAGUUCUUUAUUAAUGCAACUCAACUACUGUUAAGUUUAGGUGAAAUUUUUGAUUUUGAACUUAACUGUGGUUAAGUUAUUUGUUAAUGCAACUCAACUAUUGUUAAGUUUAGGUGAAAUUUAUGACUGUGAACUUAAUUGUGGUUAAGUUCUUUGCUAAUGGAACUCAACUACUGUUAAGUUCAAGUGAAAUUUAUGACUGUGAACUUAACUGUGGUUAAGUUCUUUGUUAAUGCAAUUGAACUACUGUUAAGUUCAGGUGAAAAUUCUGACUGUGAACUUAUCCAUAGUUAAGUUCUUUGUUAAUGCAACUCAACUACUAUUAAGUUCAGGUGAAAAAAUUAACAAAGAACUUAACCAUAAUUAAGUUCUUUAUUAAUGCAACUCAACCAUUGUUAAGUUCAGGUGAAAUUUAUGACUGUUAAUGUGGUUAAGUUCUUUGUUAAUUCAACUCAAUCAUAGUUAAGUUCUUUGUUAAUGAAAUGAUCAUCAACUUAACCAUAGUUAAACUUAACCAGGUAAUUUAUAUGAUAAAACUAAAACAUUAACUUAAAAUUUCAAUCCAUCAUUCAAAAAAAUUGCUCUAAGCAUAUAUAAAAAAAUAGGCUCAAAAAUUCUUCAUGGCCUUAUACAAAAAAAAGUGUAGAUACAUAGCUAAAUCAUCCCCAAAAAACAAAUUUUGUGGUAACAUUAUUAAAGCGAUUGAUGAACUAGUUGUAAGGAGAAUUCUUAGAUGUUGAUAUUGUUUUCAACAAUAUUGACACAACUAUAUUCAUCUCUAGGAUGUAAUGGGAUUGGUCGUUUGCAUAUUUUUCUAUUAUGCCUAUAAUCACCACAUCUACCAUAGCAUCGUGUGCCUUAACCUCUCCACUUGAAUGAAUUCUCUCCUUUCUUGGUUUUCUUGCUGGCCACCGAAUUUUUGGUGGUAGCACAACUCUACAACAGAUGUCUUCCGGAAUGACCCAAUCUUUGUUAUUUCCAGUAGGAUAUAUAGACUUUGAGUAUGAAGAUAUAAGUGAGUUCUUCAUAUAGUAUUGAGAGCAAAGAAUAUAGCAUGACAUGUUUCCAUAUCUACAUGCAGCAAUAACAUGUGCACAUGGAAUAUGGUCAAAAUCAAACAUCCUACAUGUGCAUGAACGGGUUUACAAAUUAACUUGAUUACUUACCCGAGCAUAUUUGACAUUAAACUCCCAAGAGUUGAUAGGCUCAACCUCAUAACCUGAUGACUUAUUAAACCUUAAGCACAACUCCAUGCCAGCCCAUGUAGUAAGCUCAGUUUUCAUUGACAAUGUUUGUUGUUGGCAAUUUGAAAACCAUCUCUGAAGUAAGUUUCUCAACUCUUCAACCAUUCGCACAAUUGGAAGAUCUCUUGCAGUUGAACAACUUGGGACAACAAACUUCAGCUUCCAAAAUUCUAAUAUUUUUAGAAAUUCAACCGGUCUUGGGACUACACAAGUCUCCAAAACUGGUCCAUAUCUUCUCCAAUCACUUCUAAGUACUAAAUUCAGAGGCCUCAGUGGAGAUUUUCAAAUUGUUGAUGGGUAACUACGUUCAUCAGCCUUUCAAAUAGUCAAUGUGAUCGGUAAAGGGGAAAGAGGAGUAGCACUUUGGACAACGGAGAAUGGGAUUGUAAGAAAUUCAAAUCCUACUUAUAAGGCUGAUCUAAGAACCAUCAUAUGGCCGGGAGAAUCUCCUUCGAUUCCUAAAGGUUGGGUGCUUCCCACAAACGGCAUGAAGUCCUUGAGAAUAGGAGUACCAGUGAAGGAGGGGUUUAGUGAAUUUGUAAAGGUGACACCAGAUCCUAUCACUAACAUUACAAAGGUCACUGGAUACUGCAUAGCUAUCUUCGAUGCUGUGAUGGCAGCAUUUCCAUAUUCUGUUCCUUACGAGUACAUUUCGUUCGAGACCUCUGAUGGCAAGCCUGAUGGCAAUUACAAUGAUUUGAUAUAUCAAGUAUAUCUUCAGGUUAGUUCAUGAACUCCUUAGCUUUCCAAGCAGAUAGACCUAACUCUAGCUUAACUCCAGUUAUAAAACCAACUGCAAUCCUCUCAUGUUAUUCUUUGUGUGCAUAGAAGACGAGCAAACCAGAAAUUCCAACCAAAUGCAUUUAUAGAUUGGUCCAAAAUUCUAUUGUGAACAGAAGUAUGAUGCUGUUGUGGGAGAUACUACUACCGUAGCGAACAGGUCCUUAUAUGUAGACUUUACGCUGCCUUAUACAGAAUCUGGGGUGUCAAUGAUUGUGCGCAUUAUAGAUAAAAGAAGUAAAAAUGCAUGGGUUUUCUUGAAGCCGCUGACUUGGGACCUUUGGGUGACAAGCGCUUGUUUCUUUGUCUUCAUUGGUUUUGUGAUUUGGGUUCUGGAACAUCGUAUAAAUGAAGAUUUCAGAGGGCCUUGUUCAAAUCAAGUUGGCACGAUCCUCUGGUUUUCAUUCUCGACCAUGGUGUUUGCCUAGAGUAAUUGCUCUUCCACCUCCUCGAAUAUACAUGGCAAUGAAAAAAUUACAUGAUAGUAAUUGAAAACACCGCAUAUUUCCAUGCUGUCAGAACCUUAAUAUGAUAACACUCGAAACACAACUGAAACCAACUAUUAAUAUAUGGACAUUCCAUACAAUAUGCAAGUAAAGUUCAGGAUAUAUUUUUAUGUUUCAAAAUUUAUAUUUGACUUGAUAUUGAUGUUCUGAAGCUGAUCUUCCUUUCCAUUCUUAAAUUAUGUUUAUAGAGGACAGAGUUGUGAGUAACUUGGCUCAGUUCAUGGUGAUCAUAUGGUUUUUCGUGGUCCUGAUUCUUACUCAAAGUUAUACUGCCAGCUUGACUUCAAUGUUAACAGUUCAAUAGCUGAAGCCGACUAUCACAGACAUAAAUGAGCUCAUAAAGAACGGGGAGCGUAUGGGUUACCAGAAGGGCUCUUUUGUUCAUGAAUUCUUGAAGUGGAUGAAAUUUGAUGAAACCAAGCUUGUAAUCUAUGAGUCUCCAGAAGAGCUAGAUGAAUUAUUUUCAAACAGGAGUUCAGAUGGUGGAAUUGCUGCUGCUUUUGAGGAAAUCCCUUACAUGAAGCUUUUCCUUGCAAAAUAUUGCUCUAAAUACACUGCAGUUCAACCAACUUACAAGUUCGGGUUUGGAUUUGUGAGUCUCUCUCACGUACUUGUGCAUAAGUUUUCAAACUUUGCUAAUUGGUUUCUUAUUUUGUAAAUUUUCAGGUCUUUCCAAAGCGAUCACCUCUCAUACCUGAUGUUUCAAUGCAAGUCUUAAACGUGACUGAGGGAGCUAAAAUGGUUCAAUUUGAGAAAGCAUGGUUUGGGCAGACACCCAGUUGUCCAGAGCUCACCAGCUCAGUUUCUUCAAACAGCAUCGGCCUUAAUAGCUUUUGGGGCCUAUUCCUCACUGUUGGAGUCGCUUCAUCUAUAGCUCUCAUCAUAUGCAUCACCACUUUCCUCUAUGAAAAUAGAGAUACUUUAGUACACUUGGAUCCCCCAGCUUCAGUAUGGAGAAAAAUUAAAGCCAUGGCAACACGCUUUGAUCACAAAGACCUCAGCUCGCAUACUUUCAGGAAAAGUGAAAUGGUACAUAGAAGUGGCAUCAAUGGUAUGGAUGCAGUUACAGCCUCGCCAGCUAGCUACCAACUGCCCCCCAAGUCCGUCAAGCCUUUCCAUCCAAACAGAGAGUAAUUUUGCUUUCUUCAGAGACCAAGAAACGCCUUCUUCUGAAUAUGGCGAUCCAUUCAGUCCAAAUAGGCAGACAUCUCCACAGUAGUAUUUGAUAUUAAUUAAUCUUACUAAUACAAAUCAAGUGCAAAUGAUUCCGCCUCAAGUAGCAGCUGCGAAUGACUGAUUCAUUUUCCUUUUGUAAUUUAAGCCAGUGGAACCAUUAUCCACAAAUGUGGAAUAUUUCAUGAAAAAGUAGCACUGUAGCUAUAGCAAAUUUGGUUAAAAUAUUUGAGGGUAUAUCUCAAUGAUGAACUACACCGAGAGGAGGAGAGGGGCUGAAUAGGUGUUUUUAAAUAAAUUCGAAAAGUUCUCCCAACAUAUAUAUAUAUAUAUAUAUAUAUAUAUAUAUAUAUAUAUAUAUAUAUAUUAUAUUUUCCUUUAAAUCUUUACAAUUUAUAUUGCUUUCUUCCAACAUCGAUUCAACAUUAAAGAAUAAAAUACGCAAGCAAACAACCUCCUAUAAGGCCACUAAACUAAUUUACUCCGACUUCACAGUGGAUAGAGCAAUGCAGGAUUACUUCUUAGUCCACCAAGUAAUAGUGACACCAUUGAGUCAAAAACAUAUCUCGUAGUGGAUUUGCACUCAUCUCUAUCACUAACCCAAUCUGUAUUAUAAUAUCCUCUUAAUCUCAAGUCUCCACCUCGAUAGCAAAGGACAAAAUCUCUACAUCCUUGGAGGUGGCAAAAAAUCCUCUUAAUUGCUCGCCAAUGAAUGGGGUAUGGGUUACUUUGGUAACGAUUGACCAAUUGAACUACGAAGCAUAUGUAGGGUCAAGUACACAACAUAACAUAUAUCAUACUUCCAAUUGCACUCACAUAAGGAACUCUUACCAUAUGUUUCCUUUCUUCAUCAUUCUUAGGGCAUUGAUCAAGGCUUAGGUUGUAACCCUUCUCAAUAGGGGUGUUAAUAGGUUUGCAAUUUUGCAUUCAAAACUACUCUAGAAUAUUCUUAAUAUGAGUGAUCCCUUAGGAUCUUAAGUCCGAGCACAAAAUUUGCUUCCCCAUGUCCUUCAUAUCAAACGUGGAGGACAACCAUCCUUUGGUAGCAACAAUUAUGUCCAUGUCACUUCUAGUUAAUAGAAUGUCAUUGACAUACAAAGAUAAAAUGAGGAAGUCUUUCCCUGAUCAUUUAACAUAUACACAAUGGUUCUCUAAAUAAUAUUUCAAAACCAUUAGACGUAAUUGUCUCAUGAAAUCUAAAGUACUACUAUCUAGAUGACUAUUUUAGGCCAUAAAUGGAAUGCUUGAGAUGACAUACUUUGCACUCUUGUCCCUCAACCUCAAAAUGAAUAAGUUGAUCCAUAUAGAUCUCCUCAUUUAGUUUUCCAUUGAGAAAUAUAGUCUUCACAUCUAUUUGGAAGAUCUCUAAGUUCAAAUGUUCAACUAUAGCUGGAAUAAGGCGAAUAGAUGCAAAUCUCACCACUAAGGAGAAUGUCUCUUCAUAAUAUAUAUCCUUUCUUUGGGUAUAUCCUUUCACCAUUAAAUGAGCCUUAGAUUUGUUGAUUGAACCAUUUGUCUUGUGUUUAAUUUCAAACCCAUUUAUUUCCAAUGGUCUUAUGCUCGGGUGUAAGAUCAACUAACUCCCAAAGAUAAUUCAUUGCCAUGGAAUUCAUUUCUUUCCUCAUAGUAGCCAUCCAUUAUACUGAUUUAGAUAAAGUCAAAGCUUCUUCCUAAGAAGCAGAUUUAUCAAGAUCUAACUAUGUAGACAUGUAGGUUUCCCUUUUAAUCUCAAAAUGGUGUUGGGGAAUUUGACCACAUUUGCUUCUUUGUAACUCAAGACCUUGUGAAGAUCGUCUAGUGACACAUUCCCACUAGGAAAUAAACACUCCCACUAUCUUUGGUGAUUUCAAGAUGGGCUUGUAAUUCCCUACCCUCACUCAAAUAUUGUGUUGCUUCCUCUUGCAACUCAUAGAGUUCAAGACUCUUCUUUACUUCAAUAGUAGGAAAAUCAUUUUCUAUAAAAUCAACAUUGUGUGACUCUGUUUCAGUCAACAUUGUGUGACUCUUUUUCAGUCAACAUUAUGUGACUCUAUUUCAGUCAAUCCUCUAACCCUUUAAGUAGUCAAAAUAUCUUAUAAAGACAUUCUUAUUUGCUCUAGGGUCAAACUUCUUACAUCUAUGAGAAGUGUUAUGAACAUAACCUAUACAACCCCAAGGUCAUAAAUUCUCCAAAUUUGGUUUUGCAUCAUUCCAUAGCACAUAUGGAGUUGGAGGGACUGAUUUAGAAGACACUCAGUUAAGGAUUAAGGUAGUAAUCAAAAGAGCAUCCCCCUAAAAAGAUAUUGGGAGGUUAGCUUGCACCAACUGUGGACCCGCAUUUCUCACGUGCGGUGAGACUCACUUUUAUUUGGUGAAAAAUUAGUUUUAAAAAAGUUGAAGUUGCGACUUAUUUUAUUUUUAUUUUAAAGGGAAAAUAAAACAAGAAAGAAAACACUAAAAAGUGACUCCACAAUUUUUGGAAAAAGCAUGUCUUUGAAAAACCCGAGUCUAAGUCUGGGGAUCAGGUUACUUAUUGGAAAGGUAGCUCUAGCAGGUAGCACCCCUCUAAGCCUUAUGAAGGUCUGUACUGACUAAGUUAAGGGAAUUGGGGCAAUUAAUUGGUUAAUUAUAGAUACCUAAGUAGGCUAAGUGAUUUAAAAAAUAAGCAUGUAUAACAAGAAAGUUUGAUCAUAAGAGAGAGUCAUAGUGCAUACCUAAACGACUUUUCAAGCGCUAUCAUGAAACAUAAAAGUUAGUAUAGAAACAUAUCACACAACCUGUGUUUUAUCCAAGCAAAUCAAGUAUAUACCUAAGCACACAAGAAUCACAUCAAGUAUGGAUAUAGUUAUCAGUAGCAUAUGUGUCCAUAGAAUUCUCAAGGGUAGGUGUGGAGGAGCAUACCUGGAUAGCAAGCUAGUACUCCUCUAUGGGAAACAAAGUUAGCCCAAUAACAAAUUCAAAGUAAUCUCAUAUAUGCCACAAAGAGGAGGCAUAAUCAAUCAAAUAUCAAACGAGCUAUAUUGAUCAAGAAACUAUCAUGGAUGUCGGGCCCCCACCAAAGCCCUAAUUAAUUUUGUAUGAAUUGAUUCUAUGAAUUCCAUUGUUUGGAAUCAUGAAGUUUAUUCAUGCUUGUUAAAAAUUGAGAAAAUCAAGAAAAUUAGUAAAAAAAAGUAGUGAAAAUGUGUGCCAGGAGGAAAAUGGUAGCAAAUAAUAUGUUAAAAUCUGGAUUUUAUGCCUGGAAACUCCUAAGGAAUUUUAAAGAAAACUAGAGUUAUUUUGACGGAAAAUGGUUUUGAAAUCCAGCUUUAAGAUGUAUAAGAUCACAAAAAGAAGAAAAAGAAACAUUAGGAGUAUGAUAUGUGGCAAGGUGGUUAAGUUAGAGUGAGAUCUGAGAGUGUGAUUGGGACUGCAUUGAUGGUGGUUUCAUGAGGAGUCUUCUAUAGAUUACCGAUAGGUCUGGUUUUUCAUAACCAUAACUCGAAUCAUCAACAGAAGAUUGCAGUGAAGCAGCAAAGUCCAGUUUCAGAUCUGAUUCCUUUGCUGCCACUUAUUCUGGAGUUUCAAGUCUUUGCUCAGAAGUUCAUCUCAUUAAUCCAUUUUCUCACUGUUCACUUCUGGAUUUUUUUUCUGUAGCUUUGAUUCUGUGUCUUCUUACUCAUCUCGAGCUUCAUCUCUUACCCCUUCGAUAUCUUAAUCAGUCAUUUGUAGCCUGCAUGAGGGAGUUCGCUGAUGGCCCACUUCCAUUAUUCGAAGAUGUAGCUUUUCGAAUAAAUGCACGGACUGUUGCAAUGUCUCCAAGCUGUAUGUGUGUGGUACCCCUUUUGAAUUUUAGCAAGUGCCUUAAAGCUUAUUUUCUUCUAAAGCGGGUUCCAAGGCUAAGUGGUCCAGAGGUUGGAUCAGUUCUCCCCGUAAGGAUGCAAGAGCAUGUCUUGAAGUUGUAUUUUUUACAGUUCGUACAGGUAAGAACAUGUGCAAACUAGGCAGCACCAUUUCUUUCUCUGAAGCCAAUAAGCCAUGAUCAGGCCUCUUUAAACUGAACUCGGCUCUGAUGGAUAUACUGCUGGCUUAGGACUCUCUAAUUUCUUUCCAGCUGACUGCAAUGGGACCUCUGAGACUAAAGGUUUGCUUAAAGAUUCUUUUGGACAAGAUUUUGAAGAAGCAUCAAAGCAACUUUCUUGUUCUAUACGAUUCGAAGUAUGAAUUUGAGUGGAUUGAGGAUUUGAUGGGUUCAAUCUUGCUUCAUCUGCAUGCAAAUAUCCCACACUGAUAUCAUCAGCUUGUACCUCCAACACUUGUUCCAAAGGAACUCCAGGCUCUGGGAAGUAAUGGGAAGGUGAAGACACCAAACGUUCAGAGUUCUCUCCAAGAUGAAUCUGAUGAGGAGCAACUUGUGAAUCCAAAUCCUGAUUGAUUUGUUUUGAAGAUGUAAGAUGCAAGCUAUCUUGGUAUUGUUAAUUUGGAACAUCAUUGAGCAAUUUAGAAUUGGAAUGGACAUAAGCUCCUAUAAUGCCAUGAUUGGAGUCUAAGUCAAUCGAAGCAGAUGCCAGUUGAUUCACUUCUUUUGGUGCAUCUGAUUCUAUGUCAUACUCAGGAGGGAUUGCCUUAUUAAUCUCCAUUUCUCUCGGAAGUGUUUCUUUCAAAUUCAGGAUAUUCCUAUAUGGUAUCAAAUCCAGAGACGGACAAAUAACAUUGUUGACAUCAUCAACUUCAUCAUCACAUGCAACGGCGGAAACCAAAUGUGUCACAGGAACUGAUUCAGUUACUAAAUCAUCCAAGCUUAGGUGAUCCUUAGGAUCGGGAUAAUUUGAUAACCAGAUGGAAAAUCAUCUUCACUAUAGCACCACUAGCAGCAACAGCAGUCCCAGCUACAGGUUCUGCUUGAACUGUUUCAGGUAUUGAAGAUCUUUUGGAACUAGACAAUUUUGAUUAUUGGACGAAAUAUCAUCUUCACUAUUAGCACCACUUGCAGCAACAACACCCUUACUAUUUAGUUUCCACUACUGGAUGACUUGCGAACCCAUGUAGAAGAGUCUUCCUUUAAUGUGUACAACCAAACAUUCUGAGAAAUAGUUUCCUUUAGCAUAGGCCUCAGCUGCACUCUUGUAGCAUCUUGCCAGAGAAAAACAUUCCCCGGCUUUAUCCAGCUUAGGUUCCCCACAUUUUUCCAUAUAAAUUCUACCUGCUCUUUCAUACCUCCUUUUUCCCAAGCUUAUUAUACACCUUUUGAACUUCCUGCUACUCCAUCACCAUCGUUUCUACUGCCGCUUCUCUUACUGAAGCGUUGAUCGAUAUCAAGUCUUUAAAAACAGAAAUACGGAAUUCUGGCAAACCACUGUUGGGUGAAGAAGCUGACUGCUCUUUGGCAAUUUAUUGGCAUGUCUUAAAACUCCUUAUUUAUGGAAUUCCAUCAUUUGAAAACAAAGUUGUCAACUGCCAAACUAAACGGAUAGAACAGCUUUGCAUGGUGACUUUCCAUCCUCUCCAUACCAUUAUAAUUCUUACCUGGAGAGAGUCCUCCUUUUGUAUCUGAUCAGAAAGGACAUGGAAUUUGAAGUGUUCUUUGCGCAAGAUAUUGGUCCUCUUCCAGUUGAAUCGAUAAUUCUGUAUGCAGCCUCUAUGCUUAAGGUUUUACGCCGCCAUUUUCCGAUGAAGUAAAUUGCUGCAGGCUUGUUUUGUUUUGUGCAAAUUCAACUUAUUGAGUAUCAAAGUGGAGUUAGCUUUGGACAUCGACUGCAAGCUAACUGGAUUCAAAUUCCUGUGUAUUCAUCAUUGAUUCAGCUGGUGUUACAGUAUUGUAGGAGUUUGCAGACCCUGAAGGAUCAGCAGCGUUCAUCCAUAUCUAUUACCCUGAAUAAGGGGUUACUGAUGUUGAUCAAACUGUUGUUUUAAAGGUUCGGAUGAACCACGUACUAUGCAGUGUGUCGGACAAAUAACCAUUCAGAAGUGCUGAGUCGAUUCACCAGUUGCAUAUUGUUCCCAAUAAGCCCACCAUUUAAAGCCCCAUUUGAAAAACCAUAAGUUUUCUGUUGCAAAUCGGACCUAAUUCCACUACCCCUUUGACUGCCAGUAGCUUCAGAGCCUUCAUGCUGAUGUGUACAUAUACCAUUCCUGAUGCCAUGAACAAAUUCCCCAACCUAUUUUCAAGAUGAGCAUCAUGAGCAAAGCCAGACUGUGAACACACGAUUUCAUUCAUAUGCUGAUAUAUAAAUAUUACAAUUUUAGGCACACUACUGUUGAGUCAAUACCAAACCCAACUAACACAUCUAGCUUUUUCAAAAACAAAUUCCACAAAAUACGGAUCUUCACACCUUUACAACUAAUCCUACUAUUAACAAAAGAUACAAAAGAUUUCUUAAAGUAUCUAUAAAAUUCUCAAAUUCUAACACUCCUCCUUGAGAAUUUUCUUAGAGACUCCAAGCCUUGAUCUUAGCUCUUCGAACUUGGCUUUGGAAAGUGCCUUAGUUAAUAUGUCAGCAAUCUGAUUUUCUGAGCAACAAUGCACCAGAUUGACUUCACCAUUCUUCUCAGCUUCUCUAAUAGCAUGAAACUUCACAUUUAUGUGUUUGGUUCUUCCAUGCUGCACAGGGUUUUUUGCAAUAGCAAUGGCUGACUUGUUGUCAACCCAAAUUACAGUAGCAUCUGCUUGGCUUUGCCCCAAAUCAGUCAGCAAUUUCCUUAGCCAAAUGGCUUGGUUUGCAGCUGCUGCUGCAGAAAUAUACUCAACUUCUGCUGAGGAUUGAGCCACGACCUCUUGUUUUUUUGAAUUCCAUAAAAAAACUCCACUACCAAAUGAGAAAGAAUAACCAGAAGUGCUUUUGGAAUCAUCUAAACUUCCUGCCCAGUCACUGUUUGCAUAUCCUUGGAGUUCUUUACUUUCUUUCUUAACAAACCACAAACCAUAGCCAAAAGUACCUCUAAUGUACCUUAGAACUCUCUUAGCUACCCCAAAGUGAAUUUUACUAGGUGAGUGCAUAAACCUUGAGAGUAGGCUUGCUGAGAACAUUAAAUCUGGCCUUGUAGCAGAUAAGUAGAGCAGACUACCUAUUAGGCUUCUAUAAACAGAGGCAUCUGCUUUGAUGUUAACUUCAUUAUUUGUUAAUUUCUCAUUCACAACCAAAGGAGUUGCUACAGAUUUGGAUCUUUCCAUAUGAAACUUCUUCAAAACCUUUAGAGCAUACUUAUGUUGUGAGAUGAAGAUUCCAACUUCACAUUGGUGAAUUUCGAUGCCCAAAAAAUAUUUCAUCUCACCCAAAUUGGACAUUUCAAACUCACUUUCCAUCUACACCAUGAAUUACUUCAAGAUUUUUGAAUUACAACCUAUAACUAGCAGGUCAUCUACAUACAAAGAGACAAUAAGCUGAACUUCUUCUUGAACCUUCAACACAUAUAGAGUGGCUUCACUUUCACUUCUUUUAAAUCCUUACUGCAGCAGAUAGGCAUCAAUUCUACUAUACCAAUCUCUUGAUGCUUGUUUCAAGCCAUAGAGAGCUUUGUGGAGCUUGUAAACUUUGUCUUCACAACCUGGAACUUGAAAUCCUUCUGGUUGCUCAACAUAAAUAUCUUCUUCAAGCACACCAUUUAGAAAGGCAUACUUCACAUCAAGAUGAUGAAUUUUCCAGCCCAUCUUUGCAGCUAAAGCCACCAGAAGCCUUAUAGUAUCAUGCCUAGCCACUGGAGCAAAAGUAUUUGAAAAAUCAACACCAUACUCUUGAGAAUAGCCCUUUACAACCAAUCUGGCCUUAAGUUUGUUUAUAGAACCAUCUGAGUUAUAUUUGAUUAUGAAAACCCACUUAACUCCAAUUAUCUUUUGAUUUUUAGGUCUAUCAAGCAACUCCCAAGUUCCAUUUUUCUUUAUCAUUUUUAGCUCCUCCUCCAUUGCAACUCUCCACCCAUUUUCUUUAGCAGCUUCAUCAUAACAUGUAGCCUCCUGUAAUGCUACAUCACAUCUCUCAUAUAUUUCAUCAAGUAACCUUGUUCCUCUUACUAGAACAUCAUCUAAGUUAUCAGCACCAACUUCAUCUUCAAUUUCUUUUGGAAUUUGGGGAAUGGUUACCCCAAUUUGAUCAACAUCUUCUACUUCUAUCUCAUUUUUCUCCAAGUUCCAUACUGCUGCUUCAUCAACUUUGAUGUCCCUGCUAACCAUUAUUUUUUUUGUUUUCAAAUUGAAAACUCUAUAGCCCUUGGAGGUUGAGCUAUAUCCCAGGAAGAUUCCCAUUUCAGCUUUGUAGUCCAACUUGUCUCUUUUCACAUCUGGCACAUGAGUGUAACACAAACUCCCAAAUACUUUCAAGUGCUCCACAGCUGGUUUAACUCCAUACCAAGCCUCAAAUGAAGUUUUAUUCUUCACAGCUUUGGUUGGAAGUCUUUUCAACAAAUACACAACUAUGUUAACAGCUUCUACCCAGAAACACUUGGGCAUUUUCUUUUCAAAUAGCAGACACCUUGUCAUCUCCAUAAUGGUUCUAUUCUUCCUCUCACUCACUCCAUUUUGUUGAGGGGAGUAAGUGACAGUCAACUGAUGUACAAUUCCAACUUCAACACAAAACUUGUUUGAUGUAUAUUCAAUCCCAUUAUCUGAUCUUAUUACCUUAAUGCUGCAAUUUUCUUGAUUUUCUACCAAGGCCUUGAAAUUUUGAAACACACCAGCCACUUCUGAUUUUUGCUUCAUAAAGAAAACCCAAUACAUCCUUGUUUUAUCAUCUAUGAAUAGGAUGAAAUACCUGUUUCCAUUCAAUGAGGGUGUCUUCAUUGGUCCACACACAUCAGUAUGGAUCAAUUGUAACCUUUCUGAAGCUCUCCUGACCUUGUUUACAAGAAACGACAAUCUACUUUGCUUCCCAAAUUGACAGACUUGACACACAUUUUUUUCAUCACAAAUGACAGGUAGGCCUUGUGUUAAGCCCUUCUGAUGCAAGUGUUUAAGUGCAGCAUAAUGAAAAUGGCCAAAUCUCUUGUGCCACAACACAGACUCAUCGAGAACAGUGGUAUAAGCAUGCAAAUUAGUCUCUUUCCACUUAAUUGGAAAGCUUUUGUCUCUCAUUUUUACAGUCAUCAACUUACAACCAACAUUAUCAACAACGGUGCAGGACAUUUUUUGAAAAUGCAAAGAAUAAUUCUUCUCUAGCAUUUGACCCACACUUAAUAAGCUUUGACUAAUUUCAGGCACAAACAACACAUCUGAGAUAUAUUUAAUACCUGUUGGAGUCUCAAUAGCAACAACUCCCUUGCCCUUGACAUCAACCAAAUCUCCAUCUCCAAUCUUUACUUUCAACUUAUAUGACUGAUCCAACUCCUUGAAAUUACUCAACUUAGGAGUCAUGUGGUUUGUACAACCACUGCCAAUAAGCCAAGUUUCUAUACAGCUACUCAUUGCAUGACUGGUAACAAUAAACAAUUGCUCCUGUUGCUGCUGAUUUUCACCCAUUUGUGCUUGUUGUCCUUGCUCCCCUUGCUGAUCAUUUUUAUUCUUGCAUACCUUCUCUACAUGACCAAAUUGCUUGCAUGAUCUGCAUUGUACACUAGGCCUAUACCAACAAAAAUUCUCUGAAUGACUUUGUUUCUUGUAGUGAGGAUAUGGAGGAUAUCUCUUCUUGCCACUACUUUUCCUUCCUUGGCCCUCAUUCUUCUCUUUAUCUUUCUUCUUGAUUCGUUCCCAAUUGGUGUCUCAGCUGAUUCAUGUCCUCUCAAUGGUCCCUGACAAUGGUGCCAUUUGAUUUGUGUCCAGCUGGUGUCCCUUGAUUGUGGUCCUCAGAAGAGAGUAAUCAACAAAAUUUAUAACCUAUUACACCAUGUACUAGGAUAGCCUUAGCUAGCAUAGCACAGUGGCUCUAGGGUCGUUCACUGGGAUGGGUUUUCACUCCACAAUUGAUAUUAAUCCAAAGAUGAAUUGGUGCCUUUUCAUUUCAAGGUUAGCUUUAAAAGAAAACAUAACAAUGUUUGAAUGAAAAAGGUUUGGUUUUAAACUAACCAAAAAUAGUAACUGAUUUUACUUACAAAGAAAAGUGUUUCUUGGAGUUUAGAUUAUCAGGCUCAGGUUCCUUAUACAAAAAGGAGAGUUCCGGUCACUUGUUUCUUUUCCUCGCAUUAGAGAAUUAACAUAUGACUAAUUCUCUAACCAGUGCGGUACAGAUGCUUCCCAUUAAUGGGUUCAAACACUAAAUCCCUCUCACUGAUGCACCUUGCAAUAUCUCAUGCUUCUCACCUAGCAUUUGCCAUUCAAGGUGAUCUUUAACCUUGGAUUACCUGUCAAAAGCUCGCAAGAGAUAACUAAUGGAUGUCUCCUUGGAGUCCAAAAGCUUACCAAGUGUUGGCUAUUUUAGAAAAUCCUACCUCUAAACCACCUCCCAAAGGCUUGCAAGAGAUAAACAAGUGCAUCUCAAUGGAUGGAAAUCACUUGCCUUAUCAAGUGUUGGCCUAGGUGAGUUAAAGGAGUUUUAAGUUAACUAAAAAGAUAAAAACCAUUAACAGGUCACACUUUCUCUUCAUUAAAAACUAAAACAACAAAACUUCCAAUUUAUGCAUGAGGAAACUUACCCGACUUUCUUCACUCCAAGAGACGAAAAGCCUAGCCACUCAUCCUCUGAGGAAAAAUCCUCAGAGUUUGAUUUGCUAGAAAUAAAAAUAAUGAGAAAACAAAAAUAUAUAUAUGAAAAACAGAGCAAGUGCUCUGUAAUAUAUUUUUCUUCCUUAUACAAAAGGUUCUCUCCAAGAACAAACUCUCGAGAGCUCUCCCUGAUUGUAAAGAAAAUUACAACUAUAUAUAAGAGGUUAUUCACCCCUUUGUUCUUGCUUAAAGACUAAGGAAUCCUAUGAUAGGUGGGUUACAAGGAGACUUUGGGAAUUUAGACAACAAAUAUCUAAAGCAAAAUAUCUCAAGAUGUCGGUCGGAAAUAUUAAGAAGCUUCAGGAAAACACUGCGGCACUGUAUACUGAGAGAAAAACUCUUCGGGUAAGCGCUAUCAGAGGAUCCAGAUAUGUCUGACCGGAGAAGUUGAAACGUCCUCCUCUCCCAUCCGGAUGUGAGAUAUCCGGAUGUGAAAUGUCGGUGGACGGAAUUCCGAUGUGAAAUAUCCCGCGCCGUCAGGCUAUCCGGAUAAACUCCAUCCAGAUUCCCCCGGGUGGAAUGAGCUAUGUCUCAAGGGGGACCAUCUACGUGUGCAAGGUGUAGGGACCCCUCUCCCGGAUGACACGGAGCGCGCAAGGCUAUCCGGAUCCCCUCAGGGAGAAGCACAUGACACUCGUGAACAUCACACUCGAACGAUAGCAUAUCCUAUCAGGAUAUGUUGUCCGGGUCAUUGACUUCCGCUGCCAUCCUGUCCGGAAAUAUUUUCCAUGGAUUCCAAAGAACUCUCCUCAAUCACGGAUUGCUUUGGUGAUAAAAAAGCUAUCAAAACACCAAAACUUAACACAAUUUGAUUAGAAUUGAUUGCAAGGGUCAUUAAUAUGUUAAUUGGGUUAAAAGGUGAUAAAUUCUACUCAAAAGUGUUUAUAAGAGUUAAUUACAAGCUAUGAUAUAGCACUUUUUGAGUAGUAAUCACUUCUCACCAGAUUGCUUUUUCUCUCUACCUUGAGAAGCUUUUCUUUUUUGCAGUGCAAGAAAAGCUUCUUCAUUGCUUUCUUCCUGUCUCAUUGAUCUCUUCUGUUCUUGAGCUUGAAAAGCAUGAACAAGCUCAGCCAAGGAAAUUUUGGUUAAAUCCUUUGAGUCUUCAAGUGAAGAGAUCUUGGACUCAAAUCUUUCAGGCAAGCUCACUAGAACUUUCUCUACAACCCUUUGGUCUGUUAGAUCCUCACCAAGAAGCCGGAUUUUGUUAACAACUUCCAUGAGCUUGUCUACAUAUUCUUUGAUGAACUUAUUAUCUUUCAUCCUCAAAACUUCAAAUUGCCUCUUCAGAUUCAAAAUCUGCAUUUGCCUAGUUCUGUCACUCCCCAAAUACAUCUCCUUAAGCUUGUCCCACGCGUCUUUUGGUGUUUCACAAGCCAUAAUCCUUGUGAAAAUUGGUUCUGAGACAGCAGCAUGGAUGUAAGAUAAGGCUCUUGGAGCUUUAGCUUCUUCUUCUUCAUGAGCCCUGAUUUGAUUGAGGGUUGGAUUGUUUCCCAAAGGCUGUAUUUGCCUUUCAGUUUCAACCCACUGCCACAAACCAAGACCUCUCAAGUAAGCUUUCAUCUUAACAGCCCAAACUUGAUAGUUUUCACCAUUGAAAACUAGGGUUGAAAGAGCAGACGUAUUGCUGGAAGCCAUGAGGGUUUUUAGAGAAAGCCUUGUUGGUGGUUUUUUUUUCACUCACAAGUUCUAUUAAGAUCUUUUUGGUGCUCUGAUACCAUGUGAACACACGAUUUCAUUCAUAUGCUGAUAUAUAAAUAUUACAAUUUAACACAUCUAGCUUUUUCAAAAACAAAUUCCACAAAAUACGGAUCUUCACACCUUUACAACUAAUCCUACUGUUAACAAAAGAUACAAAAGAUUUCUUAAAGUAUCUAUAAAAUUCUCAAAUUCUAACACAGACCGACAACAACAACCAGGUUUCUAGAAUUGGAGCUCAUAAAAAAAUGAAAUUGCAAUUCAUUUUUCCAGCAUUCCUCUUCUCUGAUCCGCCUCAAAGAUUUCAACUGUAUGAUGGUGAGAUGCAUUUAAUUCCCAGCUGAAGAAAAAGAACGAAAUCUGCUUAUGAUUCUAUUUAUUUAUCAAGACUAAACUGAUGAUUUCUUUGACGUACGAGUUGGAUGUUCGUAAUCCGAAUGGGUGAAUCUUCUAGCAACACUUCAAUACUAAAAAGAAGUCGGUGUGUUCUGCUCUCUUCCCACUGCAGAGAUUUCAUUUAGCAUUCCACUGAGAGUGAAUGGUUGAGAACACUAUGCUUGAAGUGCUUGGAUUAAGGACAUUUCAGCACCUUGAAUCAAGGUAGGUGGCUGCACUAGUGGCGAAUUUUCCAAAGAUAGCUUUUGUGAAAGUGGAUUCCCAUGAAGUAUGUCAUAUCCCAGGCAGCAAUGAAGAUGAUGAUCCCACUAGAAAAAAAAUUUCAACUAGGUCCAGCCAAGAGGAAACUGGAAAUAGGGGGGAACGUGUCAUUUGAAGAGCCAUCAAGACUACCAUCCGCUUGUGGAGAACUGCGCAUAUGCUGAAUCAGAUGGUGAAGAAAAAAUUAUCAUAGAAGACAUCCUUUCCCUCCAUUUCAUGCAUGAACUAAUUAAUUCCUCCAAAUAAAUGCUCAGGCCAUGACUUUGCAAAACAGCAAAGUGCCCUGACGAACAUCGCAAGAGAAAUCCAACAUGCUUUCGAGAUCACCAAGCUGGAUCAAAUAUUGCUGAAAGAGAGUGCCAAUUACAACAGCAACUGAUUUGACUUUAGGUGGAUAUGCUGACCAAUCUUAGCAACGAAGAAAAAAGUGCAUCCCAGGCUGUUUCUCAGCAAGUUUUCCUGGACAAUCUUGGCUGCAACCGAUCCUCUUUUUUUUUUUUUCUGUGUGUUUCCCCCCUGAUCCCUCAAAAACCUUUGUUCAUCUUUUUUUUUUUCCUUUUUCUCUCCUCUUUCGUACCCCAUCUUUUCUGAGAAUUUGCUGGCAAUAACUGGACCUGCUCAGUGCACAUCCUGCAAAGAGCACUAGAGGUUGCUGCUUUUGGCCACUUAAAUUUUUCCUAUAAUUCAGAUGAUGUUACUUAAGUGCCAAGAGAUGAAGAAAAUAGACCCUGAACAGCUAGAAAAUUCAAUAUCCCUUUUUGCAUCCAAAACUUUGCUUCAGGAUCCAACUUCAAAUAUUUCAAAAUACUAGAGAGGGAAUCUACGACCCAACUUCUAAGACAAUCAGAAUUUCUUGAUGGUCCAAUAGAUUCCUUAUCCUCUGCUGAAUUUAGCUUUGAAUUGUCAUUUGUUGUCUAACUCUGAUCAGAAGGUUUCUCCGAAGCAUGACCUUCAUCCACUAACAUGCUAAUUAAGUUCUGAAUAAACAGCAUGCAUCCAGAUUCUUUUUUGAACUCUGCCAUCAAAUCUUUAACAGUUUUUGUCCAUGUAAUGCAAUCAAAUCUCCCACUUCUGUGCUUCUAUAGAGCCAUGAUGACAUAUACUUUUCUAACAUCAUCCUAUCUAACCCAAUCUGAUAGUUCUUUAAGAAAAUACUGGCCAACUUUAUGCAGCCAAAUGUCUUUGGUAGAAAGUAUGUUCGUUAAACACUGGACAAGUUUGUAAGAAAGAACCAUUGGGAUGAAAGAUGCAGGCAAUCUUGAUAAGAGAAGAAGCAGAACAUCAGAUGCCAAGUGUUUGCAGUCAUGAUAUGCUGAUCUUGAAUCAGAUACAGAGCUUGCGCUGCUGUCUCUCAAUCUCUGUACCAAAGGACUAGAGUAUGCGUGAGGCAAUUCUUUCUGACACAUAAAACAGUCCUCCAACCUUGCGGUUGUCUCUGGAAGAAUUACUUAUUGAUGAGCCCAUCCAUCAUAUAAGACUACAUGGUCCUGUGCUGACACUUGAUGCCAGUCAUAGCCUAGAUAAGGUCUCUGCUGAAAAUUACCAAAAGUCUCAGUAUCCAUCUUCAUUCGCAUAGAGAACCUAUUCUGUCCAUUCCUAGUCCCGCGGGUAUGAGAAUUACAAGAAAUCAUGUCAAAGAACUUCUUAUUAUAAGUAGAUUUAGCAUCUGAUUGGGUACUAGUCCAUAACCCUCUGUGUCACCCAAGCCUUGACCAAGUGCAUUGUCUUCGAUCCUUUUCUUUUCAUCCCUUUGCUUUGCCUUUCCUAGAUAACCCCAAACUUCAUCCCUUUUAAACCUUUCAUUCAUCGCCAUAAAAUUGAAUUCUUCAGUGAACUACACAGUAGACUUCUGAGGCUGUUGAGCAGAGGCUGGCAAUGGCAAUAAUGGUGCUUGAAAUGCUGGAGUAGACAUUGUGCUCAAAGUAUUAGGAGAUGUUGAUGUUGAAGCAACCUUAUCCAUCUGAUCAGGGUAUACUUUCUGUGAGAAAGAAAGUAUGGAUGACAUGGGCUGUGAUAAUUGAUCAUGAGUUAAUAAAGUUGAUGGUAGAGUUAGAAGGAGGCCAGAGGUGGAACCCCCAAUUGCGGAUGCAGAAUGAUGCAGGGGAUGGAUAGGAGGCACCGAUACCAGAUCAGAAACUAUUUUACCAGUAAUUGGAGCUUCAGUUCCAGACUCCUCCAUGAAUAAACAGAAAAUUCAGGAAUUUUCUAUAUUCUAUGAACCAGAACUGACAUAUGAAAAAUACAAAAUCGGAUCAACCAUUCAUCACUAAUUUCUACAGCAUUUGAUUUCAUUGAUGGCCAUCAUUUCUUUGUUUUCGAAAGCCAUCUUCAUUGCAUCAGUCUCAAAACCAGUUCUCAAACCGGAUCCAUGUAUCAGUGGAUACUCAUCCGUAAAACUGACUGCAUAACUAAAACCGGCAAACCUCUAUCAAACAAUUGGGAACAAAUUGGGGACCUUCAUCGUAUAUAAAACUCCAAAUGCUUCCUCAAAAUUGGUAAUGGAGAAAUAUGGGCAGAAUCAGGUGGAGAAUCGGAGGGAUUGCAUCUCAAAGUUUUCACACAACUUUAAUUUCCAGUCUUCAGGGACUUACAAGAGACAGUAUACUAAAUAACCAGAAAAUGGCAUAAAAAAUUUGGACAGUUAGAUAUGGGAAUUCCAUCCAAACUCAUCGUCCGAAUGUAAGCAAUUCUGCUGGGAUCAUCCCUAGCAAAACCAUGUCACAAGGAAUUGUCUCAUUUGCACAGAUCUUCACCACUUCGCCAGCUUGUAUCUUUUUUCAUUUUUUUUUUUCUGAAAGUGACCAGCAUAAAGCACUAUAGCCUCACGAUUGUUCUCCACUUCAUUAUUCUAAAUUAGUCUAAGAUGCCUGCCAAUCUACAGAAAAUCACGAUGGUAUUCAACUUCCCAUUCCUUCUCUCAGCGAUCUCAAUUUCCUUCGAAGUCCGGUAUGUGCCUUUCAGCUAUUACAUGAACACCAGUAUACUGAGUAGGCUUCAAAACUGCUCUCUGGCCAACAGCAUUCAAAGUCAUUCAUAUCUUGACUAUCUGAUUCAUAGUCCACAUGAAGAGAACAACAAGUGACCAAAUGAUACCAGUUUGUCAUUAAAUUCAUCGUCAGCCUUAUUUAUCAAUAAUCUGGUCAGUCUUGGUAUCAUCAAUCUCAACAUGUGCGCCACCAGCCUCUCUUACACUUUUAAUGGAACUCCCUCCCCUGCCAAUAACACGCCCAAUCUUGUCAAAUGGGCACAAAACUCUUAUAAUUAACUCCUGAUCGUGAUGCUCCAUAACCAGAAACUACAGGUAGGUUGGAUGAAUAAAAUGGCCCUAUACUGUCCAUGUCUGAAUAACCCCGAAGUUCUGGUACAUGUGUAGCAGCUAAGACAAGAGGAACAGAUCUAGCAGACACAAUAGAGUCUGCACUAAGAUAGAAUCCACCAGAAAUCCAGAAAACGUCCUUUACCAGUUCUCUUUCUUUUCUUUGUUCUGUCAUUCUUCAGCUCUCGAACUCCUCCAUAUGGCCAGAAUGCGCUCAUAUAUACAUUCUCAUACUUCCAAUUCACCAUUUAAAUAAUUCAACGACCAAAAAGCUCAAUAAUCCAAGAGGAUUACAUCAGCAACAUCACCCUUACAUGAAACCCAGAUCGCACAGCGGAACACACUGACCCAGGAGAAUACCCAGUAGAUAUGCAAACUGUCCUGCAGUAAGGAAGGGGUGCCAGAGAAACAGGAAAAUAUGCAAAUAGAAAGAAAGAAACGAAAAAACAGAGAAAAGAUAGGCAUAGUGUAAAUCAUCAAACAAAGCCACAUUCCAUAACUUCGUCAAUGGGCUUAAAAAUAGGCUUCAAUAGCUGAGAGCAAUGGCUUGAUUUUAAAAUCAUCCAAUUCAAGAACGAGCCACUCAUCAAUUGAAGGGAGCAGUUAUAAAAUCAAAACAAAAUAUGUAAAGAAAAAGAACUCUGAUUCAUCAUAACAACCAAGUGACCAUAAACAUCCACAUCAAGUAACAAAAAUAAAUCUUUAGAGACAGCCAAGGAAUGAGGUGAAAUCGAAAUUAAAUGACAAUAUAGUAAAUAUUUGGAAGCAUACCUGCACGAUCUCCCCUCCAAUUGCUUGGCUUCGGGCUACUGCCCCUUUCUUAGAGUAGGAAAUCUUCUCUAAGACUGGAAUCUGUCCACCUAUCUCCUGUUCUUCCUCUCUCCCCACCGUUCUCAAUGUGUGCUGCCAAUUCCCUUUUUUCUCCAUGCAUGCUAUCCGUACUCCUUUUCAAAAACCUCCCCCCUUUUCUUCCCUCCAAUCUUUUCUUUUAUUCUAUCUCCAUUUUUCCAAAAGGAAACUUUCCUUUCUCCUGACUCAUGCCCAAUUGGUGUCUCAGCUGAUUUGUGUUCAGCUAGUGCUCCUUGAUUGAGGAAGUGAUCAACAAAAUUUAUACCUAUAACACCAUAUACUAGGGUAGCAAAUAAAAAGCUACUAUAGUAUAGUGGCUCUAGGGUCGUUCACUGGGAAUGACUAAUCAAGCAAUCAAGGAUACCAAUUCCAAGUGAAUUGGUCUUGUUUCAUUUCACGGUUAGUUUAAGAAAUAAAACACAAACUUUGAUUGGUAAAGGUUGAGACUUAAACUAACUAACUUAACAGAAGUUUGGAAUAAUUUAGGAAGAAAAGCAUUCCUUGGAGAUUUAGGUUCACUGGGGUGGUUCCUCAUGCAAAAGACAUAGCUCCGGUCAGAUGGUUCAUUUCCUCGCGUUAGAGAUUCAACUUAUAGUCAAUUCUCUAACCGGUGAUGUACAGAGACUCCUUCAAUUAGAUUUCACUUUAAUUCUCUCACUGAUGCAACUUGCAAUGGUUCAUGCCUCUCACAAGCACCUACCAUUCAAGGUGAUCUUUAACCUUGGACUUCCCUUCACAAACUCGCAAGAGAUAACUAAUGGAUGUCUCCUAGGAGUCCAAAAGCUUACCAAGUGUUGGUAAUUCUAGAAAAUCCUACCUUGAAGUCACCUACCAGAGGCUCGCAAGGGGUAAACUAGUGCAUUUCCAUGGUUGGAAAUCACUUGCCUUACCAAGUGUUGGCCCAGGUGACUCCAAGGUGUUUUAAGUUAACUAAAAACAUUGAAAUCACUAAAGGAUUUCACUUCCUCUUCAUUACUAGCUAAAACCACAGAGCUUUGCAUUCUUGCACUUGGAACCUUCCCCGGUAACCUUAGCUCCAAGGAAUUGGAGGUUUAGUUACUCAUUCUCUAGGGAAAACUCCUAAGAGAAUUCAUAACUUAGAAAUAAAAUGAAAAUACAAAGUGAGAAGGUAAGGCAGUAGAAAGAAAAGACCUUUACUUGCUUCCCAAAUGGUUACAGAAGGAACUCCUCUCUGAGAACAGGCUCCCGAGAGGUAUAUAUAUCAAACCAAUAUAAAACUAAUUGUUACACUGAUAUUUGGUCUUUUUACUAACUUAAAAACUAAGGAAUCAUGUAAUUGGUGGUUUACAAGGAGUAUUUUGGGAUUUAGACAACAAAAAUCUAAUGGAAAAUAUCUCCCAAUGUCGGUAGCAAGCUUCGGGAGGCUUCAGGAGCCAUUUCGCAGGAGAAAAGUGGUGUCUGCGAAAUUUCGUAGACACCCAAGAGGGCUGCGAAAUUAUUUCGCAAGACCGAGCUAUCUUCAUAGGGCUGCGAAGUUGGCUUCCACCUUGAGGUUUCCAGCUCCCUUCUCGCGGCAUGGUUCGUGCAUCGUCAGAAGGAGAAACACCUUACUAUACAAAAGUGCUGCGAAAUUCUCGCAACAAAAGGCUGAUUCCGCAACACUUUAGAGUGACUGGCUUGUAAUGGCUGCAACUUCUUCGUUUCAACUCCAAAUUGCACACCAUUUGAAGCAUUGGAUUGUUGACUUCCUGAGCUUUGAAAUGAUAUAUAGCUUGCAUCAUUUGGACUUCAGAAAGUGCUCCAAAAGUGGCUGCUACGACUGUCAUCAAGAAUAUGCUCCAUGACUGAUCCUCUUUGCUUUUUCUCCUUGCAAUCCGGAUUCACUCUUGGCAAUUGAAUUCUAAGCUUUGCCCAUGAUUCCUCAUAGCUCUCCUCAUUCUUAACUUGCUUUGGUGAUCAAAAUACUAACAAAAACACCAAAACUUACACAAAGUGAUCAAAAUUGCUUUAAAGGAUCCUUAACAUGCCAAUUGAGUUAAAAGGCCUAAACUACUACUCAAAAGUGUUAAAAAGGAUUAAUUAAAGGCUAUCAAAUAGCACUUUUUGAGUAGUAAUCAUCUCCUACCAAAAAAAAUAUGCCAUUUUCAUUUCUCCAAAAUUCUGGUGAUCUUCCUUCCAAGUAGAUGGCAACUUGUUUCCUCAUGCCUAAAAAGCCAAGAAAUAUGAUUUAGAAAACUUAUAAUAAAAUAAAAUAAAAUUAAAAUAAAAUCAAAAUAAUAAAGAAAGUCAUACAAGCCACAUAAGUCAUGUAGGUCAUGCAAUAAUGUAAGUCAUAUAAGAAGUGAGUCUAAAAGUUCCUAAGUGGGCCUAAGUGUCCUAGAUGGGCCUAAAGUGGUGCCUAAUGGGCCAAGUGUGCCUAAGUGUCUAAGUGGGCCUAAGGUGGUGUCUAAGUCUAAAUUAAGGCUACCAAGGGUACAAUGAGGGGUCAGAUAAAUCCUUCAACUAAAGUCUUCGAGGUGGCUCAAAAAAAGGUAAGUAGUAUGAGUAGCAAUGGGCCAUCAAAGAACUAUUGUGGAGCACUGGAAGUGAACUUAAAGACAUGUGCUAAAGGGACAAAAUUGAGGGUCUACACCAACAUUGACUUAACCAUAUCUAGUAAAGAAUGAUUUCUUCUUUCCGUUAUACUAUUUUGUUGUGAAGUGUUAAGAAUUGUUAACAAUCUACAUAUCCCUUUCUCUUCACAUAGUUUCUGAAACUGAUAUGACACGUAUUACUGACCUUUGUCAGUUUGAAGAAUAUUUAAAUUAUGAUUCUCAACCUCUACCAAAAAACACUUGAAACAAUUCAAUGCUUCAAAGUGAUGAAGCAUUAAUGAAUGUGAGAAAAUAAGAGGAGUCAUGGCGUACCUUUACAUUCAUAGGUCCAUAGAUAUCUUAAUAGACUAACUCUAAAGGGUAAGAGGCCCUAGGUGCCUUUCCAAAAGGCUUCUUAUAGGCUAUUCUUGCUUGACAAGACUCACACAUAGGUAAACUAACAUUGGCAAGAGACCCUAGAAGACAUUCUCUAGCUAGUCUAGUCAUUCUUUUUUUACUUAUGUGUUCUAAUAUAGAAUGUCAAUUCAAAGAAUCAACUGUAUUACCAUAAGCUACAUAAGAAGAUGAAGAAUCCAAAUUCAACAUGAAUAUACCAUUAGAUAAAAAAAUCUUGUCCAUAUAGGGCCUUAUUUAAAUAGAAUUCAACUUUUAUCCUAAUAAAAUGAAAUUUAAAACCUAAUUCAAGUAGUGUUAUUACUAAAAGUAGAUUAUAAUGGACACUAAGUGUAUGUAACACAUCAUGAAGAAGUAAUGUAUGCCUCGUUUGAGUUGGUAUGUUCCAACCCCUAAAACAUUUACCCUUGAUUCGUUACCUAGAGUAACAUAGUGUCUUCCAAUAGGUAUCCUUUCUUAAUCUUUGAAUCCCACUUGAUCCCUUGUAGUGUUAUUAUUUAAAUAGAAUUCAACUUUUAUCUUAAUAAAAUGAAAUUUAAAACCUAAUUCAAGUAGUGUUAUUACUGAAAGUAUAUUAUAAUGGACACUAAGUGUAUAUAACACAUCAUGAAGAAGUAAUGUAUGCCUCGUUUGAGUUGGUAUGUUCCAACCCCUUAAACAUCUACCCUUGAUUCGUUACCUAGAGUAACACAGUGUCUUCCAAUAGGUAUCCUUUUGUAAUCUUUGAAUCCCAAUUGAUCCCCUGUUAUAUGAUUUAUUGUUUUUGAGUCUAUCAUUCACCCAAGAAGAGAAUGAAAAAUUAAUACAUGUGUACACGCAUAUGAAAAGAGACUAUUAAGAUUUGGGUAUACCUUCUUUGGCUCAAUGCACUCAUGAGCAAAGUAGCCUAACUUGCUAUAGUUGUAGCAUUUCAUUUUGGCCAUAUCCUUGUCUGCAUCUCACUUACUUCUCUAGUUUUUUUUUUUUUUUUUUUCCUUUUGUUGGCCCUAGAUUUCCUAUUGUACCACCAUGUUUUCCUUAUCCCUUAUGUUUAAACUUAUUAGCCUAUUGUUGCCCCACAUGAGUGGCAAUUGUGGUGUGUUGCACCCCUAAACGCUCCAUUUUCAAUUCAAUGUGGUGAGAAAUAUCAGUAAAAGUUUUAAUAUUCUCUUUGUCUGUGAGCACAAGUUUCCCUUAUGAUUCAAGCAAAGGGCAUAUAACAACUGUGACUUGCUACUUGUUAGUCAGGUUAUUACUGACUGCAUUUAAGUCACAAAUUAUAGCUAAAAUUUCCCUCAAAUGUUCAACCAUGGUGUGUUUAGGGUCCAUAAUAUAUUGCUCAGAUUUCAAAGUGAGCACUCACAACCUAGUCAUAAAAUGUUAAAUAAUAACCAAUCUUCAACUUAUUCUACAUGUCUUAGGUAAUGGGGCAAUUCUCAAACUCCCAUUUUAAGUCAUUAUGCAUGCUACGAAACACAGUGAAACAUGCACAAAGGUCUCUUUUAACCUAAUAAUAAUAAGCUUCCAUAUCAUAGUAGCAGUGGGCUAGAUUCCUUUCUUCAAGUUGGACCAUGAUAUUAGUUAAGGUCUCUAAGACCUCUUGUUCAUUUAACAGGUAUUGGAUUUUUCUAUGCCACAUAUCAUAAUUAUUAUCAUCUAAUUUUUUUCCUUUUGUCAAAUUAACAAUGUUUUUAGUAACCUUUUCACUAUAUUUAUUAUAUAGGACACAUUAGCAUACAUUUCUCAAUUUCAACUUAGUCUAUGAUAUUCUUGUUAACAUAAUGAGAUCGAAAAUUUUGUAAUGCUCAUUACUCUCAUUAAAUGUGCACUAGAUCAUUAUAACUAAUUUAAAUUUUUUUUUUUAAAAGAUACCAAUAUUCCUUAAAAAACACUAUUAGCCUAAUGGUUUUUCUAAUCUCAUUUUAAUAAUAACAAAUCAUAGUUAGUUUGCUAAUGAGUUAAAAUUAAGAUAAGUUUUAGGUAAUAAUUAUAAAAAAAAAAAAUCAAAUAGAAAAUCAAUAUAAUCAUCAAGGGAUCAAUGAAGAGCAAGACUGAGUGUGCAUGAAGGUCAUUCAAGCUUAGAAAUCCUAUGUAAGAUGUUCACUUGGGUGCAUUUAGGGGUUUAGAUUUAUCCAUGCAUUGUUUUCAUACUGGGUUUUAAGCUUUAAAAGUAAAAUUUUUAUAAACUUGAGUUUUAAUUCAAAACCAUAGGCAAAAACCUCUCAACUAGUUUUUAUAAAAGUGUUUAAAGUUGUUGUCUAAGUGUUAGAAAGAAUUGAAAUUGAAAAAGAUAGGUUUUCGAGAAAAAAAAAUGGUCAAUCAAUCAAGAGCUAUCUCAACGACUCAAUUGAUUAGGAAACCGAUUGACCAAUUACCCUUUUAUGGUCAAGGCUUAGUCAACAAGCACAACAAAUCUUCUCUCUCUUCUAGAAGGGUUUCUUUGUUGAUCAAGAAAAACAUUUUCCCAACCGAGGUCUAGUCAAGCCCCUAAUGGUCACCUGCCAAACAUUUAAUACCCAACGACUAGUUAAUCGAUCAAUCGGAGCUCGAUCGGGAAAGGCUUGUUGGAGCACUUUUUGGUGUCCAAGGUUGAAAACUUAUAAAUUGAGAGCUCUCAUUCUUUUAUUGCAUAGAGAACACUUGCAUUAAACUUCUUGCCUACUAGUUUCUCACAUUCAAUGCUUUCUUUCUUUCUUUCUUGAUGCAUUAAAUCUCUCACUUGCAAACCCAUCUAGUGCACCCUUGUUGUUCAUCCUAAUUGCCUUUUAUUUCCUCAUUAAUUGUGCUAGGAUUGAGUGAUCUUAAACUCUCAUUUAUUGAAGUAAGGUUGAGUGUUAAGCUUCAAGUUUGAGGAUAAGACUUGAAUGAUUGCUUAUAGUACCCAUUGGAGCCAAGGAAUCCAAUUGUAAAAACUUGGGAGCUAAGUUGAAGCUUCAAAUUAGUGGAAUCCUCAUUUAGGAGGAACUUGAGGAGAGUGACAUAGGCGAAAUUGACCGAGCCACUAUAAAAUCAGUGUUUGCAACCUCUCUAUGUCUUUAUCUCUUUAUUUAUUUUUAUUUUUUUUUGUUAUUGCUUGAGAAUAAUUGUCCAAAAAGUUUUUAAAACCCAAUUCUCCCCCCUCUUGGGUGUUUUUAUUAAGUUAAUUAGCCUAUAUAUAAGUUCAAUUUAAAUAGUAUUGGACAAAAAAAAAAAUUCACAUAAACAAUUCAUAUGCAAAUAAACAUUGUAUACAUUAAAAAAAAAAAAGUAAUCCAUAAAUUCAAUAACCUUAUUACCAAAAUUCUUUUAAUGAAUAGUGUAGCACCUUGAGUUGAAGUGCACUUUGUAGUAGCAUGUUUAGGCCUAUAUUUUUGGAUUAAACUUGUGCUUUUGGGCAAUCCAUUUUUUUGUGUUUGCAUGUUUGAGCCCACAAAUUUGGAUUGGACAUGCACUCUUGGAUAACCCAUUUUUGUAUUUGCAUGCUUAAGCCUACACUUUUGGAUUGAACAUGUGCUUCUAGGCAGUCUAUUUUUGUGUUUGCCUACUUAGGCCUAUACUUUUAGAUUGAACCUACGCUUUUGAAUAACCUUUUUAUUAUUAUUAUAAAAAAAAUAAAAACUCUUCAAUUAAUGGACACAAAUAUUUAUUUAUUUCAAAUAAAUAAAUACAAAUAGAGACAAAAACAAGCUUGAUCUAGCUAUGAUACCAAUAUAAGAUAAAAAAUUAAAACUAUAAUCCAAAAAACAUACUUAUGGAAGAUCUUUGUAGCUUGAAUUAUACUCUCUAAUAUUGAUAAUUGCUUUAGUGAGGUUGUUGUGAUUGUGAUUAGAUCGGUCCAACGAAAAACUAGCUAUUCUGCCUAUGCAGUUAACUAUGCUUCACAUCUUUUCUCUAUCCUCUACUAACAUUAGUUAUGCCCAGUCCAAACAACCUUGGAUAUGUAGGUUUGGAUGUCACAACUCUUUUAUAGGAGUCCAGGAUAUAUACCUCCAGUCAGUCUCCUUGCAUUAACAAACAAAGAAAAAGAAAAUACCCAUAUUCCUUUUCUCAUACUCUCUCUCUCUCUUUCUCUUUAAGUAUAAUUAAUUAAUCUAACAUACGAUAUACGAUCAAUGCCCUACCAAGACCAAGCCAAGUGAAUAUUAUUUCCAGUUUCUUUUCUCUGAAUGGAACUCAAAUUCAACACUUGGAUCUCAGACCAUGAUAUUUUAGGGAGAAUUCCUAUUAAGGGUGGGCUGGGAAAACAUAUGACCGAGAAGGGUGGGUAUAUUUAAUAAUUCUUAUGAAGGGUAGGGUGGAAUUAUGAUAAUUCUUUCAAAGGCUUUAUUUUGUUUAAAUGCCAAGACUACCCUUAACAAGUGAAAAGCCAGCAAACAAAAAAAAAUCUUCUUUUAACCCGGCUGUAGCUUAUCGAUGUUGAAGAAGAAAAGGGAAAGAGGAAAAAAUUCCAGCACUUCAGGUUAUGAUCUGAACUGUCUCCACAAAGCUUGUAUUUUUGUGUGAAUCUAGCAAGAAAUCCAUUAAAGGUAAGAUUUUAAAAAAAAAAAUGCACAAAAAAAAAUCUUCUUUUAACCCAACUGUAGCUUAUCGGUAUUGAAGAAGAAAAGGGAAAGAGGAAAAAACUCCAGCACUCCAGGUUAUGAUCUGAACCGUCUCCACAAAGUUUGUAUUUUUGUGUGAAUCUAGCAAGAAAUCCAUUAAAGGUAAGAUUUAAAGAAAAAAAAUGCCAAAAAAACAAAAAUACAUUAGUUUAUGCAAAUAAAUAAAUAAUUUAAAAUUUGGAUUGAAGGAAAGAACUAUUAAUAAUUUUAACAAUGUAGAUCUGAAAUAUUGAAGGAGGUUUUGAGAAAGAAAUUACAUUUUUUUUGUGUAAAAUGUUAUUAAAUUUUUUUUUGAAUUUUUUUAUAUUAUUUUGGUCAUAUUGAAGAUGUGUUUUUAUUUUUAAUUUAUUUUCCGAGUGGGUUGUUUGAUAUGAUUAUUAUUGAUUUCCAUUGAAAAGGUUUGCACUUUAAUUUUGUUGUUGAGACUUGUUUGGUAUGGCAGAAUAAAAAAUUUUCUCAGUUGUUUCAAGCUUAUUUGGGUAUUUAUUAACAUAUUUGGAUUUUCAUUGAAAAUUAAAAAUUAUAAUCAAUUGAAACAUAUUUUAUAUAAUAAAGAACAAUAUUUGUUGUAUAUUAGACAUGUAUAUUAGACAAUUGUCCAGUUUCAUAAGAAAUUUGAAAUUUUCAAAAUUUUACCUUAUUGUAAUGUAUCGUAAUGUUAUUGUAUUUAUAUUAUAAUCGUAGUAUAUUUUUAUUGUACAUUUAUAUUUUUAUAUAAAAAAUUAAUUUUAUAGAUUUUUUUUUUUAUAUAUCAUUGGAUUACCAUGAAUAACUUUAUGUAUUAAAAUUAUAAUAGUGUAUUUUUAUUGUCUUUUUAUAAUUUUGGUUUGCAAGGAUGCUUUAUGAUAGGAAUAUAACAUGAUAGCCUAGAAAUACUAGUUCAGUAAAAAAAAAUGAAUUCAAUAAUUUAUCAUUUUGGUAUAUUGUAAUGUAUUGUAAUGUUAAUAUUUUUUUAUUGUAACUAUAUUGCAUUUGUAUUGUACUUAUACUUUAUGAUUGUCAAGAAAGAAGAUGUACUUUUCAAUAGGUAAAUGGACUUGAAAAAUCAGGGUAAAUUGGUCUAAUAAAAAUAUAAGACCUUCAUAAGAAUUAUCAAAUCUACCCACCCUUUUCAGUAAUUUUUUUCCCCAGCCUACCCUUAGGGGUAAUUCUCCCAUUUUAUCGAAAGUUCAUGAGUUUCAUAGACCGUAUGCUUCAUCAUCUGGACUAUCCAAUACAAUAUUACAUGAAUUCAAAGAUAAUGAACCCUCAAUUCCAUGCUUAUAUAUAGACGUCAACUUGUGUUAUGUAGAAAUAUUAAUAUUCCAAGUUGAUAUGUUUACACUAGGCUUUUGAGUUUUGAGUUUUGAGUUUUGAGUUUUGACUGGCUCUGCCUGAAAUGCAGGAAAUGCAGGGAAAUAUUUGCUUUCAUGAUUGUACAUUUGGUACAAAAAUAACCUCGACCUCUGCCAAAUAUUGCCAUCAAGAGCUGGAAAUGUUGAAAUUUCCUACCAGCUAAUAUGUGGUUCUCAUGCCAGAAGCUGGAGAUAGAGAUUCAUAGCGAUUCAACCCUAUAUUAUACAACAGCUAAGCACCUCCACUAGUUAUGAAGAUUGAAGAAAAAGUCAAUUUUUGACGCGACAAGGAAGCUAUGACAUGAGUUUCCAUGAAGGAUACCUAUGAUUUUUCGUUGUAAGCUACUCUUUGUCUCUUAAUUAUCAAGGAAACAAUAGCUAAUACUUUAUCAUAUCAUACUGUAUUCUUUUGAAGUCAAUGGUACAAGGAAAAAAAAAUGCAAAACUUAGAGUCUCAGCGUCAACAAUAAAGUUUCAACUCUCUUUUAAGUGCUGACUUUUCACUGCAAUUAAAUAAAAUGAAAGAGAAAAGAAAAUUGAUAAACUAAAAGUAUAAACUAUAGUGUUAUAUAUAUAUUUGUGAAUAAUCAGACACACUUAAAAUAUAAUGUUAAAAGAAAAUUUACAAUUUAAAAAUUAUUGUUACUUUUUAAAAAAAAAGUCUACUAAUUUUAAUGUAUUAUUUCUUGCUAAAAAGUUAAUUGAUCUACUUCAAAUAUGUUUAUAAGAAAAAAAAAAUCGGCAUUAUUUACUUAUAAUUUGCUUGGCAAGUGGGUGGAAUAUAUACUUUCUUGCAAAGGCUUAAUUAAAAUGACAAGACUAUUGUUUAAUCGCCUGUUAGGUUUGGUUUGAUGGGAUUGACUGCGACUUUCUUCAGAAAUUUGUUGUGAAAGGAGCAUCAUCUUCUAUAUGGUUUGUAGCAUGAGAAAUCAUGACCAGUUAUACACUUUCCACUCCUAUGGACCACGCUAAAUAUGACAUGCAAGUUAUAUGGAUAUUUGGUGCAAUCGUUAUGGACUCGGAACAUCCCCAAUAAGAACUUUUCAAAGUUGCAACUUUACAUGGUUAAUCUAAAUUUAUAAAUCAUGAAGUAGUUGAAAUAUUUAGAGUUUUAGAAUCGUUUUGGGAAAAAUGAAAAGAAGAAAAUGAUUAUCCUUUAAUAUUUGACAAGAAUUAGAGUUUCUUUUUUAUGUGAAAUAUAUCGGAAUAAAUCUAAACUCCAAUUAAAUUUGAAUGAAGAUGAAAGUUGCAAUUUUUAAAGUUUCUUUUAUAUAUAUAUAUAUAUAUAUAUAUAUAUAUAUAUAUAUGUUUGAAUUUGAUUUAUGUCAAAAUAAAGUUUAACAUUAUCGAGUGUUUAGACAAUUUAUUUUUUAUUAAUGUGUAAAUACUAUUAAAUGUUGAGUUGCAUGUUUUUAUUAAUGUUUGCAUACUAUUAAGUAUUAAUUAAUUCUAUUUCUUUUUACACAUUAAAAAUAUUUAUAAAAAUAAUUAUUAUGUUUCGUUUUAUUUUACAUAAUUAAGAUAAAAUAUUUAAAAAUUAACUAAGAAAUUAGUCAUUGAAUAAUAAUUAAGAUUUUGGAUAUUUUAAAAUCAAUUAAAAAUUGCUAAUUGAAUAAUAAUUAGGAUUUUUAAUUGUGUUUGAUAGCUAAGAAAAUAUUAAAAUGUUUUUAGGUGAAGUUUCAUUAAUAACUCUUUAAUUUAUAUAUGGUAUUCCUCAAAUUAAUGAAUUUGUAAUUAAAAAGAUGAGGUUCUUCACUUGGUAACAUUGAUAUUAAGAAUAAUGAUUAUACCUUGGAUAUAAAGUGGUUGAAUCAACUACCAUGAUCCUACUUGCAUAGUCUAAGGGCUAAAUAUAAAAGGUAUGCUAACCUUGCCAUAGGGUUAAAUAAGACAAGACCAAUUUGAGAGGGUUUUUGCCCGGUAAUAAUAUCAUAACCAAUCCAAUAUAAGCUUAAUUCUUAUAAUACUAGGAUAUCUUACCAAAGACAUGUAGUCCUAAGAGUUCUACAUUUUGCUAAAUUCAUAUGGUUUACUUUAUUGUGAAUGCUCAAUUAUUAAUACAUGUUUAACUUCUUUAUAACAAUCAUGUAAUAUAAUCCAAUCACUCUCAUGCUUACCAGUAAUAAAUUGGUUAAGCUUAACUACAUGGAUUGAAAAAUAAAUCUAAACAUAGUUCUCACAUAAGAGGAGUUAAAAUGGGUGGUAACUUAAAAUUUUACUCCAAAUGCCUCCAAUAAACUAUCCUUACUAGAAGAGAGAGAUGCUUAUCAUAGAUGACAUAAGGUAGAUCAAAAGGCUAAGUGUAUCAUACUCGGGUCUUUAGAUAACAUGUUGGAAUAGCAAUAUGUGUCUCAUGCCAUGACUUAUGAUAUUCUCUUCAUUUUACAAGAGAUCUUUGAUGACAAGGGUAAGUCAACUAGAAUAGUUGCUUUAAACACUAUCAUGCAUCAACAUUAGGAUGAUAAAAGGAACUCUCAUUAAAAAUCAUAUGGUAUAUAUGAUUAGGCUCUUUAAUGAGAUAAAGAUCCUUGUAGCUAAGAUUGAUAGAAAAACCAAGGUUAAUUUGAUCUUAGAGACCUUGUCAAAUUCCUUUGAAAAUUUUGAGUUCAACUAUUCUAUUUAUGAGUGAUUGUGAAACUUGUCAGAGCUUAUGAGGGAGCUUGAGAUGGAUGGCCGAGAGGAUUCUAAAAGAUAAAAAGUAAUUACUUUAAAACUUGUUCAAAAUUUUGAGGUAUAAAAAAUUUUACUUUCUCAAAUUUUAAAAUUUAUGAAAGUAAGUUUUAAAGGCAUAAAUUAAAUUUAUAUAAAAUGUAAGAAGUUUUUGUUUGAAAUAAUUGGUUAAAAGGGAUGAAAUACUCCUUUUGUGAAUUCAUCAAUUAUUAUGUUUUUGUUUGAAAAGUAACGCAUUUUUAAUAUAAAUGUCAUUUACUAUUUCAAGUAUUUACAAUAUAUUUUAAAAGUAAUUGUCACUUUUACAAAAAAAUAAUGACAUUUUUGUCAAAAUGAGGUCAAAAAGGAUAAAAGGUUAAAUUUUCAAAAUUGAAUUUUCAAUGAACUUUUUAAUCAAAUAACCUUUUUUGUUUUUAAAAAUAAAAAUAGAAAAUAUAUCCAAAUAAACAAUGAAUUUUUUUACCUUUGCUCCACCAACUGAAUUAUGUUCUCGCCUUUGUUAUAUCAUAACGUUGCCAUUUGACCUACACUCAAAAUUGGUUCUCGCAUGUGCUUAUCUUUAAGAGCAUCCUUACUCUUGUUUGUUAUUUUUUAUUUAAUUCAAAAUUUUAUUCUUGGUCCACUAAGUAAAAUAUAUUGAAAGAUCCAUUAAAAAUGUGACUUACUCUAUACUUAUUGUAGCAUUAUUAUUUUGAUUUAGAUAUGAUUCCAUUUAUUUUUUUAAAAAUAUAAACCAUAAAAAGAAAUUGUACGAUAGUCGGCAGAUAGGAGUGACUUUCUUCCAUCUAAAGGAGCAUAAAAGUUCCAAGCAUUGACGGUGUACUCAAGAAGUAUUCCUUUGUAUUGACCAGUUAGUCGGGUCCUUUCUGCUAACGUUGUGUGGUGUGGUCUUUCUUGGAUGCUGCCGAUUCCUACUUUUCAAGUUCUAAAUACUAUAAAUAAUAUCAUUAUUCUCCCAAACAUUAUGAAUCCCAAAGCCUCCCAUAAAACUUCAGAAUGAGAAACAACCUUACCCAACUCCCUUUAUUUCUCCUCUGCUGUCUGUCUUUAUGGAUUUUCUUCAUAGAGAUGGCCAUGUCACAGAACACAACAAUACCAGUUAAAGUGGGAGUGGUUCUUGACAUGGAUACAUGGCUGGGUAAGAUGGGUUUGAGCUGCAUCACCAUGGCCCUCUCAGACUUCUAUGCCUCUCAUGGGCACUACAAGACUAGGCUGGUUCUGGAAAUCAGAGAUUCCAAAAGAGAUGUUAUGGGUGCAGCUGCAGCAGGUACUCUCGUUUCAUAAAACUUAGAAUACAUUUAGAAAACAAUUGCAUUAUAGAGACAUAUAGAAGCAAAAGUUUAAACUUGCCCUCUUAUUUUCAAACAAUUAGAUAUUUUUAUUGCCCUUUUAGAUGAGCAAUUGAUUAUUAACAGAACUUUUAUCAUUUUUAAUCACAACUUGCCACAGAAAUACGAGAUUAGAAAAAUUGAUAAAUGGUGUAAAUGUUAAGCGUUUAACUAAUAGAUCGAAUUGGAUGAAAGAAAAUUAUAUUCCUUCUUCUGCCAUAUCACCAUUUCCAACCUCAUAUCAAAGUUCAAGUUCUUCCUAAUUAACAUGGUAAAAUUGUAGUGAAGACAUUAAAUAAGAAAAGUUUUUGAGGAAAAAGAGUCAUGAAGUUGAACCAAGAUUAGCAUGCCCAUCAAAGAUGGCAAAAAGUCUCGUUAAAUUGUAGCACGUGUUUUCAACUAAGCAACAUUUCUUGCCUCGGAAGAUGUUUCUUUGUUAACCACACGAUGCUUCAAAGAUGAAAAAAGUCUUCAUAAAUUUGAUUUCCUCCUUGUUUUAAAAGUCACUCUAAUAUUGUGGUCAUGUUCCAAAACCGAUGCCUAUGAUCUAUGUUAUUGAGAAAUAAUGUGAUGCAGAAGUAUAUAAAAAAGAUUGAUAAUUUGAUAUAAUAAGAAGAUUGAUAGUUUGUUUACAAAUUCCAGUAUCCAUCGGACCAAGGGGAUGUAUUUUCCAUUUUUGUACCUUGUUUGAUUGUUGAUAAUAUAGUAGAAAUUGAAUGAAACUUCAGAAUUAUUAUAUUUUAAUUAUUGUGAAAUUCAGCUCUAGAUUUAUUACAAAAUGAGGAAGUUCAAGCCAUCAUAGGACCAGCAUCCUCCAUGCAGGCCAACUUUGUGAUUGGUCUCGGAGACAAGGCUCAUGUGCCCAUCAUUUCAUUUUCUGCAACUAGUCCUUCUCUUUCUUCACUCCGGAGUCGAUAUUUUGUCCGAGCCACACUGAAUGACUCAGCACAAGUACCAGCUAUAAGGGCAAUUGUCCAAGCCUUUGGGUGGAGACAAGUUGUGCUCAUUUACUUUGACAACGAGUACGGAAAUGGAGUUAUACCGUAUCUUACUGAUGCCUUGCAAGAGAUUCACACCCGUAUCUCCUACAGGAGCGUCAUUCAUCCAUUAGCCACAGAUGAUCAAAUCCUCGAAGAGCUUCACAAGUUGAUGACAAUGCCAACCAGAGUUUUCAUCGUACACAUGUUUACACCUAUAGGCCCACGACUUUUUGCCAGAGCGAACGAGAUUGGAAUGAUGGAAGAAGGUUAUGUAUGGAUUCUAACUGAUGGGUUAACUGAUAUCUUGAGUACUUUGGAUCCAUCUGUCAUUGAUUCAAUGCAAGGAGUGUUGGGGGUGAAGCCUCAUGUUCCAAGAUCGAAAGAGCUUGAAAGUUUUAAAAUCAGAUGGAAAAGGGAAAUCCAACAAGAAUAUCCGACCAAUGAAAGCUUUGAGCUGAACAUUUUUGGACUCUGGGCUUAUGAUGCCGCUUCUGGGUUAGCCAUGGCAGUUGAAAAACUUGGGGCAACAAACUUCAGCUUCCAAAAGUCUCAUAUUUCCAGAAAUUCAACCGAUCUUGAUACUGUAGGAGUCUCCCUAAUUGGUCCAAAACUCCUCCAGUCACUAUUAAAUACUAGAUUUAGAGGCCUCAGUGGGGAUUUUCAAAUUGUUAACAGACAACUACACUCAUCAGCUUUUCAGGUAGUCAAUGUGAUAGGCAAGGGGGAAAGAGGGGUAGGAUUUUGGACACCAGAGAAUGGAACUGUAAGAAAGUUGGAUUCUACUUCCAAGCCCAAUCUAGGAACAAUCGUAUGGCCAGGAGAAUCUCCCUCCGUCCCUAAAGGUUGGGUCCUUCCAACCAAUGAGAAGAAAUUGAGAAUAGGAGUACCAGUCGGCCAAGGUUAUAGUGAAUUUGUAAAGGUGACGCGAGAUCCUAGCAGUAACACAACGGAGGUCACUGGAUUUUCCAUAGCAGUCUUCGAUGCAGCGAUGGCAGCAUUACCAUAUGUUGUUCCUUAUGAGUACAUUCCCUUCGAGGGGCCUGAUGGCAAUCAAGCCGGUGAUUACAACGAUUUGAUAUAUCAAGUAUAUCUCCAGGUCAGUUGAACUCUUUACCUUUCCUAGCACAUAGAGACAACUCUUGGUUGGCUUCAAUUAUAAUGAAUUUUGUCAAACUAAAAAGCUAUUGCAGUUCCCCGUUGUUGGCUUUUGAGUACAUAGGAAACAACCAAACUUGCAGCAAAUUUUCCUGCAGUGCAUAACAGAAUGGCCCCAUUGUUUAUUGUUAACAGAAGUAUGAUGCUGUGGUGGGAGAUACUACUAUUCUAGCGAACAGGUCCUUGUAUGUAGACUUUACACUACCUUACACAGAUUCUGGGUUGUCAAUGGUCGUGCCCACUAUAGAUAAAAGAAAAAAAAAUGCAUGGGUUUUCUUGAAGCCACUUACUUGGGACCUUUGGGUGACAAGCUUUUGUUUCUUCGUAUUCACUGGCUUUGUGAUUUGGGUUCUUGAACAUCGAGUAAAUAAAGACUUCAGAGGGCCUCGUUCACAUCAAGUUGGCACUAUCUUCUGGUUUUCAUUCUCAACAUUGGUGUUUACUCAGAGUAAUUUCUCUUCCACCUCCUUGAAUUUUAUCUAGCAAUUUAUGUACUUAUGUAAUAUUCAAAUACAAAGCAUAGUGAGUGCAUCUCAAACACAAUCGAAACUAACUUCUAGUAUAUAUGGCCUGCUUGCUUGUUUCCCAUGACUGUAACCUCUAUUAAUAUAUGGACAUUCCAUACAAUAUGCAAGUAAAUUUCAAGAUAAUUUCUAUGUUUCAAGAAUUAUAUAUAUUUGACUUUAUAUUGAUUUUCUGGAUUGGAUUUUCUUUUUCUUUCUUAAAUUAUGUUAACAGAGGAGAGAAUUGUCAGCAACUUGGCUCGGAUCGUGAUGAUCAUAUGGUUUUUUGUGGUGCUGAUUCUUACUCAAAGUUACACAGCCAGCUUGGCUUCAAUGUUAACAGUUCAACAACUCAACCCGACUAUCACCGAUAUAAAUGAGCUCAUAAAGAAGGGGGAGCCUGUAGGUUGCCAAAAUGACUCUUUCGUUUGUGAAUUCUUGAUCGAGUCGAUGAAAUUUGAUGAGUCCAAGCUUGUAAAGUACGAGUCCCCAGAAGAACUGGAUGAAUUAUUUUCAAACAAGAGUUCAAAAGGUGGAAUUGCUGCUGCAUUUGAUGAAAUCCCUUACAUGAAGAUUUUCCUUGCAAAAUAUUGCUCCAAAUACACAGCAGUCGGACCAACAUACAAGUUUGAUGGGUUUGGAUUUGUAAGCGUUCUUUCUUAAAGUGUACAGAUUUUCAUUUAGUGGUUUCUGAUUUUUGAUCAUUUUUCAGGUGUUUCCAAAGGGUUCACCCCUUGUAACUGAUGUUUCAAGGGAAGUCUUAAACGUGACAGAGGGAGCUAAAAUGCUACAAUUCGAGAAGGCAUGGUUUGGGCAAACACCCAGUUGUCCAGAGCUCACCAGCUCAGUUUCUUCAAACAGCAUCGGCCUUAAUAGCUUCUGGGGCCUAUUCCUCAUUGCUGGAGUCGCUUCAUUCGUAGCUCUCAUCACAUGCAUCACCAUGUUCCUUUAUGAAAAUAGAGAUACCUUAAUAAACUUGAAUCCCCCAUCUUCCAUAUGGGGAAAAAUUAAAGCCAUGGCAACACGCUUUGAAGACAAAGAUCUCAGGUCCCAUACCUUUAGAAAUAGUGAUCAACUUCCAGACAAGCAACAUCAAGGCCAUGGAUGUAGUUAUAGCCUCGCCAGCUACACCAACUGCCCUCCAAGUCCAUCAAGCCUUUUGAUCCCAACACACAACAAUUUUACUUUCUUCGGUGAACAAGGAACGCCUUCUUCUGGACAUGUUGAUCCGGUCAGUUCAAAUCAGCCGAUGCAUCCACAUAUAUUGUUUGAAUAUGAGCUUGCUAAUAUAAAUCAUGAGCAAACAAGAUGUCAUGCCCCGUGACCCGCUCCAAGGGCAUGACGAUCAUUUCACAUGUCAAGCCCGAAAGCUCAAAGUGUAAAUUGAACAUUAUCGAGAAUAAUUCUAGAAGCUUCUCUUAGCCUCACAUGUAAAGCACCAGCUCACCAACUCCACACCAAAUGCAGUUGUAACAGAGAAUUGGGUUGUACACUCUCAUAUAUAAAUAUAUGUAAAAAAAGAUAAGAGGUUUAUUCUAGGCAAUAUUUUUUUCAUUAUGUUCUUCUCUGCCCCUCUAUUUUCUCUCUCAAAAACUCCUGUGAUUCAAUCCUUUUUUUUUUUUAAUUCAAUCAUGGUAUCAGAGCUCCAUGAGACUUACGUCACCCCUCCUACCAUGUCCACCACUACAACUCCAACCAUAACUACGAAUCCAGCAAUGGCGUCUUCCUUUUUUAUUAAUCUCAACUUCACUCUGUCGAUCAAGUUGGAAAGAGGUAAUUACCUUAUUUGGAAGUCACAAAUUCUUCCUAUUCUUAGAGGUCAUGGUCCUGAUGGUUUUGUUACAGGAAUGAAACCUUGCCCGAAUGAGUUUAUCAACGUUGCAGGUGAUUCAUUUGGCCUUAAUCAAAUGGUAAAUCCAAAGUAUUUUUAUAGGCAAAGACAAGAUCAGUUGAUCCUUGGGUGGAUGAUUGCUUCAAUGUCAGAAGGUGUUGUUGGUCAGAUUGUAGGCUGUACCACUUCUUAGCAAGUCUGAGCAGCUCUGGAGCAUCUUUUUGCCUCACCUUUGAAGGCAAGAUUACUUCAGUUGUGAAUAGAAAUGCAGACAACCAAGAAAGGCUCUCUCUCAAUGAUUGAUUACAUUAGCAAAAUCAAGUCUAUUGUAGAUAAUCUAAUAGCAUCUAGAGCACCUCUUACUGAUGAAAAUAUUAUAAUGAAUUUGUAGACUGAUGUUAGAGUAGAAUAUGAUCCAGUAUUUGUCAUUAUUACAACACGACCGGAACUCUUCACUCUAUCAGAAGUCUGUGCACUGUUGCAGAAUCAUGAAACCAGUAUUAAGCAACUGAAUUCUUGCACACAAAUUGUCUCCAAAAUGUCUGCUAAUUUUACAGUAGGUGGUUCUUCCAAGGAUGGUCGUGGUUGUAGAAAUACUCAUGGGAAUGACAGGGCACAUACUAGAGGUCAUAACAGUUUUCAUUGCAGUCAGUAUUUUGGUCUAGGGCUUGGUGGUUAUGGUAGAGGUAAUGGAUUGCUCCCAACUUGCCAAGUUUGUGGUCGACAAGGACACAUUGCUAUAAACUGUUACCAUAGAUUUGAUCGGGCUUUUCAAUCUCCCCCAAGUAAUUCCUUAACUUUUAUGGUUGCCCUUCCUAAUACAAUAGCAGAUCCUUCUUGGUACUUUGAUAGUGGUGCAUCAACCCAUGUGACCAAUAAUCCAGACAACUUGAGCUUCAAAUCUUACUAUAAUGGUCAUGAUAAGGUUACUGUGGGCAAUGAUCAAGGUUUGUGCAUUCAAAAUGUUGGUUAUUCUUCCCUACCUUUUUUUCUCAAAACCUUGCAUCUCAUAAAUAUUUUGCAGCCCAAAAAUUACUAAAAAUCUCUUGAGGAUUUCUAGGUUCACUAUAGAUAAUAAUGUUUAUGUUGAGUUUCACUAAAAUCAUUGCUUUGUGAAAGACAAGAGCUCAGGGAAUGUUUUGUUCCAAUGAUCAAUUAAAGAUGGCCUUUAUUGUCUGAUACCACCUCAGAAUCCUCUAUUCCAUUGUUUCCAGUUCUACCACAGUCACUCCAAGGGAUACUUCAUUUUUUUGCCCAUGUUUCCUCUGCUGAUAAUCACACUUUUAGUCCAGUUUUAUAGUCUCUUAAAUAUAAUAAACUUGAGGUUUGGCACCAAAGGUUGGGCAAAAUGAAAACUUAUCCCCAAGUUUGUACUCAAGCCUGUUUUGAAGUCUUGUAUCUUUUCUUUACACAAUGAAAACUUAUCUCCAAGUUUUUGUAAUUCUUGUUAGUUUAGCAAAAACCAUGCUCUUCUUUUUUUCCUAGCUCUAACUACAACCAUGGCACCUCUUCAAUUGGUUCACACUGAUUUGUGGGGGCCUUCUCCUGUCAAGUCCAGUGUUGGUUUUCUCUAUUAUAUUUAUUUUAUCGAUGACUAUACUUGGUUUACCUGGAUUUAUCCAUUGAAAGCUAAAUCUAAUGCUCUAAAUGUAUUUUUUCUUUUCAAAGUGUUUUGUGGAAAUUCAAUUCGGCUUGUGUAUUAAAGCCUUACAAUCCAACUGGGGUAGGGAGUACAGACCUUUUCUUCCUAUUCUUAUUAAACAUGGAAUUCAUUUUCGCCAUCCUUGCCCACAUGUGCACCAACAACAUGGUCAUGUUGAGCAUAAACAUCGACGUGUAGUUGAGUGUGGUCUCACUUUAUUAGCACAGACACAGUUACCUCUCUAUUUCUAGUGGGAAGCUAUUCAUAUUGCUACCUUUCUUAUCAACAAGUUGCCCACUCCUGUCCUCCAUAUCUCCAUAUAAAAAACUCUUUGGCACCCUUCUUGAUUAUGCUAUCCUCAAAACUUUUUAUUGCACUUGUUUUCCUAACAUUCAUGCUUAUAACACCCUUAAGUUUGCUUUUCACACUAAGUGUGUAUUCAUUGGGUAUAUUGAUGUUCAUAAGGGGUACAAAUGUCUUGAUUCUUUUGGUUGUGUUUAUAUUACCCGCCAUGUUGUGUUUAAUGAAAUGGACACUACAAGAAAACAUGUUUUUCCCAAUGAAAAUUUAGGGACAAAUUAAAAAUUUAUCUUUAAAACUAAUUUUUCCAGACGAAAUUCUAGAUAUUGUCACUAACACCAAUUUCUUGACAACUUUUCAUGAUGAAAUUGAAAUUUUUGUCACCAAAAUUUGUGGUGGGAAAAUUUGAGAUGGAGAUCCAUCCUCAUGCAUACUCCAAUUCCUAUUUUAGGCAUUGUGAUUUUAUUUCAUGUUUUAACUCUUAAUUUUCAUUUUGAUUUAAUAUAUAAUUAUCUUUUCUUUACCACAUUAUAAUUAUUUUAAUUUAUGAAAAUGAUAUGCGGAAUCCCUAAAGUAUAUAUGUAUAUUAUUUGAGAGUUUUAAUUUUAAUUUUGAUUUUAACUUUAAUCUUAGUUUAGAUCUUAAUUAUAGUAUUAGUUUAAAUAAAAAUUUUAAUCUUAGUUUAAAUUUCCAUUUUAAUGUUAAUUUUUGUAAUUUUAAUUCUAGUUUUAAUUUUUAACUUGAACUUUAGUUUUAACUUUGCCUUUAAUUUUAAUCUUAGUUUUGACCGGAUUUUCAAUCCUCAUCUUAGGCUUAAUUUUAAUUUUAAUAUUAAUUUUCAUUAUAAUUAUAAUCGUUUUUUUUUUAAAAUCAUUUUGACAUUAAUAUUAGUUUUGACUUUAAUUUUGAUUCUAAUUUCAAUUUUAAUUUUAUUUUUAAUCUUGACUCUAAUUUGGUUUUGAUCUUGAUUUUGAUUUUAAUAUUUGAGAUGAAAAGAAAAAUUGAAUUGUACCAUUAAACAUACAAAUUGGAGAAUGGAAGUUUUAAUAAAAACAAACAAAGUACAACUUUAGUUUAAUGUUGAGUUUAAUUUUUACGUUCAUUUUAGUAAUUUUAAUAUGGUUUUAAUCUUUAACUUUAACUUUAGUCUUAAUUUUGACUUUAAUUAAAGUUUACCUUAGCUUCAACCCUAAUCUUGGUCUUAACUUUAAUUUUAAUCUUAGUUUUUAUUAUAAUUAUAUUUUUCAUUUUCAAUUUUAACAUUGAUCCUAAUUUUGACUUUAAUUUUGAUUUUAAUUCUAAUUUUUGUCUUAUCACUUUGAUCUUAAUUUCAAUUUUAAUUUUAAUAUUUAACUUUAAAGUUAGUUUUAAUUUUGACCUUAAUUAAAGUUUGUAAGUUUGAACCAUUGGUUUGACCAUAGUUGAGCCACGAUCUAACCAACAAAUUAUGUCUUAACUUUUUUUACUCAAUGAUCAGUCCAACUCUAGAAAUAUUGGAGAUUAUCAUUUCCAAUGAAUUUAUGUUUUUUUAUUUCAUUAGGCUAUAAUUGAAUAAAAGUGAUGUUUAAGGACCUCAUAAUAAUAUUAUAUAUAUAGUAUGAUUAUUUUGAUUUCAAUUUAAUUUAAUUUUGAUUCUAAAUUUUUAUUUUAUUUUUACUUCUAAUUUCAAUCUUAAUUUUAAUUUUGAUUUUGAGUUAAUCUUAAUUUCAAUUUCAAUUUUAAUUUUUGUUCUAGUUCUAGUUUGUUAUUUUAGGUUUUAGUUUUAUUUUGUAACUCUGAUUUUAGUUCCAAUUUUAAUUUUGAAUUUUAAAUUUUAAUAGUAAUCUUAGUUUUAAUUUUAAUUUAAUCAUAAUUUUUCUUUUUAAUCUUAACUUCAAUUUUUAUCUUAACAUUUAUUUUUAAUAUAAAUUUUUGCUUCUCUAAUUUUACCCUCUACAUUAUCUUAUUCUAAUAAUAAUAGUAGAAAAUUGAAAUGAUGGGAGAAAACUCGAGGUGCAUCUAAUGCAUCGAAUAGUUGUUUAGUUAUCUUGCUGUGUUGAAUGGAGCUAAAAUGAUGAAAUGGGAGGCUUGAAUGACAUGCAAGGGGGAGGGGGGUUGUUUUCCUUUUCCCUUUUGAAAGAAUACACCAUUUCAUCUCUGAUUCACUUAACAACAACUACUACUCUCACACUUACCCUAUACCCAUGAAAACUCACUUCAUUCACCCACCUCUUAUCCAGACAUAGGGGGACAUUGUUGGGAUUUUAUUUCUCCUACAUCUUCGGUAAUAAACCGAAGACGUGAUUGGAAUGUGGUCCACAUCAUUCCAUCAAUUUAGGAACGAGGAUUCAUGCUCCAAACCACGUUCGCAUCACUACCGCAUGUUCUGUGCACGUUCCAGGUAGGCUCAAUGAUGGAGAGAGUCUUUUAAAACGAGGCAGAACACUAACGGGAGGGUACCCUAAGCCUGCAAUCUCUUUUCAGUUUUCAAAAACACCAUCUAAGUGGAGAUUGUGAAGGUUUAGAAGCACCUGAAACCCAAAAUUAGCAAAACCCUUUUUAACCUGUAGAAUGGCAAUGGCGGGAGGUAUGUUUUCCGAUCAAUUUAUAAUUCCGUUUAUGAUCUAAUUGCUAUUUAAUGUUUUUUUAUAGCAUGUUUAGAAAUAAAGAUUCAGUUGGUAUCAAAGCCUUGUAUACCUUUGCCUUGUUCAUUUUACAAUUUACAUUUUUCAAUCCAGUGAGUUUUGGUAUUUUGGAGGUUUUGGUUUUAGAAGUUUUUGAUGAAAAAUAUUGUUAGAAAUCAUUAGGAGAUGAGAUUUCUAACAUUUUGGUGUUUUAAAUCAUCAAUUUGGUGUUUGGAAUGCCUAGAAACCGUCGGGUUUCAUUUCGGGUUGCAGAUGGGUCAAACAGACCCGACUGAAGGUAGGGGACGACUACAAGGGGUUAUCGUUUUGACUGUCAAUAAGACUUAAAUAAGUAAACAAGUGAUCAGAAAAUGGGCAGUAACCCAGAUGGUCACAACCUUGUUUACCUUCAUUGAUUGCACAGGUUCGAGUCCUCCUAGCAGUAACCUAUAAACUUAUUUUUAUUUAGUGAAUGUAAUAAUAAUAAUAAAAAAAUCAUAAAAUUUAAUGUUUUUUAAAAUAUGUUAAUUUAUGGAUAUUUUAUGUGAUAGAUUAUUUAUUUUUGCUAGUUGAAUGCAUAUUUUUAUUUUAAUGGUUUAUUGUGCAUACAACAUUAAAUUAAAUAAUUUGCACAUUAAAUUUAUUCUUAAAGGCUUUUAUGGUUUUAAUUUUAGAUAUUAAUGUGCUUAUAAUUUAUACAAUUUCAGAAAUUUUGCACAUUGAUAUUGAGUUUUGUGUAAAAAAAAAAAAAAUUGCUUAUGGUUUCAUGCAAUUUAUAUAAGUUUUCUUGUGAAUUAAUUUAAUGUCAAGUGAUCCAUAUAAUUUUAAUUAAUUAAGAAGUAGCCACAGCAUCUUUAAUUAUGCAAAAUUAUAUAUUAAUUGUUUUGGGAUCACAUAUUGGAAAAUGACAUUAUGGGUAAUUAAUUAUAUUUGAUAUAAUAAAAUUUUAUCCCACAAGAAUUUUUUAUUAUAUUUGUGUUAUUAAUUAGGGUAGAAUAUCAGAUUAUAUUUCUUAAUUACCCACAGGAAUUAGGAAAUAAAACACAAUUUGAUAGUUUUAUCAUAAGGUUUUACAUGGAUCUAAUUGAAUUAGAACUUUAGCCCACAUGCAAGUUUUAUGUCACUAGAUUCAUAAUUUUUUAACAUGAGUUACAUUGGUAAAACAUGAUAUUUGUUUAUUAGUCUCAAAUUUGAAUUAUAAGCAUGUAUGUUUAAUUUUUGUGCAGUCAUGCAACUUGCGAAUUUCUCUAAUAUAAAAUGUGACAUUCCCAAAUUGAAAAGUGAUAACUAUAAGGUUUGGAAUGAGAGAAUUCUCCUUCAUUUAGGGUGCAUGGACAUUGAUUAUGCUAUCAGGAAAGACAAACCAACCAUUAUUGACACUAGCACUACAGCAGAAAAGGCUCUUUAUGAACAAUGGGAGCGAUCAAAUCGCCUUAGUCUGAUGUUCAUAAAGACCAAAAUCUCUUAUGGUAUUCGUGGUUCUGUGGAUCAACAUGACAAUGUCAAGGCAUUACUGAAGGCUAUUGAUGAACAAUUUGUGACUUCAGAUAAGGCACUUGCUAGCACCCUGAUAAUGAAGUUUUCAUCUUUAAGGCUCACUAAUGUGAAUGGUGUGCGAGAGCACAUAAUGCAAAUGAGGGAUAUUGCGGCACAAUUGAAAACACUUGAGGUUGAAAUUUCUGACUCCUUCCUUGUGCACUUCAUUUUAAACACUCUUCCACAACAAUAUGGACCCUUCAAAAUCUCCUACAACACACACAGAGAUAAGUGGUCAAUUAAUGAGCUUCUGACCAUGUGUGUUCAAGAGGAGGGAAGGUUGAAAAUGGAAUUGGGUGAGAAUGCAUUAAUGACAAUGGAAGGAAAGGAUCAAAAUCAGGCCAAAAAGAAAGGGAAAGGUAAAAUACCGCCCCAAGGUGGAAUCAAGAAGUUCAAUAAGUGCUUCUUCUACAAGAAAAAGGGGCACAUGAAAAAGGGUUGCACCAAAUUCCAGAAAUGGCUUGAGAAGAAAGGUAAACCAAUCUCAUUUUUUUGUUAUGAAUCUAAUAUGGUUGAUGUUAUUUAUAACACAUGGUGGAUUUAUUCUGGUUCUACAAUCCAUGUUUCGAAUACCUUGCAGGGUAUGCAAAACCUAAGGAAGCCAAUGCCAAGUGAGCAAUGCAUUUAUUCAGGAAACAAGAUGCGUUCACAUGUGGAGGCUGUUGGAACAUGCAAUUUAGUUUUAAGUAGUGGUUUUAUUUUAAAUUUAGAAAAGACAUUUUAUGUUCCAAGUUUCUCUAGGAAUUUGAUUUCAGUUUCAAGAAUUGUACCUUUGGGUUAUUCCUUUAGUUUUUAUGAGACAUCUUUCAGUUUGUUUUAUAAAUCUAAUCUUGUUGGAAAUGGUACAUUGUCUAAUGGUCUUUUCUCUAUCGAUUUGCAAAAUGAUACCACUAAUAAUACUAUGCAUGUUCACAUUGGUACAAAACGAUGUGUUAUGAAUGAAGAUUCCUUUAUGCUGUGGCAUCGGAGAUUGGGACAUAUCUCCAUACAGAGAAUUAAGAGAUUAGUAAAUGAUGGAGUACUUAACACUUUAGAUUUUACUGAUUUUCACACUUGUAUGGACUGCAUUAAGGGAAAGCAGACCAACAAGUCUAAGAAGGGUGCCAAGAGGAGCAUAGACAUAUUAGAGAUCAUACAUUCAGAUAUUUGUUGUCCAGACAUGGACGCGCAUGGUCCGAAAUACUUCAUCUCCUUCAUAGACGAUUACUCACGAUACAUGUAUAUCUACUUGCUUCAUAACAAGAAUGAAACAUUGGGUGCCUUUAAAGUUUUUAAGGCUGAAGUAGAAAAACAAUGCGGAAAGCAAAUAAAGAUUGUGAGAACAGAUAGAGGUGGAGAACAUUAUGGUAGAUACACCGAGGAUGGACAAGCACCUGGUCCCUUUGCGAAGUUUCUUCAAGAGCAUGGGAUAGUUGCUCAAUACACAAUGCCUAGGUUCCCCAGACCAGAACGGUGUGGCUGAAAGAAGAAACCGAACAUUAAUGGACAUGGUUAGGAGUAUGCGUAGCAACUCCAAGCUUCCUGAAUCCUUGUGGACUGAAGCUCUUAAAACGGUAGUGUAUAUAUUGAACUGAGUUCCAACAAAGGUUGUCCCCAAGACGCCAUUUGAAUUUUGCAAAGGUUGGAAACCAAGUUUGUGACAUAUACACGUUUGGGGAUGCCCAUCUGAAGUAAGAGUUCACAACCCACAAGAGAAGAAACUAGACCCAAGGACCAUUAGUGCGUAUUUCAUUGGAUAUGCCGAAAGGUCUAAAGGGUAUAGAUUUUACUGUCCAUCUCACAGUACUAGAAUUGUGGAGUUAAGAAAUGCUAAGUUUCUUGAUAAUGACUUGAUUAGUGGGAGUGAUCGAUUUCAGGACAUUGUUUCUAAAAAAGAUCAUAUAGAUGCUCAACCAUCCACUUCAAGUGAUAGCUUGAUUGUCAUUCAGAAUGCCCCUCAAGUUCAAAUGGGUGAUAGACAACCAAUCAUUGAAGCUCCACAAAUUGCUAAUGACAAUCCAGUAGAUCAAGUUGUUCAAGAUUCGCCAGAAAUUGUUGAACAACCUGUUGAGCAACGUGAUCCUCAGGAAAAUGUUGAUUCAAUAUUAAGAAGAUCUACAAGAGUGAGAAAACUAGCAAUACCUAGUGAUUAUGUUGUGUAUCUGCAAAAAUUGGACUAUGACAUUAGAGUCGAAAAUGAUCCUAAAACAUUUUUACAAGCCAUAAGUUGCAAAGAGUCUAAUUUAUGGUAUGAUGCUAUGAAAGAUGAGAUGAAUUCUAUGGCAUCUAAUGAAGUCUGGAAUCUUGUUGAGUUGCCUGAUGGUUCAAAAGCCAUUGAAUGUAAAUGGGUCUUCAAGACAAAGAAAGAUUCAUUGGGCAACAUUGAAAGAUAUAAAGCGAGACUCGUUGCUAAAGGAUUAACUCAAAAUAAAGGAAUUGACUACAAGGAGACUUUUUCUCCUGUAUCUAAGAAAGAUUCUCUUCGUGUCAUUAUGACAUUAGUUGCACAUUUUGACUUAGAGUUGCAACAAAUGGAUGUGAAAACGGCAUUUCUCAAUGAAAAUCUAGAGGAAAAGAUUUACAUGAAACAACUAGAAGGAUUUUCCUCUAGUGGUGGUGAGCAUUUGGUAUGCAAGCUUAAGAAAUCCAUAUAUGGAUUGAAACAAGCAUCCCAUUAGUGGUAUUUGAAGUUUCAUGAUGUUAUCUCUUCAUUUGGUUUCGUGGAGAACAUUAUGGAUCAAUAUAUAUAUCAAAAAGUCAGUGGGAGUAAGAUAUGUUUCCUUGUUCUGUAUGUGGAUGACAUUUUACUUGCAACCAAUAAUAAGGGUUUGCUACAUGGGGUGAAACAGUUUCUAUCUAAAAACUAUGAUAUGAAGGAUAUGGGUGAUGCAACUUAUGUUAUUGGCAUUAAGAUACAGAGAGACAGAUUUUGAGGCCUUUUAGGUUUGUCUCAAGAGACCUAUAUCAACAAGGUUUUAGAAAGAUUUCGGAUGAAAGAUUGUUCACCAAGUAUAGCUCCCAUUGUGAAGGGCGAUAGGUUCAAUUUGGACCAGUGCCCGAAGAAUGAUCUUGAGCGGGAACAAAUGAAGAACAUUCCUUAUGCUUCUGAUGUUGGAAGCUUGAUGUAUGUUCAGGUCUGCACAAGACCUGACAUUGCAUUUACUGUUGGGAUGUUAGGGAGAUAUCAGAGUAAUCCAGGUAUGGACCAUUGGAAAGCUACAAAAAAGGUGAUGAGAUACCUUCAAGGGACCAAAGACUACAUGCUUAUGUAUAGACGGACUGAUAAUUUGGAAGUGAUUGGCUACUUUGAUUCGGACUACGCUGGUUGCAUUGAUUCGCGAAAAUCAACUUCAGGAUAUGUCUUUAUGCUAGCCGGUGGAGCUGUUUCUUGGAGAAGUGCAAAGCAAACUUUGAUUGCAACUUCCACUAUGGAGGCUGAGUUCGUGUCUUGUUUUGAGGCUUCCUAGCAUGGUGUAUGGUUAAAGAGCUUCAUUUCUGGGCUUAGAGCUGUGGAUUCAAUUUCUUGGCCAUUAAAGAUAUAUUGUGACAAUUCAGCUGUAGUUUUUAUGGCUACGAACAAUAAAAGUAGCAGUCAAAACAAGCACAUCGACAUCAAGUAUUUAGCCCUAAGAGAACGUGUUAAAGAGAAAACAGUGGUUAUUGAACACGUUAGCACUGAAUUGAUGAUUGUUGAUCCUUUGACUAAAGGCAUGCCACCGUUGAAACUUAGGGAUCAUGUAGAUAGAUUGGGACUUGGUUCCUUUGUGUGAUUUUCGUUGUAAGAACGAAUGUUAUUUUCAAUGAAACUCUAUUUGUGAUGUUUUCUCAUAUUUGAUUUUCUUUGUGUACACUUUUAUUCAUUUAUUGAGAAAUAUCAUUAAUAUUUGGACAUAGAAUAAACAUAAGGUUUAUUCAUUAAGCCAGAUGGACUAGUGUUUAAGAAACAUGAUGCAUUGUGAUACAUGGAAGAUAAUACUCAAUAUUAGAGGACCUAUCGCCAUGAAUCAUGUAUUUUGUUUCUUGCUAUGAUGAAUGAUGGAAUAUAUGGACCAAGUGGGAGAAUGUUGGGAUUUUAUUUCUCCUACAUCUUUGGUAAUAAACCGAAGACGUGAUUGGAAUGUGGUCCGCAUCAUUCUAUCAAUUUAGGAACGAGGAUUCAUGCUCCAAACCAUGUUCGCAUCACUACCCCAUGUUCUGUGCACGUUCCAGGUAGACUCAGUGAUGGAGAGAGUCUUUUAAAACGAGGCAGAACACUAACGGGAGGGUACCCUAAGCCUGCAAUCUCUUUUCAGUUUUCAAAAACACCAUCUAAGUGGAGAUUGCGAAGGUUUAGAAGCACCUGAAACCCGAAAUUAGCAAAACCCAUUUUAACCUAUAGAAUGGUAAUGGUGGGAGGUAUGUUUUCCGAUCAGUUUAUAAUUUCGUUUAUGAUCUAAUUUCUAUUUAAUGUUUUUUUAUAGCAUGUUUAGAAAUAAAGAUUACAAACAUAGCCCCCCACAACUCACUCCACCACUACCAUCAACAACCUCAACCCACAACUCCCUUUCUCAAGGUCUUCAUCAACGUAUCGGGUAACCAUUCUGCAACUUUGCAUCCCUGUUGCAGAAACAAAAACCACUUUGAAACCCAUUGUGUACGAUGGGUUUGAUUUUUUAAUAUAAUGCAUUGCACUUUGCUUUCAUGUACAUGUAUGGAAGUUGAUUUUUUUUAAUGUCAUAUAUUAUGCCUUCAUGAUAUUAUAGAUCAUGGUUUCAUGUGGGUUUUAACCUUUUAUUUCCAUAUAUUAUGGGUUAGUGUGGGCUUGAUUUUUGUAAUGGUAUAAUAUGGGUUUUGGUUUUAUAACACCAUGUAAUGCAAUUUCAUUGGUUUGACGUUAUUUUUUUGUUAGAUAAAUAAAAUGUAUAGUGGAGGUUGGGUUAUGGAGUUUGAUUCUGUAAUACUUAACAGGUGAGAUUUUGUAAUAAUGAAUAAGAGAAGUGGCUUUCAAGUGAUAGUGAAAGCGAAAAUGGUUAAAAACUCUUGUAAGCUAUCUUUUAUUUAUUUUAUUAUAUGUCAAAAACUAAAAUUUAAUCUAGUUACAUAUCUUUAAUUUUUUUUUUUUUCAUUUAAUAACACUUGUUAUUCAUUUCUUACUUUUUUUUUUUUUAUGUUGCUCAUUGAUUACAGAUGGCUCCUAAACAAAAAAAGCCAACUCCUCAUCUGACUCCUUCACCCAUAAUGGCACCCACAACACCUCUUUCCAUUAACGCUCCAAUGCCCACAUUUGAUGAGGGCACUAGCAACUUUAAGAAAUUUCCCACACUUAUAACUUCAAGCUAUUAUAAUUUUGUAAGGUGUUUUAUCAACUUCCUUUAAUUUUUAUGUGAUUAUGGUUGCUUUAUUGAUUACUACCCAAAAAGUGCUAUUUUGCGCUUUUAAUUUAUUAUGUUUUAAGCACUUUUGUGUAGUAGUUCUCCAUUUUUAUUCCAAUUGGCAUGUUAAGGACCUAGCAAUGACUUCUAAUCAUAUUUGUGGCUAGUUUUAGUGUUUUGACAGCUUUUUGGAUCAUUAAGACAAGCCAAGUAAAGGAGAGAAGCAAAGAGGAAAACAAAGUGAAGAAAACAGAGGAUAGCAGCUGCAGUCUUCCUUCGCACUUUUGGAGAACUUACAGAAGUCCAUUUUCUACAUGCUAUAUACCAUUUUAAAGCUCAGGAAGUCAAGAAUCCAACGCUUCAAACCGUGUACUAUUUGAAGCUGAAAUGAGGAAGAUAUGGCCUUUGGAAGACAACUGCAUCAAGCAAGUGCGAAUUUCGCACAGCAGCCCAAGCAAGUGCGAAUUUCGCACCACCAGCCAUGCAAGUGCGAAUUUCUCACCAGCCCAUGUGUCUUUGGUGUGAAAUCUCCUCUGUUCUGCCGACUCCACAUGAGAUCUUUUCUUUUGUAUUUUUUUAUGAAAAUUCCUUUCUUAUCCCUAUAAUUAGCCAAUCACAGGCUUUGCUUUUGUAAAGGCUAUAAGAGGGGUGGAAAUCAUCUCUCGAAACACACUAACAUAUUGUAUAUUUUACACUUAGUGAAAUUUUCCUCUGGGGAAAAAACAGAGUUCUCUUUGCUUUCCUUUUCUCUUUUCUAUUUUCUUUUUCUUGGAAGCCAAACAACCUCUAAGGAUGUUUUCCCAGAGGAUGAGAGGCUAAACCUUUGGUUUCUUGGAGUGAAAGAAGCUAGGUGAAAAUUCCAGAUGCUAAAAUGGAAAACUCUCGUGCAUUAAAUAUAGAUAGUUGGAGUUCAUAAAUGGCUUUUAAAUCUAAAGUUUUGCUUUAAAUCCCUUAGAAUCACUUUGAAUGGGCCAAUACAUGAUAAGCUUUAGGUCUCUGUGGAUACUUAUUGCUAGAUCCACAUCAGACCAUUAGUUAUCAUGUACGAGCCAUUGGAAAGUGGCUCAAGGUGAAGACCCAUAGUGUCUAAAGCCAUUAAUGGAACUUGACUACCAUUUCUAUGGACUUUUUAUGGAUUAAAUCUUCAUUGUUAAACCUAUACCGAUUCGGGAAACAACAAUCCUUUAUGUUGUUGUCCCCAAUACGAGAAGAAAAAUCCGGAAUUUCCCACUUUGCAUUCUGAACUUGAUUGUAGCAACCUUUAGCUCCGAGAGACUUUCUUUUUUCCAUUUUUACCUAGUUUAUGUUAGUUUAGUUCCAAACACCACUUUCAAAACAAAUUUUAUUUUCUUUUAAACUUUAAGUUUUUGACAAAGGAAAUCAUCAGAUUCAAUUUCUAAUCUUGAGUCUAUCACUGGUAGAAUGAAAACCCAUCCCAAAGUUUGACCCUAGAACUGCUAUACUAUAGUAGCUUUGCUAUGCUAGUAUGAGGUCAUAGGAUUUAUAAAUAUUUUUUAUUAAAAUACCCGACUGGGCACGAAUCAAAAUGGCACCAUUGUCGGGGAUGGUGCCACGAUACAGUGAUACAACUUUUUAGAGGCUACUUGUGAUUUCCAUCACAAGUUUGGUGAAUUCCUUUUUCACUAACUUCAUUUUCUUUCUUUUAAUUGUAGAAUUCCUUUUGUUAAGUUUAUUUUCAUUUUCUUUCUAACCUUAACUUUCUUCUAGCUUUCUUUUGUUUUUGUUGUCUUUGUUUUGUUUUCAGGUAAGUAGUAACUUGUGCAUGCCCUAUUGGAUUCGGGACCAAGAGGGAAGAUUAGUAAGGAUUGAGAAUCCUCAAGACACGGAGUUGGAUAUUUGUGUAAACAUCAUGGACCCUCCACAAGAGGAUCAGAAUUCUCAACACGGUCAAGGGGGUAAUCCAAAUGCAUAUCUAUCCAUGAGGGAUAGGAUGCACCCACCAAGGAUGAGUGCACCCUCAUGCAUCGUACCUCCUCUUGAGCAGCUGAUUAUAAGGCCCCAUAUUGUGCCCCUCCUACCAAAUUUCCAUGGAAUGGAGAGUGAGAACCCAUAUGCCCACAUCAAGGAGUUUGAGGAGGUGUGCAAUACUUUUAGAGAGAAAGGAGCUUCAAUAAACUUGAUGAGACUCAAGUUAUUCCCUUUUACUUUGAAGGACAAGUAAAAAAUAUGGCUUAACUCCUUAAGGCUGAGGAGCAUAAGGAAUUGGGUUGAUCUUCAGGCCGAAUUUUUGAAGAAAUUUUUCCCCACCCAUAGGACCAAUGGGUUGAAGAGACAAAUCUCAAACUUUUCUGCAAAAGAAAAUGAGAAGUUCUAUGAAUGUUGGGAAAGGUAUAUGGAGGCCAUCAAUGCUUGUCCUCAUCAUGGCUUUGAUACAUGGCUCUUGGUGAGCUAUUUUUAUGAUGGGAUGUCUUCCUCCAUGAAGCAAAUUCUUGAAACCAUGUGUGGGGGAGAUUUUAUGAGUAAGAAUCCGGAAGAAGCCAUGGACUUUUUAAGUUAUGUAUCUGAGGUAUCAAGAGGAUGGGAUGAGCCCAACUCAAGAGAAAUGGGAAGGAUGAAAGCUCCUGUAAAUCCAAAGGGUGGAAUAUACAUGUUAAGUGAAGACAUGGACAUGAAAGCUAAGGUGGCAACAAUGGCAAGGAGGUUGGAAGAACUUGAGUUGAAAAAAAUGCAUGAAGUCCAAGCCAUUUUCGAGACACAAGCCCAUGUCAUGCCAUGCACCAUUUUCCAAUCAUGUGAUCAUGUGGUAGAUGAGUGCCCAACCAUCCCAGCUGUGAGGGAGAUGUUAGGUGAUCAAGCCAAUGUUGUGGGGCAAUUUAGGCCCAACAACAAUGCACCUUAUGGAAACACCUAUAAUUCAAGUUGGAGAAACCAUCCAAAUUUUUCUUGAAAACCAAGGCCACCUCCAUACCAACCACAAGCCCAAACCCAAGCACCUCAACAAACCUCUUCAGUGGAGCAAGCCAUUGUGAACCUAAGUAAAGUCAUGGGUGACUUUGUAGGUGAACAAAAGGCAAUCAACUCCCAAUUGCACCAAAAGAUUGAAAAUGUUGAGAGUUCUCAAAUUAAGAGAAUGGAUGGAAUGCAAAAUGAUCUAUCUCAGAAGAUAGAUAAUAUUCAAUACUCCAUCUCUAGGCUUACCAACCUCAACACAGUAAAUGAGAAAGGAAAGUUUCCCUCUCAACCAAGCCCAAAUCCCAAGGGUGUUCAUGAAGUUGAAACCCAAGAUGGGGAGUCUUCAAAGUUAAGGGAGGUCAAAGCUGUGAUCACCUUGAGGAGUGGGAAGGAGGUUGAUCAACCCUUGCCUAAGGUGAGGCAAGAUGAAGAACUCAUGUCAAAGAGAACCUUGGUUAAAGAGAGCAAUAACCAAGAAGAGAAGAGUGGGAAAAAAAAUGCAUCCAAAUCAAGCAUUGAAGAAGAGCCAAGGAUAGUGAUUAAAGAGGAUAUGAUGAAGAAACAUAUGCCUCCCCCUUUUCCUCAAGCUUUACAUGGAAAGAAGGGAAUUAAGAAUUCAUCAGAAAUUCUUUAAGUUUUGAGACAAGUGAAGGUGAAUAUACCCUUACUUGAUAUGAUCAAGCAAGUCCCCACAUAUGCAAAAUUUUUAAAGGACUUGUGCACAGUCAAGAGAGGGUUACAUGUGACAAAGAAGGCAUUCCUCACUGAGCAAGUAAGUGUCAUCAUUCAGAGUAAGUCUCCAAUUAAGUACAAAGAUCCGGGAUGUCCCACCAUUUCAGUCAACAUUGGAGGGACACAUGUGGAGAAGGCUUUACUAGACUUGGGGGCAAGUGUGAAUUUGCUCCCAUACUCUAUGUUCAAGCAACUAGGACUUGGAGGAUUGAAGCCCACAGCCAUAACUCUCUCCUUAGCUGAUAGGUCAGUCAAAAUCCCAAGGGGGGUGAUAGAGGAUGUUCUAGUUCAAGUGGACAAAUUCUACUAUCCCGUGGAUUUUGUUAUGCUUGAUACUGAUCCCACUGUUAAAGAAGCAAAUUAUGUGCCAAUCAUCCUUGGGAGACCUUUCCUAGCUACCUCCAAUGCCAUCAUCAAUUGUAGGAAUGGGGUGAUGCAGCUCACAUUUGGAAACAUGACCUUGGAAUUAAACAUAUUCCACCUAUGCAAGAGGCAUCUUCACCCAGAAGAGAAGGAAGGAUUGGAGGAGGUGUGCUUGAUCAACACUUUGGUUGAAGAGCAUUGUGACAAGAAUUUAGAAGAGAGCUUGAACGAAAGCUUUGGAGUGCUUGAAGAAGGGUUACCUAAACCCUCUGAUGUGUUAGCCAUCUGUAGACCCUCAAUUUUGUCCCUCGACACUGGCAUUUAUCCUUCGGGUGUCACAUCCACCCAUCGUUCGCAUAUGGCACCACUAGAGCCUCUUUUGGGCUUAGUCGGUGUCCGAGCCUCGUGUGGGUUUGUCUAUGGUCCAUUGUGGUGCAUAUGUGGUUCAUUUUGGAGGGUCACCAUGGCCAUUUUCCUAGUCGUUCACAUCAUGCUAUAGGAAGGAAGUGGGGUCAUCCCGAUGUUUUAGCUUAGUUGGAGUUUAUAGGGGCAUGUUGAGGUUCGGAGCACUCGGGCUUGUUUUGAUCGUAUCUCCCUCAUCCAAACUCAGAAUUAAGAACCGUUUCUUUUUAUGGAUUCCUUAUUCUUCCAAGAACAUUCUGUAAAAUUUUCAAAAUUUUUUGCAACCGGUCGGCUGGUUGGCAGCCGGUUCAGCCGGUUCAUCGAGUCAGUUGGUGUAGAACACUGAUUUUUGGUAAUUUUUUUGAUCAUAUCUCCCUCUUCCGAACUUGGAAUCAUGCACCGUUUUUUUAAUGGAUUCCUUACUCUACUAGGAACAUUCUGUCAAAUUUUCAGAAUUUUUUUCCAUCGGUUCGACCAGUUGGCAUCCGGUUCAGCCGGUUCAGCCAGUUCAUUGAGUCAGCUGAGGUAAAACACUAAUUCUAGUAAUUUUGAGGCCCAAAUCCUACAUGGCUCAGGCCCGUAAGCUCCAGAUUGGUUUUAAACAAUGUUGUGGGUCCAUUUUGGGCCUUGGUUUGGGUUCCUUGUAGCCCACCACGAAUCCAUAUGGAUUCUUGGUGGUGAAACAAGUUGAAAACUGAAGGAGUGAGCUGGCCUCAUAAGUUUAAGAGAAGUAAUGAGGGGUGUGGUUCCCAUGCUGAUGAAGGGGAUUUCGGUGCUGAAGGGGGAGGAAUCCAGGAGGCUUAAAUGCUAAGAGGGGUAUGAGUAUAAAAGGUGAGAGGAUAGGAGAGCAAAGGAGGGAGGGGACACUUUGGAGAGGGGAAAUUUUGCUGGUGAGAAAAACAAAAGGUUAGUAGCAUCUUCUGAGUUAAGAGCGUGGGGGAAAGCUUCAGCACUGUGGUUUUUUGAAGAGGAGAGUGACAGCGUCUCAGUUUUGGAAGUCAUCAUCUGCAAACACGGAUCAUAUUUGGUGGAGAUUCUGAGGUAAGCAUGCUGAAUUUUCUUUACUUACAGUUUAUCUUUCUCGUCUUCAUAUGCUUUUUCUCCUUCCUCAUCAUCUUUUCUUCCCUUUGAUAUGAAGAUUGUAUUGCUUGGGUGUGGAUAAUAAAGGCCACACAUGAUUUUUUUUGAUUGGUUAUUAAUCAUUUAGGGACUUUCUGAUCGAAUUUGAGAUUUUUUAUCAACCGGCUGAACCAGUUGGGAACCGGUUCAACCGGUUCAGCACCAUAGCUGGCAGCCUCUGUCAGCCAUGAGGAACACCUGCCUUUCUUUGUCUGGUUCUCACUCAUCUGGGCUCAAAAUUGAGAACCAUUUCUUUUGUUUGCUUUCUUAAUCACUUAGGAACUUUUUGAUCGAAUUUGGGAUUUUUUACCAACCGGCUGAACCGGUUCAACCGGUUCAGCACCAUAGCUGGCAGCCUCUAUCAGCCAUGAGGAACACCUGCCUUUCUUUGUCUGGUUCUCACUCAUCCAGGCUCGGAAUUGAGAACCGUUUCUUUUGUUUGCUUCCUUAAUCACUUAGGAACUUUCAGACUAAAUUUGGGAUUUUUUAUCAACCGGUUGAACUAGUUGGGAACCGGUUCAACUGGUUCAGCACCAUAGUUGGCAGCCUCUGUCAGCCAUGAGGAACACCUGCCUUUCUUUGUCUGAUUCUCACUCAUCCGGGCUCGGGAUUGAGUGUCGUUUAUUUUGUUUGAAUCCUCACUCAUUUAGGAGUUUUCUAGAAAAAUUUGGGAAUUUUUCUCAAUAGGUUGUACCAGUUGAGAACUAGUUCAACCUGUUCUGCUGGAGGACUUUAGGUAGCCCUCGAUUUUGGCAUUUUUCGAGCCCUUAUCCAUGGGGGCUCAAACCCAUUUGCUAUAGGGCACUUGUGAGCCAUCUUGAAGGUUUAAGUCAGUGUUUGAUUUCAGUUUGUAUGGGCAAUUUUGAAGUUAUGGGUGGUAUGGUCUAGAUGAGUCUAGUUCGAUUUGUAUGACAUUUGGGGAGUCCCUUACCUCAUUUCAACCAGCUAUCUUCCUUUUUGGCACAAGCUUUGAUGCUUGAUUUUGAAUACAUGUCACGUGACUGACUCACCCUCUGCUGUAGUGCUUGGCUAGGGACCACAAGUACGCAUCGUUGGCUUUGGUUGUUGAAUUCAUAUGCAUGCAUGGUGCUUAAUCUUGAAUGUUUUUUAUGUGUUUAUCUGUGUUUGGCUGACCUUUUAUGCAACGCUUGGCUAGGGACCACAGGUACGCACCCAUUGUUUUGUUUGGUUGAAUUCAUAUGCAUGCCAAAUACCAAUUAGGAUUGUGUGAUUCAUGACAUCUAUUUAGCCUAGGGUUUCAUUUGACCUUUGACCCAUAUGCUCCCACAUACCCAAUUCAUUAGUAGAGACCAAGUUUCAGGCCUAGAGGGGUGCUACCUCGCAUGAGGUACCUUCCCAACGGGUAACCUGAUCCCCGGACCCAGAAUCUAGUUUUCGUAGACCGCUUUUUCCAUACUGGGGUCAUUAGGGGUUUUUGUUCUUACUUAAUUUUCCCCAUUUUAAAAACAAAAAUAAAAAGUAAGUGGCGACUCCAAACAACACCGUUCCUCAUCGGGGGCGGGUUUUUCAAAACUGGAAAACACCAACUUUUCCAUUUUCCUUCUUUUCUUUUAAAAGCGAGUCGCGUCAGUCCGAUGGAUCGGGUGACGGUCCACACCAUCAUGUCUCCUUGGAGGAGACGGGAAGAGAUCUUACCAUUGUUCAAUAAGGAGGACUCACAAGGGGCAGCUACGAAGAACACUCCAAAACUGGUUUUGAAGCCACUUCCUAUUGAUUUGAAGUAUGCAUAUUUGGAGGAAGAUGAGAAGUGUCCAGUGGUGGUUUCUUCAACUCUCACAAGUGAUCAAGAGGACAGUCUUUUGGGAGUCCUCAGAAAAUGCAAAAAAAUCGUUGGAUGCCAAAUUUCUGAUUUGAAAGAGAUUAACCCUUUGGUAUGCACCCACCAUAUCUACAUGGAGGAAGAUGCAAAACCGGUGAGGCAGCCCCAGAGGAGGUUGAAUCCUCACAUACAAGAGGUGGUAAGGGGUGAAGUUUUGAAGCUACUUCAAGCAGGGAUCAUAUAUCCCAUUUCAGAUAGCUUGUGGGUGAGCCCCACCCAAGUAGUCCCAAAGAAAUCUGGAAUUACUGUGAUCCAGAAUGAGAAAGGGGAGGAAGUAUCUACACGUCUUACCUCAGGAUGGAGGGUGUGUAUAGACUACAGGAGGUUGAAUUCAGUGACUAGGAAGGACCAUUUCCCAUUGCCUUUCAUGGACCAAGUCCUUGAGAGAGUCUUAGGGCAUCCUUUCUACUAUUUUUUGGAUGGUUACUUGGGGUACUUCCAAAUAGAGAUUGAUUUGGAAGAUCAAGAAAAGACAACCUUCACUUGCCCCUUUGGUACUUUUGCCUAUAGGAGGAUGCCCUUUGGUCUAUGUAAUGUACCUGCAACUUUCCAAAGAUGUAUGCUAAGCAUCUUCAGUGAUAUGGUGGAGUGCAUCAUGGAAGUCUUCAUGGAUGACAUCACUGUAUAUGGAGGUUCUUAUGAGUGUUUGUUGCAUUUAGAAGCUGUUCUCCAAAGAUGUAUUGAGAAAGACCUAAUGCUAAAUUGGGAGAAGUGCCAUUUUAUGGUACAACAAGGAAUUGUCUUAGGACAUAUAAUCUCCAAGAAUGGCAUUGAGGUAGAUAAGGCCAAGGUGGAGCUAAUUCUUAAGUUGCCACCUCCCACAAAUGUUAAAGGAAUUAGGCAAUUCCUAGGACAUGCCGGGUUCUAUAGGAGGUUCAUUAAGGAUUUCUAAAAAAUCUCAAAACCUCUUUAUGAACUCUUGGUAAAGGAUGCCAAGUUUGUGUGGGAUGAGAAAUGUCAGAAGAGUUUUGAGGAACUGAAGCAAUUCCUCACAACUGCACCAAUAGUGAGAGCCCCAAAUUGGAAAUUACCUUUUGAGGUAAUGUGUGAUGCAAGUGAUCUUGCUAUGGGGGCUGUUUUGGGGCAAAGAGAAGAUGGAAAGCCCUAUGUGAUUUAUUAUGCAAGCAAAACUUUGAAUGAGGCUCAAAGGAACUACACAACUACUGAGAAGGAGUUGUUGGCAGUAGUUUUUGCCUUGGAUAAGUUUCGUGCCUAUUUGGUAGGGUCCUUUAUAGUGGUGUUCACUGACCAUUCCGCUUUGAAGUACUUGCUAACCAAGCAAGAUGCCAAGGCAAGAUUGAUAAGAUGGAUCCUUUUGCUUCAAGAAUUCAAUCUCCAAAUCCAGGAUGAAAAGGGAGUAGAAAAUGUGGUAGCUGACCACUUGUCAAGACUUGUGAUAGCACAUGACUCACAUGGUCUACCUAUCAAUGAUGAAUUCCCUGAGGAGUCUCUCAUGUCAAUAGAGGUAGCUCCAUGGUAUUCUCACAUUGCAAAUUACUUGGUUACUAGAGAAGUUCCAAGUGAGUGGAGUGCCCAAGACAAGAAGCAUUUCUUUGCUAAGAUCCAUGCCUAUUAUUGGGAGAAGUCUUUUCUCUUCAAAUAUUAUGCGGAUCAAAUCAUAAGGAAAUGUGUUCCUGAACAAGAGCAAUCAAGAAUUCUAUCCCAUUGUCAUGAUAGUGCAUGUGGAGGUCAUUUUGCUUCCCAGAAAACAACCAUGAGAGUGGUCCAAUCAGGUUUUUGGUGGCCCUCUCUUUUUAAGGACGCCCAUGCUAUGUGCAAGGGAUGUGAUCGGUGUCAAAGGCUAGGGAAGCUAACACGCCAGAAUAUGAUGCCCUUGAACCCCAUCUUGAUAGUGGAUGUCUUUGAUGUUUGGGGGAUAGACUUCAUGGGACCAUUUCCAAUGUCAUUUGGACACUCCUACAUUUUGGUGGGAGUGGAUUAUGUCUCUAAGUGGGUAGAAGCAAUCCCAUGUAGGAGCAAUGAUCAUAAGGUGGUUCUCAAAUUUCUCAAGGAGAACAUCUUUUCAAGAUUUGGAGUGCCUAAGGCCAUUAUCAGUGAUGGAGGAACCCACUUUUGCAACAAGCCUUUUGAGACUCUUCUAGCAAAUAUGGGGUCAAGCACAAGGUAGCUACACCUUAUCACCCUUAAAAAAGUGGCCAAGUUGAGUUAGACAACCGGGAGAUCAAGAAUAUAUUGAUGAAGGUGGUGAAUGUGAAUAGGAAGGAUUGGUCUAUUAAGCUCUUGGAUUCAUUAUGGGCUUAUAGGACCGCUUAUAAGACCAUUCUUGGAAUGUCUCCUUAUCGCCUUGUUUAUGGCAAAGCGUGCCAUCUCCCAGUGGAGGUUGAAUAUAAAGCAUGGUGGGCAAUCAAGAAGCUCAACAUGGACUUGACAAGAGCCGGGUUAAAGAGAUGUUUGGAUUUGAAUGAAUUGGAGGAAAUGAGGAAUGAUGCUUACCUCAAUUCAAAGAUUGCAAAAGAGAGGUUGAAGAAAUGGCAUGAUCAGAUGGUAAAUCAGAAGAAUUUUACCAAGGGACAAAGAGUCUUGCUUUAUGACUCUAAACUUCAUCUUUUUCCGGGAAAAUUGAAAUCAAGGUGGACGGGUCCUUUCAUAAUUCAUGACGUGAAAUCAAAUGGAGUAGUGGAACUACUCAACACCAAUAGCAUUCGAACUUUCAAAGUGAAUGGGCAUUGUCUCAAGCCUUAUAUGGAAUCAUUUUCCCGAGACAAGGAGGAAUUCAUCCUCCUUGAUCCACCUCUCACAUGAAAACACUCAGUUCAUGGUUGAACUUAGUCUCUUCAAAGACUAAAAAGUUCAUCCUCUUUUUGUUCCCUUUUGCGUUAAUUUUAGUUUAAUCUAGUGUUUUUUCUUGUGUAUAUGCAUGUUUUGAUUUUUAUUUUUGCCUCUAAUUUCAUUCUAACGUGGUUUGAUUUGGUUUUUGUGUUAACAUGCAGGUAGGAAAGCUUGAAGAAUGAAAACAAAGGAAAACAAGGGAAAACAGGGGAGAAAAGCCAAGACACAACAAAAUUCGCACCACCCAAUUCUCUGGUGCGAAUUUCACACCACCCUACCCCUUUGUGCGAAAUCACUUUUGUGAGCAUUUUCCAAAAGCAUGCUCUCGGUCCCUACCCAAAAUCUCAGUGCGAAAAUGCACAGGAAUGCGAACCUUGUGCGAAAUUGCCUUUAUGACCAUUUUCCAAAAAAAAGCAUGCUCUCUAUCUUGGAGAACCACAGGAAUGCGAAAAUUUCGCACUUCACUAUUCACCUUGUGCGAAAUUCGCACUUGUUCUUUAAAAGCCAAUUUCUCUUUUUAAAUUCUAAGCUUGUUCUUCUUCAAUCCUCUCAACACCUCUUUUCCGAUCACUUCUUUCCAUCCACAAGGUCCUCUCCUUCAUAUCCUUGCGCUUUUCUUUUCUUUUUCUUUCUUUUUUCUUUCUUUUUUUUUUUUUUUUUUUUUUGAUUUUUUUUUUAUUACGAUUUUUUUUUUUUUUUUUUUUUUUUUGCGCAUGCUCUGAUCAUCAAUAAAUCAAACUCCAAUGGAAAAAUAUAAGGAAUGAACAAACUCUCUCUGACCACUGAUGGAUACAUGAACCCCAACCCCUGAGAUAACCUCUCAAACUAAAAUCUCCGAAUCAAUGUCAAAUGAUGGAAUGAAUAGAGUGAUAUGACAGCCCUCCUUGCACUAAGACGUGAAGAAUCAUCAACCCAAGGAAGAGAAUAGAUAAGAUGAAGCAAAUAAUGAUAGGGACAAGAAAGAGAAUGAAUAUGUAGUGAUAAUAAAAUAGAACAAAUAGGGUGAUAAGAGGAUGGUAACAAAAUGAGAAGAUAGACCUAUAAGUCUAAAGCUCAUGAGACUUUCCUAGCAAAGCAUACAUAUACAUCAAAGGGCCCCAACCCGGGUAUAGAAAUGGUAAUCAAAGCUAUAAGAAAGAAAUAAGGCUAUAACAUACCAUGCGAAGCUCAAUGGGCUAGCAAUGGUCUAAUAUAUAGAGGUGAUAAAGUAUGAGGCUAACCGAAAUGGUGGCCACCCAUCCUGCGACCACGGUCUCAAACAUAAUACUUCUUCAGCUGAUCCACAUUGGUAGGCUCUGAAAAUUGGUUUCCAUCUAAGUCUGUCAACCAUGCAGCCCCUUCUGGAGUCAACUCUCGGAUGACAAGUGGUGUACUCCAAGUAAGUCCCUAGGGUCUCCUGGAAUAGAUGAAUCUCCAUAAUCAUAACUGGGCUAACAUCGUCCUCAAACACAUCAUCAACAUAAGUGGAAUUCCCCAACAUAAAUAAAUCGAAUCUCUCCUGAACUUUCAACAAUGAAUAUCUCAAGCAUAUCAAGAGAGUGAACCAUCUCUGGCUAAUCUGUGCUAGUCAUCCAACUAUCAUCCAACACAUAUAUCUCAGGCUCAUCAUGAAGAAAACCAUGUCAAUCAAAGCUCCCAUCUGAGAAAAACUAACGUCCUCUAUAAGAACUCUCAUCUGAUAAACUUUGACUCAUAAUCCGCUAAACUCAUCAUAUGUACGAAAGUCACCCUCAACAAUGUCACUGGCUAACUGGGUGGUGGGGGUGGGUGGUAAUGAAUCAUACGACAUCUCACCCUGAACUGGAUACUAUCUAUCUCACUGUCCAUCAAUCAUCUGGCUCAAACCUGCUAAUGCAUCUUGAAUAGAGUCAUAGUGACUGUAAGUCGAUCAACUGUAUCAUGCUAAGGAUCCAUACCUGACUGCUUUGAAACCUUGACCAAUCUAUCUCCAACUCGGAUAUAAGAAGUUAAAUCUAAACUGAAACGAAUAACCCUCCUAUAAGGUACAAAGACGCGGAAAGAGAAAUGACAUGAAGGAAGCUUAGAAGAGGUGGAAACACACUAAUCACAAUGCAGAAAGGUGGCCCAACUGAGACUCAAACAUGUACCAAUCUCUGAGCACACCAAAAGGAGAUCAUGAAGAGGAUAACUGAACCCAAUUGUGACCAAGGCAACUUUGAAAGUCCACAAAUGCACCCACGUGUAGGAGUGAAAUCUUAAUUGGAUCUAGGCUAACCUACAAGGUUAAGGUGGCUCUAUAAGAUAAGAUGGGUGGGUUAAAGGAUCCCUAGCAGAAGCGAUCGUACCCUCCGGCGGUACGCAACCCUCUGCACGCCUCCAAGGAGACGGGGUGCUUCCAUGCAAGGUGGUCAUCACCUCCACACAUGCACUUCCUCGCGUUCCCAGGGGGUUUCUUAAUGGUGAAGGCUCUCCCAUCUCUCAACACUCAAGGAUAAUCUAAAGUGCACAAUGAAGGAUGUGGGUGCAUCCGAAAAACCUAAGGUCUAAAGUGAGAUAGUGAAUGAAGACAAGCAAUCAUACGAACAUGCAAGAGCAAGGGUUGUCAUGCAACAAGCAGUCAUGUGAAGCAGAUAAAUAUCAAACAAUCAAAGUCCUAUCUAGCAUAUGUGAGAGUGAAUCAUGCUAAAGUGAGCAAACAGCCACCAUGGCAGCCCAUCUCAAAAGCUUCAUUCCAUAGUCGCGACCAUCACUAUUCACAACAGCCCAUGCCUUCCAUUUUCAGCUUUUUCUCCUCCUUUCACCAUCAAAAACCCUUCAUUUCUUCACUCAACACUCCAAAUCCAUCCCUAAACCCAACCCAACCUUGAUUUUUCACAAUCAAAACCUCAAGCAUAGGUUUCAAAGCCUCGGUUUCUUCAUAAGAAACCCAUUGCCACCGGCUAUGGGAGCUUCAAAAUUCUCCAUUCUCUUCUUGUAAAGCUCCCAUUUCCAAGCUUAGCCACCAUGAAAAACUCCUUUCCUACCUCAGCCAGCAUUUCCCACCCUCAAAAACCAAAACUUUUGGCCAUUUGAAAGAAUCCAAUUUCGCAUUUGCACGGGUGAAUAGUGCAUUGUGCGAAAUUCGCACUACCUAUCCCCUUGUGCGAAAUUCGCACAACACCUUCCUCUUGUGCGAAUUUUGCACCACCCUUCCCUUAUGCGAAUUUUUCAAGCUUCUUCAUCCCUACCUUUCCCAAUCCCAAGCCUCUAAGCCUCAUUUCUUUGUUCCCUCAUGGCUAAGACCCGAGGAGGCUCUACCUCAACUCCCUAGAGUAGUCAUAGAGCUACCCCUGUGCGGGCCCCGCUAGAUGCACCCCCACAUUUACCUAAUUCUACCCCCCAGCGUAGAUACCAUACGAGGAAAGCAGCUGCCACGCCUGUGGCCCCUACUCAGAUUCCAGCUAGGAGUCCUCCUACAAAGAAGGCCAAGACUUCAGAGCUAGGAGAGUCCUCCAGAGCACCUCGAGAUUCACAGUCUCAGCCUCCUCCCAUCAGGCGUCCUAUCCUCGCCAGCUCGCCCAUUGAGGGCAACUCCAAUUGCCGAUCGAGAGCAUUCCAUGUCGAGGCAUAUUUUGAUCACUCUGUUUUGCGACAGCAGCCUGAGUUGGGGGAUUCAUACCACCUACUUGAGAGGUACCAUCUUGUACCCUUUAUGACUCCACUACAAUUCUUUUAUCCUCGAGUAGCUUUAGACUUUUACCAGUCUAUGACUACUCGUGGCGUCCCGGUACCCGCCUCGAUCAUUUUUACCAUUGAUGGACGCCAGGGUAUUUUGGGGGCUAGACAGAUUGUCAAGGCUUUCCAUAUCCCUUAUGCACCAGCAUAUCCAACUGCAUUUAGACCCUGGCCCCACUUUCUGAGUGGGACAUGGUUCGUAUACUAUCUCGAGGGACAUCUUCAGACAGGAUCAUUAUGAGGAAGGAGUUUCCCCCUGGGAUGCUUCUAGUUAAUGUGGUGCUUCGCGCCAAUCUUUUUCCUCUUCAGCAUAAAGUGCAGAGGCGAGGGGCCAUUCUAGAGGCAUUAUUCCGUAUCUCUGAGGGCUACUACUUUGGCCUCCAUCAUUUGAUUAUGGCCGCCCUCCUCCAUUUUGAGGAGAAGGUGCAUAAGAGGCGUCUUACGAGGGCAGACACCAUUCUUUUACUUUUCCCUCGGCUUCUAUGCCAUGUUCUGGCACAUAUGGGCUUCCCUACAGACCCUCAUUCUGAGACCCACCGCCAUUGUCGAGAGAGCUUAUCUCUUGACCAAUGGAAUCAGGUAUUUCUCCAUCAGCAUUCCCCAGAACUUCCCGAGCCAAGGGAAAUUCCUCCACAGCCCUUACCAUCUAUAUAUGCUCCGUCCACUUUAGCUCCCUCGGAGCCCGUACCAGAGGCAGCAUCGUCUGAUGCCCCACCUACUGUUCCUCCUACCUUAGAGCCGCCCAUUACUAUCCCUGGUGCAGAGUAUCGUGACUUGCUCGCUUCUUUCCAGACUCUGACCACUACUCAGACGGCCAUUAUGGAGCGGAUGGACCACUUCCAGCUUCAGCAGGACCAACAGACUCUCAUUCUCCGUGAGAUUCAGCAGCACCUCAGUCUUUUGCCACCAACUCCACCUGUUGCUCCUGUGCUCUCAGAGCCUUCUGCUCCAGUUGAUGAUGCUACACCUGUAGCGGUACCUUCCACAGUUGCAGCUGAGGACCCCUCCUAUCCACCAGAGGAGCCUACUACUUGAUCAUACGAUCACUCCUCUCCCUUUUUUAUUUGUAUCUAUAUUCUACGUUUUUGGAUGUGUUAUAUAUUUUGGACUACUUUUAUACUAGGAUUGAAUGUAUUCCUUGUUUAUCUUGUAUAUUGUACUAUCUCAGUUUAUAUAGACAUCUUCCUUUUUAUGUAUUUUAGCUAUUCCUUUUUAUUUCCUCUAAUCAUCACUCUUAUGAUUUUUCUUUUCUUAUGCAACAUGUGGUUUCUCCUGUUCAUUCAAAUUCCCUUACUAUCAGGAGGUAUCACUUCCUCCCUUUUAUUAUCACUUGCUUUCGGAACAUUGGGGACAAUGUUCAUCCUAGUUGGGGGGAGAGUUGAGGAAGUAAUUUUUUGGAUUUUUGGUUAAGUUAUUUUGCUAACAAAUUUUUACAAACUCUCUUUGUUUCUCAAAGAUAAAUUCUCAAAAGUAAAUGGGAGAAAUUAAAUUCUUAUCUUAUUGUCAUAGUCUCAGAGUUUGUAUUAUGCUUAUUAAAGUUGAUAAAUUGUUGAAGCUCCUUUUGAUUUCAAUCUUAAGUCUUCCACUCUAAUCUUUUCACACACUAAACACAUUAGAUUCCAGUUAUAAGCCCCUAAACUUAGGAAAUUUUUUACUUGGUGCCUUUGACCUCAUUCUAUUAGUGUUGUGACACCUUAUAAAAGGCCAAUGUGUCUUAUGAAAAAUUUUGCUUCACUUGCUUUGAAACCCGAGCAAGGUCCGAGGGGUAUAUGGUGAAAAUCUUUGAAGCCUGGUGCCCUAAGCCUUUAUUGGUUGGGAGUCACCGACCUCACUGCUCGUUACAUGGGUGGAUGGGUGGAGUUUAUUAAAAAAAAAAAAGGAGGUGCGUUCUUAGCCUUUUAUAUGGGGGUUAGUGUUGCUAAAGUUAGAGAAAAACCUUAGUUGGGGGGAGAAUAUAGUUUGACAUACUAUAACUGGAAACUAAGCACCUUCACACUUAGAUUUUUGUGGAAAAUUAAGAGUUGGUCCUUUGGGAGUAGAAAUUAUUUUGAUACUCAAAUUUGCAUAAUGCCCACUCUUUGUAUGUUGUGAUAGGUAAGUUAUUUGAUGACUCUUGUUGAUGAUUGAGUUUUAUAUCCUUGACUUACCAUGUGAGAGUUUGAUCCAAUCAUGCGACUUGAUUAUUUUUAGGAGUGAUCAGCAUGAUUUUGUAAAUUAUUAUAUCAUCUAUUUUUCUUUCUUUCUUUUUCUCUCCUUCAUUGCUCAGGGACUAGCAAUGUGUCAGUUGGGGGGAGUGAUUACUACCCAAAAAGUGCUAUUUUGCGCUUUUAAUUCAUUAUGUUUUAAGCACUUUUGUUUAGUAGUUCUCCAUUUUCAUUCCAAUUGGCAUGUUAAGGACCUACCAAUGACUUCUAAUCAUAUUUGUGGCUAGUUUUAGUGUUUUGACAGCUUUUUGGAUCAUUAAGACAAUCCAAGUAAAGGAGAGAAGCAAAGAGGAAAACAAAGUGAAGAAAAUAGAGAACAGCAGCUGCAGUCUUCCUUCGCAUUUUUGGAGCACUUCCCGAAGUCCAUUUUCUACAUGCUAUAUACCAUUUCAAAGCUCAGGAAGUCAAGAAUCCAACGCUUCAAACCGUGUAUGAUUUGAAGCUGAAAUGAGGAAGAUAUGGCCUUCGGUAGACAACUGCAUCAAGCAAGUGCGAAUUUCGUACAGCAGCCCAAGCAAGUGCAAAUUUCGCACCACCAGCCAUGCAAGUGCGAAUUUCGCACCAGCCCAUGCGUCUUUGGUGCGAAAUCUCCUCUGUUCUGCCAACUCCACAUGAAAUCUUUUCUUUUGAGGACAAUGCUCAGUUAGGUUGGGGGGUAUGAGGAAGGAAGUAUUCUAAAUCUUUUUGGUAUUGCAAUUAUAUUGGUUAAUUAGUUGUAGUUUUUACUUUUUACUCUUGUUACUCUAUUCUCCAUGAAUUUUGAGGAAAAUUUUCAAAUUAAACCAAGAGAAAUUGAACUGUUGCUUUUUCACUUGACUUAGAGUAUGGAUUAUGCUUACUAAAGUGGUUCAAUUGUUGAAACUUCUACUGAAAUUAAAUUGAGUUCUUCCACUUUAAGCUAUUCACACACUGUGCACAUUAGUUUCCGAUUAUAAGAUGAAAAGCUAUUUCCCUCUUGACUUAGGAUAAUUUUGGGACUUGGUAUAUUUGACCUCAUUUGAUAAAAAUUGAAACACCCUGCAAAAGGCCAAUGAGCCUUUGAAAUAAAGAAAGUUGUUUGCUUGCCUUGAAACCCGAGCAAGGUCUGAGGGGUAUAUGGUGAAAACCUUUAAAGCCUGGUGCCCUAAGCCUUAAUUGGUUGGGAGUCACCGACCUCAAUGCUCGUUAUAAGGGUGAAUAGGUAGAGUUAGCAUAUGGUAGAUGCUUGGGUAUUAGAAUCUCAUUCUUAAAAGUCCGGGGAAAAAUCCGAGGAGUUAGUGGUUGAAAGAUCCUUAAAACUUGGUGCCCUAAACCUUAAUUGGUUGGGAGUCAUCGAUGGACCCCCAUUACAUGGACAAGUCAGAAAGAGUACCCCAUAAAGCUACCUUGAAAAAAAAAAAAAAAAAAAAGGUGUUUUCUUUUCUUAUUGAUUUUGGUCAGUUUGCUAAAGUGUUGAAAAGAGAUAGGUUGGGGGGAGAGACUAGUUUAGCAUAUUAUUCUCGGAAGCUAAGGAACCAAUACACAUAGAUUUUUGUGGAAGAUUAAAGUUUGGUUCUUAGAAAGGAGAAAUGAUUUUAAAACUUCAGUUUGCAUAAUGCACUCCCUUGAUUGACAGUGUUUAACAUAGGUGUUAUGACUCUUGUUGAGAUUUGGGUUUGUAUUUCUUUAAUGAUUCAUGUGAGAAUUAGAUCAUCAUGCCACUUGAGAAUUAUUUUCCUUUAGCAUGAUGUUUUAAAUUUUAGAUUAGUUUGUUAUUUAUUUUCUUUUUUCUCUCCUUUAUUGCUAAGGGACUAGCAAUAUGUCGGUUGGGGGGAGUGAUUAUUACUCAAAAAGUGCUAUUUGAUAGCCUAUAAUUAAUCCUUUUAAACACUUUUGAGUAGUAGUUUGGGCCUUUUAACUCAAUUGGCAUGUUAAGGAUCCUUUAAAGCAAUUUUGAUCACUUUGUGUAAGUUUUGGUGUUUUUGUUAGUAUUUUGAUCACCAAAGCAAGUCAAGAAUGAGGAGAGCUAUGAGGAAUCUUGGGCAAAGCUUAGAAUUCAUUUGCCAAGAGUGAAUCCGGAUUGCAAGGAGAAAAAGCAAAGAGAAUCUGCCAUAAAGCCUAUUCUUGAUGACAGUCGUAGCAGCCACUUUUGGAGCACUUUUUGAAGUCCAAAUGAUGCAUUCUAUAUACCAUUUCAAAGCUCAGGAAGUCAACAAUCCAAUGCUUCAAAUGGUGUGCAAUUCGAGUUGAAACGAAAAAGUUGUAUCCAUUACAAGCCAGUCACUCCGAGCUGAAGGAAGCAUUUUGCAAAGUGUUGCGAAAUCACCCUUUUGUUGCGAAGUGAUUUCGCGGCACUUUUGUACAGUAAAGUGUUUCUCCUUCUGACGAUACACGAACCAUGCCGCGAGAAGGGAGCUGGGAACCUCAAGGUGGAAGCCAACUUCGCAACCCUGUGAAGAUAGCUCGGUGUUGCGAAAUAAUUUCGCAGCCCUCUUGGGUGUCUGCGAAAUUUCGCAGACACCAUUUUACUCCUGCGAAAUGGUUCCUGAAGCCUUCCGAAGCUUGCUACCGACAUUGGGAGAUAUUUUCCAUUAGAUUUUUGUUGUCUAAAUCCCAAAAUACUCCUUGUAAACCACCAAUUACAUGAUUCCUUAGUUUUUAAGUUAGUAAAAAGACUAAAUAUCUUUGUAACAAUUAGUUUUAUAUUGGUUUGAUAUAUAUACCUCUCGGGAGCCUGUUCUCAGAGAGGAGUUCCUUCUGUAAAAGUUUGGUAAGCAAGUAAAGGUCUUUUCUUUCUACUGCCUUACCUUCUCACUUUGUAUUUUCAUUUUAUUUCUAAGUUAUGAAUUCUCUGAGGAAUUUUCCCUAGAGAAUGAGUAACUAAACUUCUAAUUCCUUGGAGCUAAUGUUGCCAGGGAAGGUUCCAAGUGCAAGAAUGCAAAGCUCUGUGGUUUUAGCUAGUAAUGAAGAGGAAGUGAAAUCCUUUGGUGAUUUCUAUGUUUUUAGUUAACUUAAAACACCUUAGAGUCACCUGGGCCAACACUUGGUAAGGCAAGUGAUUUCCAACCAUGGAAAUGCACUAGUUUACCCCUUGCGAGCCUUUGGGAUGUGACUUUAGGGUAGGAUUUUCUAGAAUAGCCAACACUUGAUAAGCUUUUGGACUCCUAGGAGACAUCCAUUAGUUAUCUCUUGCGAGCUUUUGACGGGUAAUCCAAGGUUAAAGAUCACCUUGAAUGGCUAAGGCUUAGUGAGAGGCUUAAACCAUUGCAAGUUGCAUCAGUGAGAGAAUUAAAGUGAAAUCUAAUUGAAGGAGCAUCUGUACAACACCGGUUAGAGAAUUAACUAUAUGUUAAUUCUCUAAUGCGAGGAAAAGAAGCAAGUGACCGAAACUCUCCUUUUUGUGUGAGGAAUCUGAGCCUAGUAAUCUGAAACUCCAAGAAACACUUUUCUUCAUAAGUAAUUCCCAUUACUUUCUUUUUAGUUAGUUUAAAACCGAAUCUUUUUUUUCAUUCAAACAUCUUUAUGUUUUCUUUUAAAGCUAACCUUGAAAUGAAAAGGCACCAAUUCAACUUUGAAUUAAUAUCAUUUGUGAAGUGAAAACCCAUCCCAGUGAACGAUCCUAGAGCCACUAUGCUAUAGUAGCUUUGUCUUUGCUACCCUAGUAUAUGGUGUAAUAGGUUAUAAAAUUUUGUUGAUUACUCCCUCAAUCAAGGAGCACCAGUUCGACACGAAUCAGCUGAGACACCAAUUAGGCACGAAUCAAAUGGCGCCGUUGCCGGGGAUCGAACCCCGAAUCAGAUGGUGCCAUUGCCACUGCCACUGCUAGGGACGAAUCAUGAGACAUUGUGGAAAUGUCACCAUGACAACCUGUUUACUAUGUGAUGAGAAGUUUAGAACUUUCCUUAGCAUUUUCCAUACCCUAAAAGUUUAAUUUGGUUAUUGGUGUUUGAAAUUUCAAUCUUCUUAAAUUAAUUAAUAUCAAGUCAAUUUUGAAAAAUGUCUCAAAAAUAAGGGAUACCAUGCUAAAAUUUCUAUAGAAAUAUUAACCUAAUAACAUGUUAUUACAAUUUCCCUUGAUUAAAAUUAAGCUUAGAAAUUUCCUUGGUAGCUUCCAUGCACUAAAAUUUAAUUUUCAUAUUAACAUGUUGAAAUUCUAAUGUUCUUAAAUUAAUUAAUUACAAGUCAAAACUAGGAAAUGUCUUAAAAUAAGGGAGAUUAUGUCAAAAGUCUUAUAGAAUUUUUAACUUAGCCAUUUGUUAUUAUAACUUUCUUUACUUAAAAUUAAGUUAAUUUGAGAUUAUUGAUACUUGUAAAGUAUUAUUAUGUAUAUAUAUGCUCGAUUUUUGUUUCAACUUUUAUGUUUAUUGUGUGAUGUCAAGUUUGGACUCUUCCUAGGUAUUAUCCUUGAAAUAAAUUUUAGUUUGGUUAUUGAUAAUUUUAAAUUUCUUUGUUAUUAAAUUGAUUAUAUAGUAUAUAAAAUUUUAGAAAAGGUUAAGAAAUAAAUAAGGUUUUCUACAUUCUUAAAUCAAAAACAUUGUAGGUAAAAUUUGGGAAAUGACUAAAAAAAUAUAAGGGUUUAUACAAAAACUUAAAUAAUAUAACUUUUUUUUAUAACUUUCCUUGCAUAAGAUUAAAUUGGGAUUCUUUGCUUUUGAAGCGUUAUCUUUUAGUAUGUAUACUAGAUUCUCAUUUAAAUUUUAAUAUUAUCCUUCGGUACUUAAACUAACAUUUAGUGUUGGUAUUGACCAAUCUGAAAUUUUAAUUUUAUCACAUUGAGUGUAUAACUAAUAAAAUUUUGGAAAUGACUAAGAAAUAAAAGGGACUAUGCUGAAAUUUUAUAGGAAUUUUCAUUUUCUAAUUUGCUAUAGUUAUGACUACUUUUCUUGCUUAAAAUUAAUUUUGGGUUUAUGACUCCUUCCAAAGUGUUACAAUGUUAGCAUAUAAAUAUUGUAUUCUUGUUUGAAACUUUAUUCUAUUUAUGGUGUAAUGAAAAUUUUAGGCCCUUAGAAAUUUCCUUGCACACUAAACUUUAAUUAGUCAUUGACUAAUUUGAGAUUUCAAUGGCAAAUUGAUUAUGUAGUUGAUAAAAACUAAAAAAAAAAUGUCUAAAAAAUAUGAGAGAUCAUACCAAAAUUUUGAUAGAAAUUUUAAUUUAUUAAACUAUCUUAUUUGGUUCUUUUUUAUUUUUGUUUUGUUUCAUUUUUCAUUUUUUAUCUUUAUUUUUUGCAUUUAUAGGAGAAAAUGUUGGAGCUCCAACGCCAACCAAUAGUAGAUGGAGCUAUGGCCAUGACUAAGGUAGAAAUUUGUGAGAAUGUUUUAGGGCAAUGAUCAAGAUAUGUUAACAGCCUUGGUUUUGGCCCUAAACCAACUUCUGCUUUCAAAUCUAGACAAUUAUCUUCUCAAUGCGAGGUAGAGUUAGAGUAUAGACUUUCUAAGACUCAAGCGCUUGUGGAAGCUCAACAACAACAGCUUGAUACCCAACAAGAGCAAAUUGACCACUUGAAGGCCUUAUUGCAGCAACGAGAUCAAUAACAUCAACAACAAUUUGAAGAAAUCUUGUGUCAUCUAAGAUCAAGCCAAGGGUCCUUAUGAUGUCUCCUUUAUGUUACACAUUUGAUGGAUCCUCAUCCUUCUUUACUCAUGUUGACUAGUUUUGUAACUAAGAUUUUAUUAAACUAAUACUUUGUUUUAUUAUGUAGUUAUAACAUAUAUAUUUUGAUGUUAUGAUCACUAAGUAUGGUUUGUUUUAUAUUAUCAAUGAAAUUAUGUAGUAUAUAUUUUUAUUUUUGAAAGCAUGUUUUAAAAUGAAAAUUUUCAUUAUAUUAUUUUCAUCAAGUUUAGAUGGCAACAAAAAAAUAUAUAAUUAUAAUAUGAAAAAUAAAAAUUGUAAAUAUCUUUCCUGAUGAAAGAAUUUAAUCCCUAAAGAUAUUUCUCGAUGAAAUUUUUUUGUUACAAUAGAUUUUCAUAUCAGCUAUAACAAAUUUAUAAUUCAUCAACAAUAUGUUUUAGGGACAAAAUUAUUUUGUUAGUAAAAAGAUUUGUUAACAAAAUAAAUUUGUUAGCAAAGACUUUUGGGUAAAAUUUUGUCUUGUUCAUUGCUAAAAAAAACGUAAUUUUGUCUUGUUCAUUGAUAAAGAAACGUAAUUUUUCCAACAAAAUAUUUCAUUAGGAAAAAUCUUCAAUAACAAAUUUUUAUUUUAUCUAGGAAAAAUUUUUGUUACGAAAUGAGACUUUUGUUGGGAGUAAUAAUGAGCAUAGGGAGACGAAAUUAUUUUGUUAGAAAAAAUAUUUAUCAACAAAAAUAAUUUCGUCAUUAUUAAUUAUUGACAACUUUUGAGACAAAUUUUGUAUUUUUAGAGAUAAAAAAUAUUACUUUUACUGAUGAAAUAUUUUGUUGGGAAAAACCUUCAAUGACGAAAUUUUAUUUUAUCAAGAAAAACUUUGGGCGAUGAAGUGGGGAAUUUCGUUAGGAUACUUUGAGCGAUGGGUCUAGGGUGACGAAGAUGACACAAAAUAGUUUUUGUUGGGAAACGUUUUUAUAAACAAAAUUAAAACUUUUAGUGACAAAAUAUUUUAUAACUAAAAGCCUAUUUUCUUGUAGUGAGAGUUACCUUUUUCCUCUAAUUCUUAGUUUUAGCAUUGUCAUAUCAAUGUGUCUACUAUUUUCCCUUCUUCUCUUUACUUGUACUUUCCCCACCCACUUCCCAUACUACUCUUGAGUCUCUUUCUCCAGGCUCUUCCUUGAUUGAUCGUGGUGCAAGCCAGGUUUCCCCAAUUUCCACUACAUAUUCACCUUGUCUUCCUACUUCCUAUGUAUCUUCUAGCCUAGCUUUCCCCUCUCACACCCCAUUUUUUCUUACAAAUUCUCUCUCGCUUCCUCCAUCCCUUGUGUCAUCAAGUUUUCAUCUAAUUCCCAUCCUAUGCAAACUCGUUCCAAGUCAAGCAUAUUUAAACCCAAACUUUCCUAUCUCACUACCCCUUCAUGUUUUUUCCUUUUCACCUAAACCUUCUUAUUUUUCCAAGGUCUUAUCUAAUCCUCUAUGGAAGCAAGCUAUCUAGUUAGAAUUUGAUGCCUUAACUUAGAACCAAACUUGGUCUCUUGUUCCUUAACCUCCUCAAAAGAAAGUCAUUGGGAGUAAGUGGGUUUUUAAGUUGAAGCUUAAUCCAGAUGGUUCUAUCAAGUGCCACAAGGCAAGGCUUAUGGCAAAGGGGUUUCAUCAAACACCUAGGGUUGACUUCUCUACCACUUUUGGCUCUAUCAUCAAGCCUUCUACCAUUCGCAUUAUCUUAAGCCUUGUUAUUACUUGUGGUUGGGACAUUUAACAAUUGGAUGUCAACAAUGUUUUCCUUCAUGAGUGUCUCUAUAAGUAUGUUUUUAUGCAAUCUGAAGGGUUUGUUGAUGUCACCAAGCCCACCCAUGUUUGUCAACUUCAGAAAGCCUUAUAUGGCCUUAAACAGGCCCUAAUGCUUGGUAUGAAUGAUUGUGGAAUUGUCUUCUUCUAUUUGGUUUUCGAAACUCCCAAGCUAGCACAUCUUUGUUCAUUCUUCACAAGGACUCUUUUUUGUUUAUGUUAAUAACAUUCUUGUCAUUAGCAAUCAUCCCUCUGUCAUCAACACCUUCAUUGAUCAUCUAUGUCAACAGUUCUCUUUGAAAUGGUUUGGCUCCCUCCAUUAUUUUCUUAGUAUCCAAGCUCUUUAAACAUCUUCUGACCUUCAGUUAUGUCAAUCCUGAUACAUCCAUGAUCUGUAGCAAUGCACUAAAAUGUUUGGUGCCAAGCUUACUUCCACUCCAGCCAGCCCCAAAUAGAAAUUGAGUUAUACUAAUAGGGCUACUUUUGAUAAUCCUACUAUUUAUCAUAGUACAAUCGGUGCUCUCCAAUAUGUCACCAUCACCAAGCCUAAACUUUCCUAUAUUGUCAAUAAACUUAAUCAAUAUCUCCAACAACUUACUUUGUUCCACUGGCAAGCUUUCAAACGUGUAUUGCAUUAUCUGAAAGGCACUUCCACUUUUGGUUUCUUCUUUCACCCAACUCCUUCUCUUGAUCUCAUUACCUAUUAAAUGCUGAUUAGGGGAGUGAUACUAAUGAUCAACGUUUCAUUGGUGGCUACUCCAUAUUUUUUUUGUGCUAAUUUGAUUUCAUGGGCUUCCAAAAACCAAAGUGUUGUAGCUUGUUCAAGCAUUGCUUCUGAAUAUAGAGCUUUAGCUCAAAUAAUAGUAAAAGUCACUUAGUUGCGAGCCUUGUUACAUGAGUUGGGCAUAUCACUGCCACAAAGUGUAGUUGUCUGGUGUGACAAUCUUGGAGCAACAACUCUAGUUGAGAAUCUCAUGCAUCAUUAUCGGACAAAACAUAUAGAGAUUAAUGUCCACUUCAAUAGGAAAAUGUGGCUCAUAAAGAACUUGAGGUGAUAUUUGUACUCAUUAUUAAUUAGAUUGUUGAUGUGCUCACAAAACCAAUUUCACAAACUUGAUUUAAAAUACUAAGGUCAAAGCAUAUUGUGUGUGAUUGACAGUUGAGCUUAUGGGGAAAUGUUAAGAAUAAUUCUAGAAGCUUCUCUUAGCCUCACAUGUAAAGCACCAGCUCACCAGUUCCAUGCCAAAUGCAAUUACAACAGAAAAAAUUGGGUUGCACACUCUCAUAUACAAAUAUAUGUAAAAGAAAUAAAAGGUUUAUUCUGGGCAUUAUUUUUUUCAUUUUGUCCUUCUCUACACACUACUUUCUGUUUUCUCUCUCAAAAACUCUUCUUUUUUUUAUCUUUUUUUUUUUUUAAUUCAAUCAAACAUUCAUCUUGUAAUUGGAAGUUACCAAUUGCCAAAUUCCUAUUCAAAGUAGUGGAACAAAAUUGUAUGAUCUUUAAAUCUCAAAUUUAAAGCUAACACACCAACUGAAGUGUUAUUAUCCAAACAACUUCAAACUUAAACAAUUCAAAAAGUCAUUAAAUUCUAACAUUUAAACAAUGCCCAAAAAAUAAGGUUUAAACCAAAAGUCUUAAUAAUGUCAAAAUAUCAUCCUAACCAUCAUUCUUCGCCUUAAUUGAAAGUGUCGAAAAAAUUGUUAGCGAAAGAGAAUGAGCUCAAAGCCUAAUAAGGAAUGUUAAUACAGUUUCAUGGAUAAAAUAUUUUCAAUUAUGAUUGUUAAUAGGAGAUAUAAUAUAUAAUCAUUUUUGUAAAAAAAAUUUAGUUCAAACAUGCUAAUACAUUCAAAACUUCUCAACCAAACAUUUUCAUAUUUAUGUCAAAACAAUUUCAUAUCAAUUCCAAAAUAAAUGCAUUCAAAAUAUUUUUACUUUGGUUAUAAUCAGAUAUCAAAUGAUGCACAGUUAGGUAGGACUUUACAAAUUGGUGACUAGCCUCACAUUUGUUCCUUUUAAUGGGUGGCUAGUAACCUCUAACCAAACCCAUAGAGGCUAAGGUCCAAAUCAAUUAUAUUAUCCACCACAAAAUGUAAAGGUUAACUAUAAUAUCUCGUUGACAAUGGUCAAAAAGUCAACUUUUCUAUCUUAUUAACUAGGACAAAAAGGUCAACUAUUACACCCAUUUGACUAUGGUGAAAUAAACUAGAGCCAAAUACUUUAUUUUAUUUAUUCAAACUUACAAAAACAUAUGUUUUUUUUUUCAAAAUUUGCAUUAAUUUCCCUUAUCUCAAAGAAGCACUCAAAGACCUUAAAGAAUUUCAUCCUAAAGAACCUAUUUCACACCUAACAAAAAUAAAUAAAUAAAUAAAUAACUAUAUAUUACUAUUGAUUAUUUAUCUAAAUUUAUAGGUUUGAGAAUCCUAAUAAUUUCUUAUGUUAUAUCACCUAUAUUAUUUUUAACUUCCUAAUCAAUAAAAAUUUAAUAAGUGAGUUUCCAAAGUUUUUUAAAAGUUGUGUUCUUUCCAAAAGUUUGUUUCUAAAAAUCUUCCAUGUUUACUUAUUUGCUUAAACUAAAUUUCCCCAAAACUUAUUCCUUCUAGUGAAACAAAUAUCUUUUCCUAUUAUUAUUGCUAUCGUAUUUUAUUGUCUUUCUAAACAUUUUAGAAUCACAAACAUCUUAAGCAUUUUGGAUGUAAAACACAACUAAUUCUAAAUUUCUUUCCAUUAUAUAUAUAUAUAUAUAUAUAUAUAUAUAUAUAUAUAUAUAUACAAAACAUGGAAUUUGCCUUCUUUUUUAUUUUUUGUCUUUGGCACAUAGUACCAUUCUAACUUACCCUUUCUACAAUCACAAGCAAUGUCAUUUUUUUCCCUCCACAAAGUCAAUAUCAAAGCAUUUUUCUUUUUCUUUUUUUCUUUUUUUUUUGUCACACUCUAUUGCAAGCAAACUUGUGAUUUUUUUUUCCCACUAUGGAGGCAUGUACUACCACAAAACCUUUUUUUUCUUUUUUCUUUUUUCUUUUUUCUUAUUUUCAACUCUCAAAACCCUCAACCUCCAUACUCAUGGGUAUUAUUUAUUUAUUUAUUUAUUAUUUUUCACAUCUGAAAUUAUAAUUUUUUCUAUUUAUUUAUUUAUUUAACUAGAACUAUUCAUUUGAAUAAUACAAAAUUUUCAAUCUCCAUUAAUAAAUCGAACUAUGUUAAUAAAUUCUCAAUCUUUCUAAAAAUUAAUUUAACAAACCCUAAUUUAGAUUGAGAUCUUCUAAAGAAUAUCUAAAAUAUCCAAAACUAAUUAACAAAUAUAAAAUACUAAUCUAAGGGUUAAAAUCUUACCUAGAAAAUUAAUCUUCAAAUCCUAAACCCCAAAAUCUUCAACCCUACAUUGCCCUACAUUCUCCAAUCUCUCUGAUCUCCAUGUAAAAGGGUUUUUUUUUAAUAAAGAGAACAAGAAAAACAUAAUUUAUAUCUAGGGCUUUUAAGCACAAAAUGACCUUUCUACCCUUAUUAAAUUAAUUUUAUUUAUUUAUUUAUUUUUAAAUUACGUUUUUUACCCUUAAAUUGGGUUUGGCGCCACACAAGACCACUUUUAAUUGAAUAAUUGAUUGAUCAAUUCAUUUUCCUAUGUACUUUAUGUUGAUGGCAUCAUUACCCCCGACCAUGAACUUCAAAAAAUUAAAAGAACAAAAUAUGUAGUUGUACUAUAGCCAUAUGCAUUUUAGUUACCACAAUAAUGUACAUUCAAUUUGUGUUUAUAUAAAUAGGGAGAAUUGUGCAUUCAGGUGAGAUGGACUUGAAAAUUGACCCAAUAUCCUCAUAUUGCUCAUAAUUAAUGAUAAGGAUAAGAAAUGGUGAUAGACAAAAAUACUCAUUUGACUUAUCACAUGCUCAUGCUAGUGUUUGUAGGAUCCAUCAUUUAUAAGGAUGGUAAUGAGGUGGGUUUUUUUGGAUACCCGCCCCACCCCGCCCCUAAUAGAAUGGGUUUCAAUUUUAAUUAAACGGGUUUGGGACAGGUUUGGGAAUUUUUUUAAAACUUGGGGCGGGUUUGGAUAUUGCCUUGUCACAUCCCGUCCCGUCCCACCCCACCUCACCUCAAUUAUAUAUAAAUUAAUUUUGGGUUAUUUGGUUAAAGAGGUCAAAAUAACCCUCAUAUUUGCAAAUAUAUCCCAUCGGUUAAAAAGCAAAACAAAAUUGUUGAUUGAGACAAAAAUGCCCUUCUUCUUUUUUCUCUCCAACACUUACAAUUUCUCAUCUUUUACUUCAUUUACAGAAUGACUUUUCAUAUUUUCCAAAAAAAUUCUCUCAUCAUCAUCUUCUACUUCAUUAUCUUCCUUUGGUGCACAAAACGGAAAGCUCAUUUCCUCUUCCGCUUCAUUUACAAAACGAGUCCUCAUCUUUCAUCAUCUUCUUCUAUUUCAUUAUCUUCAUUUGAUGCACAAAAUGAAAAUCUCAUCUUUCCUUCAAAAACCCUAGAAAAUUUCUCGUUUAUCCUCUCAUCCUCUAUUUCAUUCUAAAUCCUUGGAAAAAUUGUUAUUCUACUUUUUUCAAGUUAUCUCAUAUUGUAUCUUCAAGCACGAAGGAAACAACGAGUUCAUUGAAGAGUGAUAAGAGAAAAAGAUUAAAAAAAAGUGGCGAAAAAGCAAAAAUGUCAAUUGCAAACAGAAGAAAAAAGUGAAGCAAAGGAAAGCGAAGCUACUAAACAAAAAUCCCAAUUACCAACAGAAGAGGCAAGGGAUUCUACUAAACCGGUGAGUGUAGUCUUCACAUUUGAUAAAUUAUUGAAAUUUUUGGAGAUGUUAUACAAUUAUAUUUGAGUAUGGUUAAGUUUAUUAGUUAAAUGUUUUUAGAAAUUUAGGAUUUAUUGAAUUGUAUUCAAAGUAUAAAAUUGUUAUAUUUAUAAAAAAAAAAUGUAGUUAUCCAUUGUUACCAAUUAUGUAUUUGAGUGAAUAAAUUUAGGUUUGUUAGAUGAUGUUUGAAAAUAUUUGGGAACUAUUACAGUGUGUUGAAAAAUAAUAAAUUGCAUAUUAAUAUUGUUUUAGUUUUCUGUAUUAUUAUCAAUCAUGUGUUUAGAGUGAAUUAGAUAUAUUCAAUGUAAUACCAUCUAAUUAGGGAUAAGUUUGCAGAGAAUUCAUGAAAUUUUAGGGAUUUUUAGAAAUUUUAGGGGUAUUAUACAAUGGUAUUUGAGUAGGUCUAUGUUCUUUACUUGAUACUUUUGAAAUUUUGGGAACUAUUGAAUUGAUUUCAAAAUAACAUAUGGUAUAUUUAUAAUUUUUGUAGUUAUAUAUUGUUGUCAAUUAUGUAUGUAGAGUGAAUAAAAAAUAUAUAAUGAUUUCAUGCAAUAACAUGUGAUUAAGGAUAAGUUUUUAAAGAAUUUAUGAAAUUUUAGGAUUUUUGAACUUUUUAGGGAUGUUAUGUAAUGACAUUUGAGUAGUGUUAAAUUUGUUAGUUAAUAAUGUUUUUAAAAUUUUGGGAACUACUAGAGUGUGUUAAUCAGUUAUUGUAUAAUAGUUAUAAUUUUGUAUUAAAUCUUUACUAACUUAAUUUUAUUUAAUUUGUAGACUACUACUUCCCCGACAUGUUUUAAAGUUAAAAUACCUAUAAAAGAGCACUUCCCAUCAAAUGAUGCAUGUCUAUCACACCUGAGUGUAAUAGAAAAUAUUAAAAAGAAGCUCAAUAAGGAAGAAUUGGAGAGGUUCAAGUAUUCUUGCUUUGGACAUUUUUUGCUUAUGCCAAAACUUAAAUUUUCAGCUCAAAUUGUGCACCACAUGUUAUUACGUCAAUGUCUUAUAAAGAAGGAUGAUGAAAUGUGGUUUUUAGUAAAUUCAAAGGGAUUAAGAUUUGGUGAAAAUGAGUUUAGAUUAAUCAUUGGUUUAAGUUUUGGUCCCAUUCCUCAGCAUAAUGAAACAUCAAUGAGAAUAAGGGAUGUUUACUUUAAUAGUGAAAACAAAGUGUGUAAUGAUCAUUUGGAGAAAGUUUUUCUUUCUUUUGGUGAAGUGAAAACAAAAAAAUAAAACGCAAAAGAAAAAUGUUGAUAAUCUUAAAGAUGAAGACAUGGUGAAAUUAGCCUUAUUGUACUUUCUUGAUCAUGUUCUACUUGGGAAAGAAGGGAAAAAUUUAAUAGAUAUGCAAUGGGUUGGUCUUGUUGAUUGUUUGGAAGUUUUUAAUAAGUAUCCAUGGGGUGGGAUUUUUUAUGAAAGAACAAUUUAUGGGCUACAACGAGCCUUGGAGAACAGGGUGUCAAAAUACCAAGGUAAAAAGCAACAAAAGGGUAAUAUAGCACAUGAGGCAUAUAGUCUAGUUGGAUUUCCGUGUCUUCCAAGUUUGGGUGUAUGAGACUAUUUCGAUUAUCGGAAUGAAAUAUACUAAUCAUUUAGCUAAGAGUUGCCCACAGAUUUUAAAUUGGAGUGCUACUUCCACACCGAGGUUCACUGAGCUCCAACAAAUCUUUUUUGACUCCAAUGUGAGUAAUUUUUUUACCAUAUAUUUUGAUAGUGUUGUCACUUACAUAUUUGUAUAUGUCUAUGUUUGUUAAUUAAAUUACUUAACUUGACUUCAAUAGUUAUCUUUGUGUUCGCUGCUUAAACCUACUCUGGAGGAAUGUCAACAAGAUUAUUACAAGUAUUUGAAUAAGUUAGGAUCAGUAAAUGGUGUUCUUCCAAAAAAAUUUACGCCAACCAACAACCCCAGAACAUGAUACUAUGGGUGACCUAAAAGAUAAAGAUCACCCAGUUGAAGCUAAUGCAUAUGCUGCUACUGCUGUUACAAUGGAAAACAAGAAGAAAAAUUAUUAUUCUAUCCCACCUUCAAUUGAGGUAACUUCACUAUCAUACAUUCAUCUAUAAAUGUCAUUUUUAAUGUUUCAAUUGUAAUACAAAGUUCAAACAAAAAUUCAAAUGGAAAACUUAACCUCGGUUAAGUUAAUUAUCAAUGAAACUUACCCAUAGUCAAAUGAAGGUUACUUUGAUAAACAAAACAUAACUAUCAUAAGUACACAUCAAUUUUUUUAAAUUAUGACUAUAAUUUUUGUAUACUAUGAUGUAUGAGGAAUUAAAGUUUCAUUUGUUUAUAACAUGUGUAGAAUCUAUGGAUAGAGUUUAUGAAGCAUAUAGAAAAGUCUGAAUCAAAUUUCAAUUAUUUGAAUAAAGAACUAAAGGAAUUGAAUAGAAGAUUGACAACUUAAGACAACUUUUAUUGGAUGUUAGUGAUAUAUUUAUUGAAUUUUAUAUUUUAUUCAAUCAAAUUAUGUAUUUUAUUUAUAUAUUACUACUAUCUUAUUGUAUGGUACAUAUCUUAUUUUAGGUGAAGAGGGAAAAUGAGUCAUGUGCUACAGAUAAUACAAAAUUUUCAAAAUUUGGUACAAAAGGAAAAGAUAUUGGUAUGGAUUUUAAUUCAUGGGAUGACAAGUUUGAGAGUGUGAUAGAAGAUAAGGAGGAUGAGAACCAUGACCAUAUAGAUGUGAAGACUAAUACAAAAGAAAUAACAGAUAUUGUAGCUGCAGAAAAACACAUAAUAGGGAUGGAGAAAGAUGAUGAUAUGAUUUUUAAUCUAAUUGUUGAUAUUGCCAAAUUAUUUGAUACCCCUACCGUAUCAGGCAACUUUUUAGUUUUUGUAUUUCCAAAGCAACCUUAGAAAAAUUUGGAGUAAUGAGGGAGCAAAUGAAGAAUGAAAUCAGAGGUGGAUGAAAUGGAUGCAAAAUGGGAUAUUUAUAGGAAAAUUUUGGGCCAAAAUAGCCAUUGGAAGAUGAUUUUACCAUUGAAAAACAAUUUUGGCUGUUGGAUCAAAAUCUGGGCGAAAUCUGACGGUUGGAUCGUGAUUUUAGUUAGAAUUAGAUUCAACUAGUUAACUUAGCUUAAUUAUUUAAGUAAUUUAAUUAACAUGAACUAGUAUAUUUGAAAUAUCAAAUAUAUUCAUUUUUUAUUAUUAUUGUGAUUUAUUUUCACAUUCAAUUAUAGUUAAUUUCUAUAUUUAGUAAAUUUUUUCAUAGAAUUAGAUUUAGAUUCAAAAAAUUAACUUAUCUUAACUAUUUAAUUAAUUUAAUUAACAUAAGCUAGUAAAUUUGGAAUAUCAAAUAUGUUCAUUUUUUAUGAUUACUAUAUUUAUUUUCACAUUCAAUUAUAGUUAGUUUUUAUAUUUAGUAAAUUUUUCAUAAAAUUAAAUUUAGAUUCAAAAAAUUAACUUAGCUUAAUUAUUUAAUUAACCUGAACUAGUAUAUUUGGAAUAUCAAAUAAGUUCAUUUUUUAUGAUUAUUGUAUUUAUUUUCACAUUCAAUUAUAGUUGGUUUCUAUAUUUAGUAAAUUUUUCAUAUAAUUACAUUUAAAUUCAAAACAUUAACUUAGCUUAAUUAUUUAAUUAAUUUAAUUAAUCUGAACUAGUAUAUUUGGAAUAUCAAAUAUGUUCAUUUUUUAUGAUUAUUGUGAUUUAUUUUCACAUUCAAUUAUAGUUAAUUUCUAUAUUUAGUAAAUUUUUUUAUAGAAUUAGAUUUAGAUUCAAAAAAUUAACCUAGCUAAUGAUUAUGUUUUCACAUUCAAUUAUAAUUAAUUAGUAUAUUUUGUAGAUUUCUCAUAGAUUUAGAUUUAGUAAACUAACUUAGCUAAAUUAUUUAAUUAAUUUAGCUAUUAGCAUAAAUUAGUAUAUUUUGAAUAUGCUCAUUUUACAUGAUUAUUUAAUUUUCUUUUCACAUUCCAUUGCAACAUGUUAAAUUUAAAUGUUUACUUAAUUUUUGUUUACAUUGAAAUCACUUUCAAGUAUAUGUUUUUUGAAAUAGAUUUAGCAUGGCUAGUGGAGGUGGUUCUCCCAUGCCAGGGCGAGAUCUAGCUUGGAAGUAUUAUUCACUAGUUGAGGGGAACAUAAAUAGGACAAUUUGUAAUUUAUGUGGGUUGUUGUUGAAAAGUGGAGGCAUCAUGCGAUUUAAGUUCCAUUUAACGUAUAACGACCCGCAUAACAACACCAAAAAGUGUCCAAGAGUGCCUCCCGAAGUGAAAGAAGAGAUAAGAUUGAUGGUGCACGACAAAAAUAAAGCAAAAGUAAAGAAAACUGCAGAUAUUCAAGAGAUUUGUGCUCAAUUACGUGGCACAAUGUGGGCUAGUGAUACACAUUUGAUAGACGAAGAUGUUGAAGAUGAAGUUGUAUAUAUGUAUUUGACAAAUAUGCACCCAAAUAAGCGGGAUGCAUAUCAAUCUGUAGUGUGUGCCUCGAAAGUGACAUAAUGGGAAUGUCAACAAUAUGAGAAUAUUAUAGGAAGCAAACGUAAAACGAGGGAGUCUUCACGGUCUACUGGUACACCAGACAAUGCAAAAAUCAGAAAGUAUGCGACAUUCGAACCAAUCACCCCCUGUUGCCCUUUCGUUCUACAAGUCUUCUACAGACAAAAAAAUAUUAAAGAUAUAUUGAAGGGUGGUUCAAUUCAAGAAACAAUGGGUUGUUUAAUUAGCAAAUUCUUCAUUUAUAAGAGCGUCGCAUCCCAAAAAGCAAAGUAUCAUCACUUCAAGAAUAUCAUUAUUGGUGCACAACAAGUAGGAAAUUACUAAUUUUUGAAUUGUUAUAUUGUUUUAGACUUUUAGUAAGUAUAGUAUUUUGUGACAUGUUUUAAAUAUUUGUUAUAUAUGAAUUGCAGGAAUGGGAAUCGAACCUUCAUCUCCAUACGAAAUAAAGAACAAGAACUUGGGAAUGGAGUAGAAAGAAAUGGAAGCUUAUGUGAACCAACAAAGAGAAAAAUGGAAGACAUAUGGGUGCACAAUAAUGUCAGAUGGAUGCAUAGGGCCCACAAAAUUAAGUAUUAUUAAUUUCAUAGUUUAUUCAAAAUGGACCACGGUGUUCCUUAAGUCAAUCGAUGCAUCGAACAAUAUCAAAGACCACAAGUAUAUAUACAAUCUAUUGAGGACUAUUAUCAAAGAAGGCGGUCAAGAAAUGGUGAUCCAAAUUGUCACAGAUAACGGGUCAGCGUUCGUGACAGCAGCUAAACUAUUGAUGAAGAAGUUUAACUUAUAUUGGAAUUUGUGUGCGGCGCACUACAUCGACUUAAUCUUUAAAGACAUUGGUAAAAAACCUAGUGUUACAGAUAUGAUAAACAAUGCUCGCAAGAUAACCAACUUCAUUUACAACCAUGGUUGGUUACUUGCACAAAUGAGAAAGUAUUGUGGUGGAGACAUUGUUCAACUAGGAAUUACAAGGUUUGCUACCAAUUAUAUUGCUAUUGACGGUCUUCUAAAAAAAAUGGCUGAUUUGAAAAAAAAAAUUAUUUAUGAGUGAUGAAUGGGCACAACACAAGCUCGGUUGGACAAAAACUAGACGAGAUUUGGAGCAAUUAUUGUUUGACAAUGCAUAUUGGGACAAAGUGGCAAAAAUAGUUUCAUUAUAUGAGCCGUUAUAUGUGGUGCUUCAACUUAUGAAUUCUGAAGUUGUUUCCACAAUGUCAUUUGUGUACGAGUUUAUGCUCGUGAUGAAAAAGAACCUUAUUCAUCAAGGAGCUAGAGAUUGGAUCUUCAAAAUAAUAAAAGAUCGUUAGAAGAAAACAUUAAAACAUCCACUUCAUGCAACAGGUACUUAAGUACUAUCUAUCUUUAUAAUUUUUUUUACUAUGUAUUUAAUUUUCUCUAACAAAAUACUAAAUCUACUUAAUUUUAUUGUAUCAUACUUCUUAAAUCCAAGAUUUCAAUAUAGGCAUGGAGUUGGUAGUAAUUCAGAACUACUUCAAGUGGUCCAUAAUGUUUUUGCAAAAUUAGACCCAACUACUGAAUCGUUUGGUCAAUUUGGAAGUAAGGUAAAUAAAAAAUAUUAUUUUUGUCAAUAAAACAAUAAUUUUAUUCAUCAAUUUAUUUGAACAUUUACUAACAAAUAUGAUAUUAACAAAUUAAAUGUUGAAUGCAUAGCUUGUAUUUUUUCAAGAUGCAAAAAGAGAAUUCGAUGAUCAAGCGGCGAUUGUACCAAGGUCAACCAUGGUGCCCGGUGAGUAUUUAUAGGAAAAAAUUGAUUAUCAUUAUUUUCAAUUCACCACAUAAGUAUUUAUAUAAUUAUCAAAUUGGUUGCAAAUAACUGGUGGUUCAUAUAUGGGAAUCAAACUCCUACAUUGAGAAAGUUAACCAUCAAAGUUCUCUCACAAACCGCGUCAUCUUUUGCCUGUGAGAGAAAUUGGAGCACAUUCACUCUCAUCCACACAAAGCAACAAAAUCGUUUGGCUUACCCUCAACUGGAGUAAUUAGUUUUUUGUUACUAUAAUAUGAGGCUAAAGUUACACAAUAUGGAGACAAAAAAUGAUCGAGUUGUUGAAAUAGAUUACCUUAAUCUUCUUGACAUUUCAACCGAGGUGGGUGAAGAAGAAGAUAAUCAGUUGUUCCAAUGGGUUAGGCCUAUACACUUGGAUGAUGAAGUUGGAAAUCCUGAUCCACGAAUUGCCGCUCAUGCUUGAGAAUUUGGAGUUAAUAUUGAACGUGUGUUAUCCGAUCAAGUUCACUUUAAAAGUUUUAGCAAAGAUACUGAUGAUUCAUUUUAGGCUACAUUGAAUUCCCACCAAGAGGUUGACUCCACAAGUGUUGGCCAUAGUAGUAGACCUAGUGCUAUAGGUACUUCUGCUUCUGGUUACGAUGGUUCAAGAGGUGGAAUUGAUGAUGGAGGUGAUAAUGCGAGAGGAGAUAUUUGGGAACGUCAACAAAGUCAAUAUCCAAUCAGCCAAUUUACAUGUGAAAAUGAUUUCACACACUAGACCCAGGAUGAAGACCAUGGCUCUAGAAGAGUUGGUUCAAGCAUAAGAGCUAUUGGGAAGCCCUAUAAAGGAAGAGAACGAACAGUGAAACCAUAUAGCGAGGAGUUACUUUCAGGUAGUUAUGAAUCUAUGAGUAUAGGGACUCAAUUUAAUGACUUCUCAAAUGAGGCUAACGUCUACCCUUCUCAUGUGAUGAGUUAUGGUCAAUCUUCAAGUUCAAUCGAUGAAGAGUAUGGUAUGUCACGUUGCUCCCCUUCCGCACAAAUUUCAUACCAAGUUCUAUAUCAAAUGGAAAGAGGAUUUGAAAUUAAAACAUGGGGAACCUUGAGUAUCCUAUCCAUGUAGAGGCAGUGGGCAAGACUCAAGAGAUAUAUGCAUGACAUGUUAGAAUUUUUAACUAAUAUUAUCGAGGCUCAUUGAGUUGGUACCAAUAUUGUCUCCAACAGCAAGAUGGGUUUCCUUCAUCUACCAAUUCCAUUGAACCACAUUGAUCCUCAUUUUGGUACGUACUAAAGGGACAUUGCAAUGUAAUGUGUAAAAAUUAUUGAUAUUUAAUUAAAUGAAGUAUUUUAUGUGACUUCAUAAUGAGUGUACAAUUACAAACUUAACGUUUCUUAUAGAUCGACAUAAUAUAAUUACAUCUAAUAUCGCAAAUUAUAUCACACAUAUAUCAAAUUCUUAAAUAAAACAACUUUAUAAUGUCUAUUAUACUUUUAAUUAUAUUGUUAUGAGAUUUUUCUUACAUUUUCAUGAGUUUUUAGCAAUUUUAGGCCUACCAAAUUUUUUUUUUUCCAAUAUAUCUGUAAAAUCGAAGUACCGAUAUAUCCGUGAUUACCAAUAUUUUUAUCCUUACUCCUACCACGCUCUCAUCUCAUGUAUUUUAUUUAACUCACAUUUGACAACUCGAAUACUUACCCCAAUAAUGAUGUUUGGGGAAAAAAAAUUUCAUCUUAUAAUCUUUUUUAAACCAAACCAUUGGAAACAUAGUUCACACAUCAUAUGUGGGCACAUAAUGUAUGCAUGUAGAUUGAAUUUGCACCAUUAUAUAAGGAUGUUAUAUUAACUAUACAAGGCCAAUGUACUAAUUGUACAAAUGGUACACAAGGCUACCCUUUGUGAAGAAUUUCAAUCAAUUUUGAUUAACUUUGUUUUUAAUCAUUCAAUGAUUGUACACUCUAAUUCCUCCAUCACACACUUUUCUCAUGCACUUUAUUUGACUCGCAUAUAGCAAUUCAAAUACUUACCCCAAUAAUGAUGUUUGGGAAAAAAAAUUGUUUUUACGUCUUCCAUCAUUUUCUAAAUCAAACCAUUGAAAACAUGAUUAACAAAUCUUAUGUGGACACAUAAUUUAUGCAUGUGUAUAGAAUUGACAUCACUGUACAAGAGUGUUAUACUAAUUGUACAAGACAAAUGUACUAACUAUACAAAGGGUGUACAAGGCUACCCUUUGUGGAAGAUUUCAUUCGAUUUUGAGCAACUUUUUUUCUGGUCAUCUAAGGACUACACACUCUCAUAACACAUAUUCCUCUAUCAUACAGUCAUCUCUUGCCCUUUAUUUAAUUCACACAUGACAAUUUGAAUACUUACCCCACUAAUAAUGUUUGAAAAGAAAAAAAAAAUUGUUUUCCACUGUUUUAUAAACCAAACCAAACCAAACCAAUGUAAACAUGGUUAACCUACCUAUUGGCACACAUCGAGUAGGGGGUGUAUGGAAUUUGCGCUACUAUACAUGGUAUUUACACUAAGUGUACAACGUAAAUAUACUAACUAUACAAGGGGUGUACAAGGCUAUCAUUUGUAAAGGAUUUCAACUUAUUUUAAAAAGCUCACUUGCUUAUUUCCCUCAGCCAAGGAUGGAGGAUAUUCUUCACAGACAUUGGUUAAUCAUACAUUCAUCUCAUGCACUUUAUUUAACACGUAUAUGGUCAUUUGAAUACCUACCCCACUAAUGAUGAUAGUGAAACAAAAUUGUACAACAAUUUUUCCCUUAUUUAAAACUAAACCAAUGCAAACAUGGUUAACUAAUCUAGAGGCAGAUAUUCACAAGGCAGUGCAUGGAAUCUGAGUCAUUAUACAAGGAUAAAUAUUACACUAAUUGUACAAAAUAAAUUUACUAAUUGUACAAGAGGUAUACAAUACUGUUUUUUGUUAAAUAUUUCAAAUGAUUUUAAAAAACUCUCUUGUUUUUUUCUUGUCACCCAAGGACUAUACAAUUUCUCCACUCAAAUUCCCUCGCCUAAGAAUUGUUUUGACUCUUAUUUUUAAAUUUCAUUAUCAAAAUUUUGUAAUUAUAUAUUUUGUUUUUGUAGUUUUAGCAAUAUUCUUUCUUUCCACUCUUUUUUUGUGAAAUUUUAUCCAAAUGAAUCUAUAUUUAAAAUUAUAAUCAUAUUUAUCAUUUGUUUUUACUAAGAUUAUCUUAAAUUCUUUUAAUAUAUUAAUUUAUACUCAUUUAUUUAAAAAAUGAAAAACUAAUUUUAAACAUGUUCUAUUACCUUUCAAAUAAAAAAUUAAAUAAGUUGGAAAGUCAAUAAAAGAAAAAUUAAAUACCACUUUCAAUCAUUUUUAAAUAAGAUUUUAUAUGACACAUUUUAUUUGAAAUUUAAUUUCUAAAGUUUCAUUAAAAAAAUUUGUGUUGACAAUUUUCUUGCUAUUAGUUAAAAUACUUUUCAAUAGUUUAUUUAGAUAAGAAAAAUUAUAAUAUAAUAUUAAAACUUCACAUUUUAGUUAUUUUCAAUAAAUUUAUCUUUAAAAAAUUUUUAAAAUAAAAAAAUUAAAAUUUUAAAAACUAAGGGAAAUAUUAAAAAAAAAAUUAAGAGUGAAGUGAUAGUCAAUUAAAGAGGAAUAGAAGAGGAAAAUGUGUAUCCACUUACAAUGCUUAAUUGGAAUUGGAAGAAGGGUUUGAAUUUAGAAAGGGGCAAUUGUAGAGGAAAAUAUAAAAUCAUAAACUAAUAGCAAUUAAUACAAUUGUUAAUGAUAUAAUAAUUGAAUGAAAAUGGGAAUAUAAUUAUGAAAGAUUGUUAUAAAAUAUAAAUGUAGAUUGGAAAAAAAAAACUAUAAAAAGAAAACAAAAAACUAAACAAAAAAGCAUAAAUGGAUAAUAGGGAAUAGAAAAGGAAAAAAGAAAACACAAAGAAAUAGAAAUUCACACUCAUGUGUAGAGAUUAAUGAAGGAUAAUAUUAUACUUUAUUUGGAUCUUAAGUUUAAAUGUGGGUGAUAAGAGGAUGUUGGACCGAUUUUCAGAUCCAUUUAACUUAAAAGUCUAAUUCUCCAUAGCUUUUGAAAAUUUAAUUAAAAUAUUUUUAAAAAUGAUUGAUUCAAUUUUUUUUAUAUUUAAAUAGUUGAAUGUACAAGGUUUUCUAUAUGAAAGUCAUUUUAUUAUAUAAAAUUAAUCACCAAAUUUAGAUUUGUCUUACAUAAUUAUAAUGUAGAAAAUGCUACUUAUCUUUACUUGUUUCAUAAUUUAUUUUUCCCCAUAUUAUUAUGGAAUAAAUUAGUGAAUGCCAGUAAUUCUUUUUUGUAUUAAUAAUGUAAGUUAAUUAAGUUACAAAAUAUUAUAGGAAAGUACUUGCCUAAACAAAUAUCAUAAUUAAAAGUUAGUUUUUUUUUUUUUUUGCAAUAAUAUAAGCUUUGGGCCCAAAAAUUAUAAAUAACAGUUCACUAGCUAGAAAGAUAUAUCCUGCUUAAAAGUGAUGUGGCAUUAUAAAUACAAAUUUUGUGGCUAAUUUUUUCUUUUUUAAAUAUACAUUUACUACAAAUGUAUGUGAUUGUUAAAUGUCAUCCAUUUGCUAUGAACAAUAAUUUUUCACUGAAAAAUUGUUUUGCUAUGAAAUAAACUGUCAUUGCAAAAAGCCACUUCCUACCAUAAAAAUAUCUUCAUAGCUAAAAGCGUAAUGGCAAAUGGAGAAAUUUGUUGCAGUGAAUUUUCCAAAAGCUUGCCGGAUCAGUUUAAUCCAAGAUCGUAUUGAAAAGGAUGAUCGAAGUGGAACUAAGAAGUACCUUCUGGUUCAUGGCAGGACUAGGACAGGGCGGUCCGGUUUUCAAACCAUCCGCAGAUAUGACGCAUAAUAUUGUUUUGGAAUCUAUAUUAGUCAACGGUUCCUACAUUUUUUACAGGACAUAGAUGUAAAAUUCACGAAUUUGAUGCUGCCUGACACAACAGGUCAACUUCCUGUGUCUUAUCUGCAUCCAAAAAAGUCAACAUUUUUAAAGAGUGUCCUUACACUAGCUACGUGGUGGACAUUGCUUCCCCACACGCAAGAUCUUCGCCAAUGGAGGGAAUGCAAGGACUGAAGGAUGUAAUUUUUUGUGAGAAUAAAUACUUUUUAUUUUAAAAAUUAUCAUUUUCAAUUCAAGGGUUGCCACGUAUCAUCAUAAACCUAUUAAAUUCCACACGCCCGAGAUCACCAUGUGAAUACAAUACUGCCAACUGCCACCUAACACAUGGUUGUCAUGGCUGCACUAUUGAAUAUCUCAACUAUAUGCUACAGGCGAUGAAUAGCGACAUGGAGUUCAACAAGAAAACCCGUGUCUCGUGACUUUACUAAUACUGGGUCAAAUGCAAACGCAGGAAGUAAGCUAAAAUGUGUGUUUUCGUGGAAGAAUAUUUAGAAGGAUACAUUCUUAUCAUGAUUUCAUCAUUAUAAGUUAGGUUUUCUUAUGUAAUUAAUAUUUUAAGAGAUUCAAUCUUUUGAUCGCCUCAACUCGCCCAAGAAGUGUUGGCUGGGUUUUGUAUUCACUACUAUGCAUCUGGGUCUUGUUACAGUGCCUUCGGUUCUAGGCUUCUAAUUCUUACUUUUUCAAAUUCUAGACCCAAUAAAUGAACUGUAUUCUGCAUUAUUGUGAAUCACCAAGCUUCCCAAAAGUAGCUCAAAGAUGAGAAACGACCCUGCCCAACUGGGGUUCUUCCUCUUUUUUCUCUCCCUAUGGAGACUCUUUAUAGAAAUGACCAUGGCACAGAACACAGCAAUCCCAGUUAACGCGGGAGUGGUCCUUGACUUUGAUACAUCGCUUGGAAAGAUGGGUCUGAGCUGCAUCCCUCUGGCCCUCUCAGAUUUCUAUGCCUCUCAUGGUAACUACAAGACUAGGCUCGUUCUGAAGACUAGAGACUCCAGAAGAGAUGUUGUUGGUACAACUGCAUCAGGUACUCUUAUCUCUGUUCUUCUCGCUCUCUCACAGUAGUAAUUAAGUGUUAUGUAAGUGUUAUCUGACCUAAUCUAUUAGAGUUUCUUCAUAUAAAUAUACCUUAUUAUGUUAAAACAAACACACAUUAAAUUGUUACUGCCAUUAUAUUCUUAUGUGUAUUAAUAAUACUCUUGAGAAUGUAACUCUUAUUUGAAGUCGAAUCAUAGUGUUGACCACAUCCCUCAAAAUGUUGAAGAGUUCACUAAGGGCUAUGAGGUGCUAUGUCCUGGAUGUGAACGAUGUAGGUGUUGAUCAUUACAAGACCUCUGGGAGAAACAUCCACUCUAGGUAAAUCUAUGUACUUAGUUCUUUUAGAAUUAAUAGAUUUGCUCAUGAUCACUUAAAUCCAUGAAUUUUAUACUUAUAGAGUUUCUAGUAUAAAUGAGAAAAAAAAAAUCAAAAUUUGGGGUUUAAAACUUAUGACUUCUUCUUUAGCUCUGUCUAAGUAGUUUCAAGAAUCAAGAUAUAUAAGUUUCAAAUUAUAUUAAUUCAAUUUACUAAUCCAAAUGUGAAAAAGUUUCAAUUUAUAGAUUUUGUUUUAAACCUAUAUUUCUACUUAUCCAUCUAUAUAUGCCCACUCAAAUGAAAAAAUAGCAUGGGACUUCGAGGAAACAAACAAACUUCCUCUUUGGGGUGGUUAAUUGCUCACUGGUUUUGGACACAGGUUCAUCUCUAUCCAUCUUAAAAACUUCUGUUUGAAAGAAGAAUCAUCUCCACUUGAUUUGAAAGAAGAUAAAGGAAUAAGGCAAAUGCUGAAUUUUCAUUCUCUCAAGUUGUAUUUUCUGGUGGGCCUUCAACAUGAGAAUAACAAGGAAAUCACAAGCUUUAAUUUCUUGUGACCCCUUUAAAUCUAUAGCUUCAAGAUGGAUGAAAUGAUAAAAAAAAUUUGAUAAAUUUCCUCCAAGUAGAGAAAAUGAAAACAAAGGGUUUAUUCUCCGUCUCUUCCCUUUCUUUCUCCUUUUUGUUCUAGUAUGAUGACUAAAGCAAAGCAUUGAUUUGAAAUUAUUAUUUUUUUUUUUAUCAGUUAAUGCUCUUACAUCUAAUGACACAUGAGACCCUUUAAAUUCCAAGACCAAGACAUUACUUGCAUUUUAUUAUUGUUUUUUUUUGGGGGGAGGGGGGGAGGAAUAAUUCAAAUUCAACUCUCUCCUACCAUGACUUUACCCUAAUGGUCAUAAAUUUUGAGAACCAUGCAUAUACCUCAUGACCUAGAAUUUUUUUACUAUAUUGUUGUUGUACCUAUCACUAGAAUUUAGAAAGAGAGAGAGAGAGAGAGAGAACUACUCUUAUUUGAUGCUUAUUAAUUAGGAUUUAGGCCCACUGAAAUUGGAGCAUGAGUAAUGCAGGUAGAAAAAGACAAAAUUCCAAGCUGAUGUGAAUUUCACAUAUAAUUUGUUCAAUCUUAUCUUCAAGAUAGAAAAUUGCAAGAAAAUAUUAGUCAUUCAUUUGGUACAAACAUAACCAAAAUGCAUGUGAAGCACUACUAUCAAAUACUGGUAAAUUUGAAAUAACUUGUAGUUGACUGUCGAAGAUGUGAACUUCUACAUGUUCCAUACUAUUGCCAACCAACACAUGAUUUCAUGGUGAAGUUGAGGAUUGGAACUCCACUAUAUAGAAUACAGGAAAAAUACUAUUGGAUGGUAAAGCUUGAAUUAAUCUUAUGACCCUACAUAGAAGAUGUUCGGGAUUCUCCAAUGAGUUUGCAAUGAUUGAGCUUGUAGCUAUUAAAACAAAAUAAAUUAGUUUUCAUUAGUGAGUGAAAAGAAAAAAUGUACGAUUGUAAUUGAGAGGAAAUUUCAUUAGUGAGUGAAAAAUAAAAUAAAAAAAAAUGUGCAACUAAUAUAUAGAAGAGUGAGAGCUUUCAUUAUUAUAAUCUUUUUAUCUUCGUUUAGUUAGUAAAUUUUAAAAUGUUGGUGUAUUCGAUGAAUGUAAAGAUUAUAUUAGUAGCCAAAGUACAUUAAAUUAUUUUUUUUCUUAUUUCAGUUCGUAUGUGUGGAGGUGUAAAAACUGAAGGUAGAGUUAAUUUUUGUGUGUAGGAAAAAGCUAUCAUAUGUGUUGCCACAAAGCUUUAUACAAAGAAUUUUGGUUUAAUAUAUUAUCAAAAUUAUCUCUCGCAAUCUAAAAAUGUCAAUUGAUGUUGAUAGACCCCCCUACCAAACCUUUACUGGUAGUGACAAAACUCAACAUUUAAUUUCUUAUUUCACAGAAAGUCUUGGAUGAUAUAAAUUUUACAAAUCUAAAUCAUUUGAUAAGGGUAUAAAUAUAUGAGAUUAAUAUAUAAAUAUAUGUGUGUGUGAGUAUAUGCAUCAAUGUGAUAUGAUCUAAUUAAUUAUGUCUCUUAACAAUCUGCUUUUGAAUUCAAUAGGAUUAAGUUCUUAGGAAUUUACAAAUAAUGUCAAAUCCACGUACAACUUGGGUUGUUAUGGGUUAUAAAAUAAAAAGAGUAAAUGAAAUAAUUAUUUUAAAACCAUAAAAUAUAAAUUAUAUAACAAAGUAAGAAGUUAAAAACUACAUAUCUCUCAAGCCACACACGUUCAAUGGCAAGAGGGAUGCCAAGAAGUUAGAUAACUUCUUGUGGCACAUGGAGCGCUACUUUGAGGCUAUCGCAUUGAUGGAUGAAGCCACUAAGGUACGCACCGCAACCCUCUACCUCACUGAUAAUGCUACUCUAUGGUGGCGUCAAAAGUUUGCCGACAUAUAAAAAGGGACGUGCACCAUAAACACAUGAGAUGCCUUUAAGUGAAAAAUCAAAAGGCAAUUCUACCCUGAAGAUGUGGCUUACCUAGCAAGGAAGAAUAUAAAGCGUCUCAAGCACACGGGCUUGAUUCAUGAGUAUGCCAAAGAGUUCUCUACGUUUAUGCUUGAGAUACCUAACAUGUCCGAGGAGGAGCUAUUAUUCAACUUCAUGGACAACUUGCAAAGUUGGGUCGAGCAAGAGUUGAGCAAACAUGGUGUCCAAGACCUAGCCACGGCCAUGGCGAUAGCAGAGUCCUUGGUGGAUUAUAGAAGGGGAGACUUCUCCAAGCCCAAGCCAUAAUCCAAGGGUAAUUAUGCUAAAGGUGGGGGAGACAAGGGAUCAAAGAGGUACACCCCUAAGGAAUGAUCAAGUAAGACCUCUAGUGGCAAGGAUAGUAAGGGCAAAGACAAACCAAAGGAGUUCACACCCAGGACCAAUUACUUCCUGUGUGAUAGGCCACACUUGGUGCGGGACUGCCCCAAGAGGAAAGCCCUAAAUGCUAUGAUCGAGGAAAAGAAGAAGGAGAGUGAUGCUAAGGUGGGAUCGUUGCAACUCCUAAACUCCUUUAAGGCCAAGCCAAUGCCCUAAGACGCCCCAAAGCAAAGGGCUAAUGUAUGUAGAGGCCCUUGUGAAUGGGAAGGCCACCAAGGCCCUGGUGGACACUAGUGCCACUCAUAACUUUGUCUCAGAGGAUGAGGCAAAGAUGCUAGAGCUCCAAGCAUCCAAGGAAAGAGGUUGUAUCAAGGCAAUCAAUUCAGCUGUAAAGCCAUCACACGGAGUAGCUCACGGGGUGACUAUGCACAUCGACUCAUGGAAAGGAAGGGUCGACUUCACAGUGGCACCUAUGGACGAAUUCAAGAUGGUACUAGGGAUGGACUUCCUACAAAAGGUCAAGGUUGUGCCAAUACCUUUCGUACUCUCAAUGGCUAUCCUAGAGGAGGAAAAGCCAUGCAUGGUCCCUACGGCCACUAAAGGUACGCCCAAGACCCCUAUGUUAUCAACUAUGCAAGUUAAGAAGGGGUUAAAGAGGAAAGAGGUGACCUACCUCGCCACCCUGAAAGAAGAAAGGGAUAAUGGGUCGGGAGAACCCAUGCCUAAGGAAAUUGAGGGAGUCCUUGAUGAGUUCAAGGACGUGAUGCCACCUGAGUUGCCCAAAAAACUUCCUCUUAGGAGAGAGGAAUACCACAAGAUUGAGCUAGAGUCGAGAACAAAGUCCCCUGCUAUGGGGCCAUACCGGAUGGCACCGCCUGAGCUGGAGGAGCUAAGGAAACAACUUAAGGAGUUGUUGGAUACAUGGUUCAUCCAACCAUCCAAGGCUCCCUAUGGCGCGCUGGUUUUGCUUCAAAAUAAGCAGGAUGGGUCCCUACGAAUGUGCAUAGACUACCAGGCACUCAACAAAGUGAUAGUAAAGGACAAGUACCCUAUUCCGCUCAUCGCUGACUUGUUCGAUCAACUUGGAAGGGUGAGAUACUUCACAAAGCUAGACUUGAGGUCAGGCUACUACCAAGUAAGGAUUGCGAAAGGGGAUGAGCCCGAAAACCACAUGUGUGACCAGGUACGACUCAUACGAAUUCUUAAUGAUGCCCUUCGGUCUCACCAAUGCCCCAGCAACGUUCUGCAUACUCAUGAAUAAGAUCUUCCACCCAUAUCUAGACAAGUUCAUGGUGGUAUACUUGGAUGACAUAGUCAUCUAUAGUGACACCCUAAAGGAGCACGUAAAGCAUUUAAGGAAGGUCUUUAAAAUUCUAAGGCAGAACGAGCUAUAUGUAAAGAAGGAAAAAUGCUCAUUUUCUAGGAAAUAGGUGAGCUUCCUAGGACAUCGCAUCAAGGAUGGAAAACGGAUGAUGGAUGAUAACAAGGUGAAAGCCAUCCAAGAAUGAGAUCCAUCAACCAAGGUACCUCAGAUCAGAUCUUUCCUUGGUCUAGCUAAUUACUACAGACAGUUCAUCAAGGGUUAUUCGGCAAGGGUAGCUCCACUCACUGACCUUCUUAAGAAGAAUAAGGCAUGGGAAUGGAAUGAAAGGUGCCAACAAGCAGUUGAGGAUCUGAAGAAGACUGUGACUGAGGAACCGGUGUUGGCCCUACCCGACUACACCAAGGUUUUUGAGGUACACACGAAUACCUCAGACUUCGUUAUAGGGGGUGUCAUUAUGCAAGAUAGGCAUCCAAUCACCUACAAGAGCCGCAAGCUAAAUGACAUGGAGAGGCGCACGGUGUAGGAAAAGGAAAUGACUGCCAUCGUCCAUUGCUUGCGCACCUGGAGGCACUAUCUUCUAGGGUCUCACUUUCUAAUGAAGACCAACAAUGUUGCCACUAGCUACUUCCAACCACAAAAUAAGUUAAGUCCUAAGCAAGCUAGGUGGCAAGACUUCCUGGCCGAGUUCGACUAUAUGCUGGAGUAUAAGCCAGGAAAUGCUAAUCACGUGGCCAACACCCUCAGCCGUAAGGCAAAGCUAGCAUCCAUGACAAGCCAACCCCAAGGAGAUAUAUUGGAUCUUCUAAGGGAGGGACUGCAACACGAUCCAGUGGCUAAGAGCCUUAUCACCCGACUCAUGAAAGGAAAACUAAGCGGUUUUGGGUGGAAGACAACCUACUCUUCACCAAGGGGAGACGACUCUACAUGCCUAAGUGGGAGAACAUAAGGCGGAAUCUGAUAAAGGAGUGUCAUGACACCAAGUGGGUUGGGCACCCAGGGCAACGAUGCACUAGGGUACUACUCGAGUCGGCUUACUACUGGCCUCAAAUAAGGGAUGAAGUUGAGGCCUAUGUGAGGACUUGUCUUGUAUGCCAACAAGACAAGGUGGAGCAACGACAACCUAGAGGCCUGUUGGAACCACUACCAAUAGCGGAGCAGCAGUGGGACAGUGUCACCAUGGACUUCAUCAUCGGGAUACCCAAAUCGGAGGACAAUGGCUCUAUUAUAGUGGUAGUGGACAAGUUCUCUAAGUAUGCGACCUUCAUAGCAACCCCGACUGAUUGCACUGCAGAAGAGACAACAAAGCUAUUCUUAAAGCAUGUGGUCAAGUAUUGAGGGUUGCCUAAGUACAUCAUCAGUGAUCAUGAUCCACGUUUCACUGGAAAGUUUUGGACGGAGCUCUUUAAGCUUAUGGGUUCGGAGUUCCACUUCUCCACAAGCUUUCACCCACAGACAGAUGGGCAAACUGAGAGGGAGAACGCCCUGCUGGAGCUAUACUUGAGGCACUUUGUGAGUGCCAACCAGAAGGAUUGGACUAAGUUGCUAGAUAUAGCCCAGUUCUCAUACAACUUGCAAAAGAGUGAAGCAACCAACAAGAGCCCGUUCGAGCUAGCCACAGGGAAGCAACCCUUAACUCCUCACACGCUAACUAUAGGCUAUACAGGGAGAAGUCCAACGGCUUUCAAGUUCGCAAAGGGAUGACACAAGCAAGCUGACAUAGCACGCUCAAACUUGGACAAGGCAAUUAAGAAAAUGAAGAAGUGGGCUGACAAGAAGCGACGUCACACGAAGUACAAAGUCGGAGAGAUGGUGCUUGUCAAGCUCAUUCCUCAACAAUUCAAAUCCCUAAGAUCGGUGCAUAAGGGCCUUGUGAGGAGGUAUGAAGGACCCUUCCCCAUACUUGGGAAGGUCGGCAAGGUGUCCUACAAAGUUGAGUUACUGUCAAGGUUAAAGAUUCAUCAUGUCUUCCACAUAAGUUACUCGAAACCAUAUCACGAAGACAAGGAUGAUCCAAGCCGAGGGUUUUCUAAGAGGGCACCUACAACGGUCGUGACCUCCUAUGACAAGGAGGUAGAAUACAUCAUCACAAAUCGAGUCAUCAAGAGACGAGGUGUGCCUCCUACUACGGAGUACUUAGUGAAAUGGAAGGGACUACCAGAGAACGAGGCUAGCUGGGAGCCAAUAGAUGCAUUAUGGCAGUUCCAGGAGCCGAUUGAUCAGUUCCGGGCAGAAGGCGCAACGAGGACAUUGGCGGCUUAAGUGGGGGAAAGUGUCACAAGAUGUUUCAAAUGAGCCUCCCCAUGGGUUUAUAUAGAGCCCAAGAAGCUUCUGGAGAUUCCUACACUUAGCCACUAGUGGGAAGAGUGUGGAAGGUUCUAGAAAUACCUAGAGAAGUCCACACCUCUCUACACUAUGGUAAAAGACAUGGGAGGAGUCCAGGGCUUUCUAGAGAAUUCUAAAAGCCUCUUGUACAUAGACUUGUACAUAGAAUGGUGUAGGAUGUUCUAGAAUAUUCUUGAAUUGUAAAGAACCGUCCAAGGUUCUAGAGAGUUCCAUUGGUGCCUAUAAAUAGGUGGGGGCCUCAUUUGGCUAAGGCACCAAACAAGUGAGCUUCCAAACAUUGUAAAGUUUCCUUCAAAAGCAAUAAAGCUUCCAUUCUUUAAGAGUUGCUUACUACAUCUUCUAAAACUUCCGACUUGUGAGCAUCUUAGCCUAACAAGCUAAGCAUUGGGGAGUAAGGCUGACUUAGCAAGAUCAAGCAUCUUGACUUGUCUAAGUGCCACACGAGCUUAGGAAAAGACUAAGUCUGUGACACCGUGCUCUCAUCUCCACUCAUCAUCCUCCAUAGUUGGUCGUGUAGUUGUUGUUCCCCUGCAUAUUCUCUCACCCAUUCCCGUUUUUUCUCCCCUAAUUUGGUAUCUUCUCCACUCAACCUCGACAGUUGGGUCGGGUUUCUGUUUUAUCCCUCUUUUGCUGAGUUUCCCGAUAUUUUCCUCUCUUCUCCAUACUCGGCUCUUCUUCGGGUACUUGUGUUUUCCUCUCAUCUCCAUCGAUUGUCAUUUUCAGGUGCUUUCAGUUGUCUUCAUGUAUUGUUGGAUGUUUUCGUGUUGUUGGGUGUUUUCGGGUGAGAUAUUGUAGUAGUUUCGGGUGGCAACUUUUCGAGUUCUAUCUUUUCUUCGUAUCCCCUCUAUUUAUGUCCAUAUUUAAUUUUCAUAUUUGGGGUUUUUUUGAGUUUUGAAGUAAAGAGUGCAAUACUCCCGCUCCCUCCUCUCCUCUCCAUAACCCUUGUAUUUUCUUCAUAUUUUAUAUUUUGUUUAAGAGGUAUAAGGGGUGGUUUCGGGUUCUAAAUUUUGUGGUUUGAAGACCCGAAUUGAAGACAUAGCUAGAAGAAGAAGAAGAAGAAGACGUGUAGUAAUAAGAGAAAGAAAACUAAAAAGGACACAAUUUUUUGUUAAUCAAAAGGCGGUUGUAUCAUAAUUAUUUGCCAAGUUAUAUAUUAAGGAAAAAAAAUGUGAGUAUUGAUAAUGUGUUUUACAAUAUUGUAUCCAUUAUAUUUCAUGUUUUUUGUUAGAUUUAUGGGUUGAUCAUAUUAAUGAAAAAUAAUGUGGUUAGAUCCAUAAUUGGAGAUUGAAAAUAAUUUAUAUGCUAAUUUUGUGACCAUUUAAAAUGUACUAAAAUUUGGGGAGGAUUUUGUAGUGGUGGUGAAAGUAUGUUUGAUUUAUUAUAUCUGAAAUCAUAUUAUAAAAAUUGACUUAAAUGAUUUAAUUUAAUUUUUAGGAGCGAAUGCAUUGUUGUUGAAGUUGUUAGAAAUCCAAAGAGGCCUAUCGAAGCUUAGAUACAUUACUAGUAAGGAAAAAUAGAAAUAUGUAAAAGAAUAUGUUUUUUAAUGUAUUUUUUGUGGUUGUUAUAGUUGAAUUUGUUUGAAAUUGUUUUGUAGUAAUGAUCAAUUGGUCAUGAUCAAAGAGAAGGAUAAAGGAGUUAAGAUAAAUGAUGAUGUAAGGAGUAAUAUUGUUGUGUCUAAUUUAAUUACAUUUUAAAAUUAGAAUUUAAAGUAUGUGACCAAUUAAUGUAGUUGAGGAAAAAAUUGGGCAAGAAGUGGAAUGCACUUUCAAAAGUAGAAAAAGAAGAUUUCAUGGCAAAGUCCAAAGAAAGUUCUUCCAAAGGUAAUUUUUUUUGUAAUGAAUAUUUAAUUUCAUUACUUAUGUAUUUGUUGGAAAUUAUAUUAAUGUAAACAUGUUUGAUGUUUGUGUAUCUUUUCAGUUAUAUCUUCAGACUCGAUGCUCACUCGAGCGAGUGAUUAGAGUUAUUGAAGAAUUAGAACCAAAGCAAAGAGCAGCCAUAGAAGAAAUAGGAUUUGGUAGCCUCUUGCAACUUUGAUGUAGGAAAAUUGAUCAUGGUUUAUGUCUUUGGUUGAUAAAUAGUUUCAACCCGAACAGUUAUAUGUUAGAGUUGUAUAAUACUUUCAUCAAAUUAUCCUCCAUUGAUGUUGAAUUUAUUAUGGGAUUGAGGGUAAGAGGGUUGAAGAUUGGCAUGAACAAAGAUGUUAACCAUAAGAAUGAUUUAUGUAAAAAAUAUUGUGAUAAAAAGGGGCGAUUGCCAUUAGUGAUGUUAGAAAAUCAAAUUAGGGAGGAUAAAGAAGGUGGAAACGAUUUCAAAGUUCAUUUUGUAUUAUUUGUGUUGGGUGCAUUAUUGUGCCCAACAAUGAAGCUUUUUGUGAAACAUUCUUUCUUACAUCUUGUGGAAGACAUCAAUUCAAUAAAGAAGAUGAAUUGGGUUGAAUUUGUGUUGUCUUAUCUUGUGCACGGGAUUGAAGAGUUUAAGAUGAAACAACGAAGUGGGGUUUGCGGUUGCUUAUUGUUUUUAAUGGUAAUGUCCUUGUAAUUAAUUUACAUCAUAGUGAAUUUCAAAUUUCUUAUAAUAAAAUGUGUUAACUAACUAUAUAUCUAUGUUAAAUAUAAUCGUAGUUAUUCUACCACGAGCAUAUAUUGUUCGAAGAGAAAUUUCUACCAUUAUAUACUCAACCUUGUCCUCGGAUUACUACUUGGGGAGAUGAUGAAGUACUUGACAUGAAACAAAAAUUGAAAAACCUCGGUGAAUAUGCAAAUGACAAUGUAAGUUAUAGUUUCAAAAGUCGUUUAAUAUUGGUUUAAGUUUUUAGUGAUUUUUAAUCUUAUAUGUGUUAUAUUUUGAUGAAUAUAUUGUAGGUCAAAAUAUGGGUGAUACAAAAUGAGAUAAGGGAUUGCAUUGAUGGAAAUGCGAUGACAAUGGAGAGGGAGAAUGAGGAGGAUGAGAAAUUCGAAAUCAAUCCAAAGAAAGAUGUUAUUAAACGAGUAGGUUUUACAAUAUUCAUCGUGAGUAUCAAUAUUAGUAGUGAACCCUUAUAUUAUGAUGUUAUUAAUGAAGUUCCUAUAUAUCACUAGGUUGACAGUGGGAGCUUAAUGGAGAUGGAUAAAACCUUUCAACAAUUAAAGACACAUCUAAUUGAUUUGUGUCAUGGUGCAAGUAGUAGUAGUUGUGAAAAAGUUUUGACUGAAUUUGAGGAGAAAUAUACUACAUUGAAAGGUCUCUUCAUUGGGUCAAGCGGAAAACCUUUGAGAAUGCACGAGGAGGGAACGAAGAAUGACAUUUUCUCAUGCGAGAGAAGUUUGGAAGAUAAGGACAAUAAGAAAGGAAAUGAACAUUAUGUUCACACUUUGUCAAUUGAGAAGUUAUGUACUGAGGACUUUAAUAGAAAGAAUGAAGAUGCAUGUGCUACAUCAAUUAAAGUACAUAUCAUUCCGGACGAAAAUGUAGAUAUUUUACCACUUCCAAUCAAAAGGAGUAGAAGAGAUUAUGGAAAGGUAUGUAUCAUAUAAAAGAAAAAAUUAUUUUCCUUACAACUACUUAACCAUUACAUAGUAAAUAGAUGUAUAUUAAUGGUAUUUUCCAUAUUAGGAACCAUUACGAGCACUAUGUGGUUAUCCCAAUCAUGUCAUGAAAACACGUACAUCAAGGGAGAGGAAACCAAGUAAAUUCAAGGUCUCCCCAUUUGUACACAAUUUAAGGAAAAUGGGAAAACGUCAAGCAUCAGAGGUAUAAUACAAAUAGUUUAAUAUCAUGAUCUUAUUUUUUAUACUCAACAUAUAUAGCUAAUAAUUAUGUCUUGUUUUCAAUUUAGUCAAUCCCCAUGUCCAUUUGUGAAGACGUGGUGGAUGCUCAAUCAUUCAAUGUACUUCAAUCUCUUGUUGCUGAUUAUGUUUUCAAUAAAACAUUGUCAAAAAGGUUUGUAGUGUCUAGAACAUUCAUAGAUGUGUUGUUACAAUUUUAGCCUUCAUAUGCUUCCAAUUUAGUCAAGAAUGUUUUAACAUAUUAUUAUUUUAGUGAGCUUCUUGUUGACUUUGAUCAUGAACAUGGAGUUCGUGGAGAUUUUGAGUGCUUAUGUCCUAGAGAAAAUUUGAUGGAUGUUGUAAGUACCUACUUCAUUUAUACUAAACGCGUGCUAAAUUAAUUAAAUAAAUUUAUUGAAGUUAUUGUUUAACAACAAGUAAUAAAUCUAGAAGCCUCAAAGCUAAAUUAUUUUGAAAGGCAAUUCAUAAGCAUACGAAGUAUAAGAUGCUAUCUUCCCAUGACAUUUUCAAUAAGCUCAUAUUUCUCUUGUUGUUUACUUACGUAUUAAGUACAAUAUACUAAUGUUCGUAUUAUGUUUAAUUACUAGCAAAUGAUUUUGUGCGGGAGUCUUUAUCAUUUUUUUUAUAGAAAAACAUCCAUCGUGAGUAAGUACAUUAGCAAAUUGGAUGAUUGCAAGAAGUUUAGUAAUUAUUUGUAAUGUUUAAUUGCAUAUAUGAAAUUUGGAGUAGAUAUUGUUUUCACCUAUAAUAUAGUAGAUAUUUUGUGCCCCAACUCAUAUAUAUUGUUUUUCUAACUUUACAGCUAUUUAUUCUAAUGCAUGAUGAUUGCACCGGUCAUUGGUAUCUAUACGUCAUUGACUUAAAAAACUCUCAUAUCCAAAUUUUGGAUUCAUUGCAAUCGAAGAGUCGAGACGAGUUCCGGUUUAAGAGUGUCAAAACAGUGGUAUGCUUUCAGCUUUUUAUUUUCCUUUUAACUUGUUUUUUUUUUCUCUUCCAUAUUUAUUAACACUAAAGGGGUGUCCAAAUGAAUCUCAGAAAAAUCAAAUUCUGAAAAUAAUUAAAAAUUAGAAAGUGUACGAAGAAUGUGAGGAAUCCUCACAUUCUUCGUACCCUCCCUAUUCUCCAUUUCUUUGAAAAUUUUAAAGAAUUUUGGGACUUUAUAUGACUAGGACAUUGUUUAAAUAAGUUCAUUACACUUAAGGGUGUUUAAAUAAUGCCAAAAAAAAUAAAAAAAUAAAACUCCAAAAAUACUUAAAAAUUAGAAAGGGUAUGAAGAAUUUGAAGAUUCCCAAUUCUUUUCCUCUUUUAAAUUUAAAAAAUUUUGGAAAAAUGAGUUCAUUACACUUAAGAGGUGUUUAAAUGAUGCAAAAAAAAAAACUCCAAAAAUACUUAAAAAUUAGAAAGGAUACGAAGAAUUUGAAGAUUCUCAAUUCUCUUCCUCUUUAAAAUUUAAAAAAUUUUGAAAAAAUCAAAAUGAUUAAAAAAUCAACGAGAGAUUUAAAAUUCCAUAUUUUUACUAAUUAUUAUAAUUUUUUUUAUUUUCAAUAUUUCAACCAAUAUUUUAUAUAAUUAAAUUUAAAUUAUAAAAAUUAUUUUAUUAAUACAAUUGUCAAGUACAUAACUAACUUAGUGUUUGAACAAUGUAUACUUAUUUAAAUUUAUUUUAAUUUUUUUAUUUUUUAUAAAUAUCUAAUUAGACUUACAAUUCAUUGAAAUUAUUCAGUUUUUUUACUUCAUAAACCAAUUAUAUUGCUUUUUCGCAUUUUCAAUAUUCACCCAAUUUUUUUCACAAAUAAUUUUAAUUGAAAAUAAAAUAAAUUAAUUGACUUUGAAUUUAUAAAUUAUGUCAUUGAAUUUUUUUUUACAAUAUUUAGUUUAUUUUAAAUUUAAUUUUUUUUCCUUCACCUCUUUGGUUCAUCAAUUUACAUUAAAAAAUAAAAUAAAUUCUAAUUUCUUUUCUUUUAAAAAUUUAUAUUUUCACAAAUUAUUCAAUAUUUUUCAAUUUUUAUAAAAUAAAUCUUCAGAUUAUAUAAUUGGAUGUUGUAAAGAGUUAAAAAAAUUUGUGUUGCAUUAGAUUAUUUUUUUCUUGGCAGAGGUGACCGGUUUGUAACCUAUAUAGCAAGUUUUUUUUUUCUUUUUUAUUCAACAACCCUCACAUGGGGCAAGUUGCAAUUGGUGCAAAAUUGGGGGUAUGGUACCGAAAAGCAUAUUUCGGUACCCUAGCAUAACCCUUCCUUGCAUCCUGCAGGGUCCUCCUUCUCAGCUUGACUGCAGAGUCGUCCCACUUCCAGCUGGCCUCUGGUUUCAAAAUUCAAAUUCUAAGUCCUAUAAAUAAUCUCUUAAUUUCUCUCCAUUAUUAUGACUACCAUAGCUUCCAACAAGUUCAAAGAUGAGAAGGAACCUUACCCAACUCCUUAUCUCUCUCAUGUUCUUUCUCUUUCCCCCGAUUUUUUUCAUAGAAAAGGGCAUGGCACAGAACACAACAAUCCCAGUUAAAGUGGGAGUGGUUCUGGACUUGGAUACAUGGAUUGGGAAGAUGGGGUUGAGCUGCAUCUCGAUGGCCCUCUCAGACUUCUAUGCCUCUCAUGGCCACUACAAAACCAGGGUGGUUACAAAAAUCAGAGACUCCAAAAGAGAUGUUGGUGCAGCUGCAGCAGGUACUAUCCCUUAAAUCUUCUCCUUCAAGUGUUAAACUCAUCAGCUUACAAAACCAGGGUUUCGAUGAAGUUCGCUGACCUUAUCCUCUCUGAGAACUAAUAAACCUAAUUGGGAGCAGUUUAACUAGCAUACUAAAAGAUAUUUGCUUUGAAUAUUCUCUUAGAAAAGCAACAAGAAUUCUCUAAAAUAUUGCGUUUAUUUUUAUGUUAUCUUAUUAUUUAUAUUUAAUAUUUUUAUAAUUAAAUCAAAAAAAUUAUUAAUUUACAAUCCAAUAAUCGAACCAAUGGUUCAACCAAAUAUUAUAAAUAUAUAAUUUAUAUAUUAUUAAAAUUAAAAAUAAUUAUAAAAUUUUAAUAUCUAUUUAUAUAUAUAUAAAUUAAAAAUAAUAAUAUUUAUUUUUUACCUUUGAUAUUAUCAAAUUUAAAUUAUAAAAAAAUAUAAAUAUAUUAAUAUUUUAAAUUUAUUAAAUGAGUGGUUAUUAGUAUUAUCCUAUCCAUGAUAAGAUGGUCCAUGACUCAUAUCCCGGCCCCAAUUCUAAGAAUUUUGGAUUUUUCAACGACUCCAUCCACAUUCAGCAAAUCAAUAUCUUUCAUCCGUGUCAAUCAUAAUUGUCCAAAACGGAGCCAGGCCUUAACAUUGAGCUGGACUUCCACCCCUCAACUGUGGAUUGAGCUUUGGCCAACCCAAAACCGAUGGCCUGGUUCACCGACCCAAUGGUCCAACUGUCGGUCUGUCUGCUUCAAAGUCAGCUCAGCGUAUACUCCACUCCAAAGGCUGGACCAAGCUCCGAAUACGAUUUAAUAUUAUCUGGUCCGGUUUUUAAAACAUCAUCUAUAUCAACUUAGAGUGAUCCAAAAAAAUUGAAAAUUUAGAAUGUGCAACAUAUAUUACACUUGUGAUUUAAGAAAAUAUCUGGACGACUACAAAAGAGUCUCCAUUAAUUGUGCCGUGUUUAUUUACUGUUUUAUUUUUUUAACUUGGUAACUAUCUUGGGGGAGUGACCAAGAGGUUUUCUUAUUCACCACGUAAUAUUUAAGGGCUAGCAAACAAUGUUAAAAAACUAUAAGGGUGCCGAUUUUGACAUUAUUUAUGAACAUAACUCUUAAACAAUAAGAAAUAUUAAUUAGUGGGAUUAUGUUAGUGGUGAUUGUUUGUUUUCAUGUGCUGAUUUAUAGAUUUUAACUUUUUUAAUAAGGUUUUUAUUAAUAAAUUAUAAUAAUUAACUAUAUUAUAAUUUUGGUAAAUUAUUUUAGAAAAUAAGCUAACCUAUAAUUGAGAUAAAUUUAAAAUUUUAAAUAAUUUAAAUAAAUCUUAAUUGGGAUUAAAUGAAUUAUUGAUGUAAUUUUUGUGUGAAGUUGAUAGACUUCUAACCCAAAUGGCCCUAUUUUAUUAAAUGAAUGGCAGGAUGUACCUUGUUGAGCAUACAAUAAAUGGGUGGUCUUCCUCUUAAAUUAUAAUAUCAUAUCAUAAUUCAUUUUCAUAUUCUAAAAAUAUCUGAUAAACAAGGUUUUGUACCCUCGUUUGAUUGCUGACGGUAGAGUAGAAAUUUAUUCAUUCAUUUAAAUGCUUGUUUAUCGUUUGAACCUGCAUGCUCCUGAACUCAGUUGUAGACCUCUUACAAAAUGAAGAAGUGGAAGCCAUAAUAGGGCCCGGAUCAUCGAUGCAGGCCAACUUCAUGAUUGGUCUUGGAAGCAAAGCUCGGGUGCCCAUCAUUUCAUUUUCUGCAACAAGUCCUUCUCUUUCUUCGCUCCAGAGUCAAUAUUUUGUCCGAGCCACCCUAAAUGACUCAGCUCAAGUACCAGCAAUAAGGACAAUAGUCCAGGCCUUUGGAUGGAGAGAAGUUGUGCUUAUUUACGUGGACAACGAGUAUGGCAAUGAAGUCGUACCGUCUCUGACUAGUGCCUUGCAGGAGGUGGACACCCAUGUGACCUACCGGAGCGCCAUUCAUCCAUCGGCAACUGACGAUCAAAUCGUUAAAGAACUUUACAAGUUGAUGACGAUGUCAACUAGGGUUUUCAUUGUGCAUAUGCUUACGCCUCUUGGCUCCCAGCUUUUUACCAAAGCAAAUGAGGCUGGAAUGAUGGAAGAAGGCUAUGUUUGGAUACUAACUGAUGGGAUAACUGACUUCUUGAGUACUUUGGACGCUUCAGCCAUUGAUUCGAUGCAAGGGGUGUUGGGCGUCAAGCCCCAUGUUCCAAGAACCAAAGAGCUUGAAAGUUUUAAAAUCAGAUGGAAAAAGAAAAUCCAAGAAGAAUAUCCAACCAAUGAAAUCUCUGAGCUGAAUAUUUUUGGACUAUGGGCCUACGAUGCUGCUUCUGCACUAGCCAUGGCAGUUGAAAAACUUGGCGCGGGAAACUUCAGCUUCCAAAAGACCACCAUUUCCAGAGAUUCAACCAGUCUUGAGAGUAUUAGAGUUUCCCCAAUUGGCCCAAAUAUUCUCCAUUCACUAUUAGGUACUCGAUUCAGAGGCCUUACCGGAGAUUUUCAAAUUAUAGAUGGGCAACUACACACAUCAGCUUUCCAGAUAGUUAAUGUGAUCGGUGAAGGGGAAAGAGGGGUUGGAUUUUGGACAACAGAGAAUGGAAUUGUAAGACGAUCGAAUACUACUUCUAAGGCCAAUCUAAGAGCCAUUAUGUGGCCAGGAGAAUCUACUUCUGUUCCUAAAGGUUGGGUGUUUCCUACCAAUGGAAAGAAGUUGAAGAUAGGGGUUCCAGAGAAAAAGGGUUUUUGUGAAUUUGUAAAGGUGACGCGAGAUCCUAUCACUAAUAAAACAAAGGCCACUGGUUACUCCAUAGCUAUCUUCGAUGCCGUAAUGGCAACAUUACCAUAUGCUGUUCCUUAUGAGUACGUUCCCUUAAAGAUACGUGAUAGAAAGGCUGCUGGUAACAAAGAUGAAUUGUUUCAAGGACAUGUUCAGGUCAGUCAUACUCUUUAGAUUCCCUAAUACAUAACAAUUUUCAUUCAACUGUAGCCAUCAACUGUCAAAUAGAGGGAAAACUGUCAUCCUUUUGCAAUGAAAUAUCUCACGUACCGCCAAUUUUACCUUUACUUUUAUCAUGUACAGAAGUGUGACGCUCUGGUGGGAGAUAUUACUAUUCUAGCGAGCAGGUCCUUGUAUGUAGACUUUACACUGCCUUACACCGAGUCUGGCGUAUCAAUGAUCGUGCCGAUCAUCGAUAACAGAAGUAAAAGUGUUGGGUUUCCCUUCUUUGUGGGACUCUUAAAUUUACUAAAUAUGGUUUUUCUAUUUUUGGCCAACACCUUGGUUAGCACAUGACUCUUGGUAUAUUCAAGAUUGGUUUGAAGUCUUCAAGGAAAGAAAAAAAAAAACUACAAGCCUUUUGUCUUUUCCUUUGGUUCAUUAUCUUGGUCGGCAAGAAGACUUUUGGGAUACCUUUUUGGUUCAAACAAACAAAAAGAAAAUUCAGCCUUCUUCUUCUCCAUUUUUUGGUGCUACACAAUCAGCAAGUUUGUUCUUCAAGUGGGUAACGUUCCUUCACUUGAUAUUUGGGGUUUCUUGCGGUUUGUUCUUGGAGAUUUGGUUUACUUUUGUGAGGUAUUUUCCUCUUGUAAUUUACACCUUGGUGUGUUUGUAAGGCUUAUGCCUUUUGACCACUUUGUAAACUCUUUUGGUGAUAGUGGAAGAAACUGACCUACCGGUUGUCGUGNNNNNNNNNNNNNNNNNNNNNNNNNNNNNNNNNNNNNNNNNNNNNNNNNNNNNNNNNNNNNNNNNNNNNNNNNNNNNNNNNNNNNNNNNNNNNNNNNNNNCACAGUUAGUAACUCCACACCUGAUGGAGUGGUAACAAUGAGUCAAGUUACUAGCAGCCUGUUGAAUGAAGAGACAAGAAGAAAAUCAUCAGGUUCUUCUCACUCCGAGGCACUUGUGAUAGAAAAUCGAGGGAGAGGCAGGAGUAAGAGUAAGGCUUCGCACAACCGUGAUAAAUCUAGAGGUCGUUCAAGCUCGAUUUCAAAGAAAGAUGUUGAGUGCUAUUAUUGUCACAAGAAAGGGCAUAUGAAGCGGGAGUGCAGAAAACUCAAGUUCAAGGAGCAGAACAAAGAGAAAAAUUCAGAGAAAAAGCAAAAUGAUACAGCUGUAGUUACCGAUGGUGAACUCAUGAUUAUUCGUGAUGAUGUUAGCGUUAAUUUGAUUGGCCAAGAGACGGAUUGGGUAAUUGAUUCUGGAGCUUCAUUUCAUGUUACUUCGCGGGCUGAUUUCUUUACUUCUUACUCGCAAGGUGAUUUUGGGAAUGUCCGUAUGGGAAAUGAAGAUGUGUCAAAAAUUGUUGGCAUGGGUGACAUUUGCUUGGAAACAAAUACUGGAUGCAAAUUGUUGCUUAGAGAUGUGAGGCAUGUACCGGAUAUUCGGCUCAAUUUAAUCUCUACUGGAAAGUUAGAUGAUGAGGGCUACAACAACAAUUUCAGUGAUGGAAAAUGGAAGCUCUCUAAAGGUUCUCUAGUGGUAGCAAAAGGAAAGAAGACUUGUUCUCUUUACACCGUGCAAGCAAAAAUCUGCAAGUGUGUUGUGAAUACCUUAGAGAAUGACUCAUCCACCGAUUUAUGGCAUAGAAGGCUUGGACAUAUGAGUGAGAAAGGAUUGCAAGUUUUAUCUAAGAAAGAGCUUCUAGCGGGGAUAAAAGGUACGCCUUUGAAAACAUGUGUUCAUUGUUUCCAUGGUAAACAAAAUAGAAUAUCAUUCCGUAGAAACAUUGCAUCUAGAAAAUCUCAUGUUCUAGAUUUGAUACAUUUUGAUGUAUGUGGUCCUUUGAAAGUUAGGACACUUGGUGGUGCUCUAUACUUUGUCACUUUUAUUGAUGAUCACUCUAGAAAAGUUUAGGCUUAUACACUGAAAACUAAAGAUCAAGUUCUAGAUGUGUUUAAGCAUUUUCAAGCCAAGGUUGAAAGAGAAACUGGUAGACAGUUGAAAUGUGUCCGCUCGGAUAAUGGUGGUGAAUAUAUUGGACCAUUUGAUCAGUAUUGCACUAAUCAUGGCAUCAGGCACGAAAAGACAGUAAAAAAGACACCUCAACAGAACGGGGUUGCAGAGAGAAUGAAUCGCACCAUUCUUGAGAGAGUCAGAUGUUUGCUCUCACAUUCUAAAUUGCCAAGAUCUUUUUGGGGUGAGGCAAUGAGGACAGCAGUUGAUCUUAUCAAUUUGUCUCCUUCAGUUCCGUUGAAUGGUGAUGUGCCAGAGAAAGUUUGGACAGGGAAGGAAGUCUCCUAUGAUCACUUGAGGGUAUUCGGCUGCAGAGCUUUUGUUCAUAUUCCAAAAGAUGAGAGGUCCAAGCUUGAUCCAAAAGCAAAGCAGUGCAUAUUUAUUGGCUAUGGGCAUGAAGAAUUUGGCUACAGGUUGUAUGAUCCAGUUGAUAAGAAAGUUGUCAGAAGCCGAGAUGUUGUUUUCUUGGAAGAUCAGACUAUUGAAGACAUUGACAAGCUUGAGUCAGCUGAGUCUAGUACUAAUGAUCUUGUUGAUUUAGAUCCUCUUAAUCCACCUGUUGUUCAUGAUAUUGAUGAGGAAGUGCAGACACCUCAUGAUGAUGCAGCGGAAGAUGAUGUUGAGCCAGAGAUUGAGGGGGAACAGUCACCCCAAGAGCCACUACCACAGACACCGUUGAGGAGAUCUACCAGAGAAAAACAGCCAUCCAGAAAAUAUUCUUCAAAUGAGUAUGUGAUGAUAUCAGAUCAGGGGGAGCCAGAGACUUAUCAAGAAGUCUUGAAGCAUGAGAACAAAACUGAAUGGCUCAAGGCAAUGAAAGAGGAAAUGAAGUCUUUGCAUGAGAAUCACACCUAUGAUUUGGUGAAGCCGCCUAAAGGGAAGAAAAUUUUGAAAAAUAAAUGGGUCUUCAGACGAAAGAAUGAUGGGAACAGUUCUCAACCGAGAUUCAAGGCACGACUUGUUGUGAAAGGUUUUGAUCAGAGGAAGGGAGUUGAUUUUGAUGAGAUCUUCUCACCAGUUGUGAAGAUGUCCUCCAUUCGAACUGUACUUGGUAUAGCUGCGAGUAUGAAUUUAGAAGUUGAGCAGCUUGAUGUGAAGACCGCAUUUUUGCAUGGUGACUUAGAAGAGGAAAUUUAUAUGGAGCAACCUGAGGGCUUCAUAGAUAAGGGUAAUGAUCAGUUAGUUUGCAAAUUGAAGAAGAGUUUGUAUGGAUUGAAGCAAGCACCGAGGCAGUGGUACAGAAAAUUCGAUUCUUUCAUGACUGAGCAUGGGUAUUCAAGAACCACUUCAGACCAUUGUGUGUUUGUGAAGAAAUAUACAGAUGGUAAUUUUAUUAUUCUCUUGCUUUACGUUGAUGAUAUGCUUAUUGUGGGCCAAGACAUGAGCAAGAUUAGCAAGUUGAAGUCAGAGUUGAGCAAGUCCUUUGCCAUGAAGGAUUUGGGUCCAGCAAAGCAAAUUCUUGGGAUAAGAAUUGUUCGCAACAGAUCACAUGGGCUGAUUUGGUUAUCUCAAGAGAAUUAUGUUAAAAAGGUUCUUGAGAGGUUCAAUAUGGACAAAGCAAAGCCUGUUAAUUGUCCACUUGCAGGCCACUUCAAACUUAGCUCAAGUCAAUGUCCUACAAGUGAUGAAGAGAAAAAUGAGAUGCAGAAAAUUCCCUAUGCUUCAGCAAUUGGUUCUUUGAUGUAUGCCAUGGUUUGUACUCGACCGGAUAUUGCUCACGCAGUUGGGGUUGUUAGUCGAUUUAUAUCUAAUCCGGGGAAAGAACACUGGGCAGCAGUGAAAUGGAUUCUGAGGUAUCUUCAGGGCACUUCAAAGAUGAGUUUGUGUUUUGGUAAAGGCGAGCCUAUUCUUGAUGGGUUCACAGAUUCUGAUAUGGCUGGUGAUGUUGAUAGUCGAAAAUCUACUUCUGGUUAUUUGAUUACUUUUGCAGGGGGAGCAGUGACAUGGCAAUCAAGAUUACAGAAAUGUGUUGCUCUCUCCACCACAGAAGCUGAGUUCAUCGCCAUUACAGAAGCCUGCAAAGAAUUAUUGUGGUUGAAGAAAUUCUUACAAGAGUUGGGUUUGAAACAAGAAAGGUAUGUCCUUCAUUGUGAUAGUCAAAGUGCAAUCCACUUGAGUAAGAAUUCUUCAUUUCAUUCGAGGUCGAAACACAUUGAUGUUAGAUAUCAUUGGAUUCGUGAUGUCUUGAAUGAUAAGUUGUUGCAACUUGAAAAAGUUCACACUGAUGAUAACACUUCGGAUAUGUUGACUAAGGCAUUGACUAAGGACAAGCAUGAGAAGUGUCGACUAUUGGCGGGAAUGGUCGAAUCCUCCACAUAAGUCGGGAGGGGGAGAAUUGUUGGGUUUCCCUUCUUUGUGGGACUCUUAAAUUUACUAAAUAUGGUUUUUCUAUUUUUGGCCAACACCUUGGUUAGCACAUGACUCUUGGUAUAUUCAAGAUUGGUUUGAAGUCUUCAAGGAAAGAAAAAAAAAACUACAAGCCUUUUGUCUUUUCCUUUGGUUCAUUAUCUUGGUCGGCAAGAAGACUUUUGGGAUACCUUUUUGGUUCAAACAAACAAAAAGAAAAUUCAGCCUUCUUCUUCUCCAUUUUUUGGUGCUACACAAUCAGCAAGUUUGUUCUUCAAGUGGGUAACGUUCCUUCACUUGAUAUUUGGGGUUUCUUGCGGUUUGUUCUUGGAGAUUUGGUUUACUUUUGUGAGGUAUUUUCCUCUUGUAAUUUACACCUUGGUGUGUUUGUAAGGCUUAUGCCUUUUGACCACUUUGUAAACUCUUUUGGUGAUAGUGGAAGAAACUGACCUACCGGUUGUCGUGGACGUACCUCAAGUUAUUUGAGGGAACCACGUAAAUCUUGUGUGCUCAUUUAUUUUCUGUUAUUCUAUUUAUAUUGCUUCCAUUGAUUUACACUUGUGGGAAAGCCUAGUUUUUUUUCAACAAAAAGAGCAUGGGUCUUUUUGAAGCCAUUAACUUGGGACCUUUGGGUGACAAGCGCUUGUUUCUUUGUCUUCAUUGGCUUGGUGAUUUGGACUCUUGAACAUCGAAUAAAUGAAGAUUUCAGAGGGCCUCGUUCACAUCAAGUUGGCACAAUCUUCUGGU
rnacentral:lncRNA from 1 species